rnacentral:lncRNA from 1 species
UUUUAUGUGUGUGUGCGCACGAUUAGAACCACAGAGAGAAUGGAUUUCUGGAGUUUUUGUAUGGUCCUGCUAAGCCUUUUCUCUGUGUUGUUCUCAAUUAUUCAAGCUCUGCGAAGCAAAGCCAAUCCCAAAAGGCAUCUUCUCCCACCUGGACCAAAGCCAUUUCCCUUCAUCGGCAAUCUUUUAGAGCUUGGCAACAAACCCCAUCAAUCUCUCACCAAGCUUUCUCAAAUCUAUGGCCCCAUUAUAACUCUGCAACUAGGCCAAGUAACAACGGUGGUUGUUUCUUCACCAAACACAGCCAAACAAGUCCUCCAAACCCAUGACCAAUUCUUGUCCAACCGAACCGUCCCAGAUGCAAUCCAAGCCUGUGACCUUCGUCAGGACAGCCUGCCAUGGAUACCACCUUCGGCCAAAUGGAGAAGCCUUCGACAAAUAUGCAACUCUCAAUUGUUUGCCGCCAAAAUCCUCGACGCCAACCAACCCAACCGCUGCGUAAAAGUGCAAGAGCUCAUAUCUCAGGUCAACGAAAGUGCGGUCAAUGGUGAGGCGGUAGAUAUUGGAAGGGCCGCUUUCAAAACUACUCUCAAUCUGCUGUCUCGUACUAUUUUCUCAGUGGAUUUAGCUGACCCAAGUAGCGAGAUGGCUAGGGAGUUCAAGGAGACUGUGUGGGGUUUGAUGGAAGGGGCAGGGACCCCAAAUGUGGGGGACUUUUUUCCUGUCCUUCGGAAAAUUGACCCCCAGGGCAUUAGGCGGCGCAUGAUCAAACAUUUCAACAAGAUGGAACAGCUCUUUGACCGCAUGAUUAGCCAAAGAUUGGCAUCAAGAAAAGCCCAUGAUUAUGUCAAAACCAAUGAUAUGUUGGAUACUCUUUUGAACAUCAGUGAAGCGAACAGUGAGGACAUGGACAAGACCAAAAUUCAACAUCUGUUUCUGGUUAGUUGUUUUGUCUUUGCUCAUCAUUAUAGUUAAAUUACUGUAUCAAUUAAUUUAAUUUACAGAGAGAAGGGAUUUGAACUUAAGUUUAAAGAGUGGGCGAACUGGCCUGACCGUCUACUCUCGUUAGGUGUUUUUGUUUUUGGUUUUUAAUCCCAAUUUUUUUUUCUGACUUGUUAUGUUAAAAAGGCUCUAUUUGCCGCGGGCACAGAUACAACUUCAGCCACAUUGGAAUGGGCCAUGGCUGAGCUGCUACGCGACCCUGAAAAGCUAUCAAAAGCUCAACAAGAGCUGGAACAAAUCAUUGGCAAAGGAAAACCAGUAGAAGAAGCAGACAUUGCUCGACUUCCUAACUUACAAGCAAUAAUCAAAGAGACCCUUCGGUUGCACCCAGCAGCUCCAUUGCUUCUCCCUCGCAAAGCCGAUUCAGAUGUUGAAAUCUGCGGGUAUAUUGUACCCAAGGGUGCACAAGUGUUUGUAAAUGCAUGGGCUAUCGGUAGAGACCCCAGCAUUUGGGACAACCCAAGCUCGUUUAUGCCGGAGAGGUUCUUGGGAUUGGAUGACCAAAUUGAUGUUAUAGGCAAAAACUUUGAGCUUAUCCCAUUUGGUGGUGGGAGGAGAAUAUGUCCUGGCUUGCGAUUGGCAAUGCGAAUUCUGCCCUUGAUGUUGGGUUCACUCAUUAACUUUUUUGAUUGGAAGCUUGAAGAUGGGGUUAUACCAGAGACUUUGAACAUGGAAGAGAAAUUUGGCCUCACCUUGCAGAUGGCUCACCCUCUUAGAGCUCUGCCCAAGUCAUUUUGUGAAAUUUAAUGGAGUCUAUAUAUGUCACUUAUCUAAGUUAGUAUUGAAACUUGUUAACAAUCAUGGUUGUAAGUUAUUGUUUCCAUAACAAUACUUCAUAAUGGCUUUUGGGUCUAAUGAUAUUUAGUUUCCACUCCUUUUUAUUAAGCUCUUAUAUCAGAAAGAAUGAAUCUUUUCUCUUAUCUUUUUUAUGCUCUCUUUUCUUCUUCUUCUUCUUAUGAUUCAAUGAAUCUUAAUAUGUGUAAACUUCAAAUCUCAUGCACAUGCGUUUGUUGUAUUAUUAGAUACUAAUAAUUCGCACACAUACUAUGCAUGAGUAGAGAAUAAAUAUCCCUCAUUACAUUAACUUCUUUUUGGUUAGUGCAAUUUAAAUAAGAGGAUAAUUAGCACUUUUGACAAAGUGGUUGACAAGAAACCUUAAGGCCAUUGAAUUGAAGACCUCGAGCCUUAGUCCUCAAGACAAUAAGACCUACACACUCAUAUAAUAUGCCAACGUCCAAUACCUUCAUCUAUGGGGCAUAGCCUUGGCUAAGUUGGCCAAAUCCAGGUCCUUCGUAUUCUAUACUCCCUUUUUUUGGUUGGCCAAAUUUAGGUUGGGAAAAUGUUUUUUCACACUCACUGUUAAGGUACAUUAGUGUUCGAACAUGAGACCACUGUCCUACAGAUCAUUGCCCUUUUCCAGUUGGCUAGACAUCAUUGAUCACUGUCUGAGGAGCAUUGCUACUACAGCAAAGGUGGUGUAGGUUGAUAGUACUGAUGUUAUUGAAGGCGUGCUUGUUAGAGAAAACAUCUUCAAAUAUAAAGAAUUGUAAUGAAAAGGAGGUUUUGUUUUUGUUUUUUUGUUGUUGUUGAUUAUUGGCUUGUUGAGUUAAGUUGGAAAUUCAGGUGAAGGGAUUUUAUAGAACAAAAAAUGGGAUAUCUAGCUUCCACUUGAAGCUCUUUGAACUCAAGUUGAUGCUUAAAAUAUUAGCAAGCUUUCCCCAAACUUUUCAAAUUUGGUCAAUGUUUAGAUGAGUGAAACAAGCUUCUCAAGCCAUUUUCAAAAGGAAAUUACAUCUUUUAUUUAUGGCAAAAAGUUACUUUUGGUCUUUGUGGCUUAUCUCUUUUACUACUAAGGCCCCCUAUAGUUUCAAUUUGAUCAUUUUUGCGUACGUGGUUUCACUUUGAAGCAAUUUAAGGAUAAUCAUCAAUUUCUGUCAAAUUUUUUUUUUAUAACUUCAGCUCAUUGUGCAUGGGCAAUUUGGUCCAUAAAUUAUCAAAAAAUCAAUUCCUUUUAAAGUUUAAAAAAAAAUUUAAAAAAUUUUCAAUUCCUUUCAAAAAUAAACAAUACAAUUUUCAAAAUAACAAAAAGAUUAGGGGCCGGUAAUGUUUUCAAGGCCCUGUUUUCAUUUUCUACCAAAAAUUCGUUUGGUAUGUCGUUUUCAUUUUUUAUUGGAAUUCAUUUUCUGAAAAUAAAUUAAAACUCAUGUACAAAAACUGAAAACACCAAAUUAUCGUUUUCAUUUUCUAUCUAGUGUAUUGGUUGAUUGCCUUUUUUUCUUUUUCUUUUUGUUGGUCUGAAUUUUUUUUCUUUUUCAUUUGUCAGUUAUUUUUUCAAUUUUUAUUUUUUUUCGCUGCACUUCAUUAUUUUAUUUUGUUGCACGAGUGUAUAUUAAUUUUAUGAUAAAACCAUCAUAUAUUAUUCAAUUUCAUAUUUAUUUUAAACUAAAGAUAAUAGAAUUUUAUUAUCUAGGUUUUUCUAACAUUAGAAUUUUUAUUCUCAAAUGAUACAUUUUUCAUUGUUUAUAAUAAUUUUAGCCUUAAAAAAUAUAUGAGAUUUUUUUUUAAAAAAAAAUUUUAGGACAUAAAUUAGCAAAAAAUAUACUUGAAAAAUAACUCACAUAUUAUUAUUCUCAAAUUCUCCCCACCAGACACUUUUUCACUGUUUUUAUUUUCUGAAUAUGUUUUCCAAUUAAUAUACCAGAUGCAUUCUUGAAUCCUAAAAAUGCAAUUCGUUUGCUCAUUUUCAUUCUUAGAAAAUAUUCUCAAGAAACAUUCUCCAAAAACGUUACCAAAUGGGCCCUUACAAUUCGAAAACCCCAUAUCUUCAUGAUUUUUGGAUACAAUUUCAAAACUGUAAUUAGUAAUCUCCCCAAUAUAUCACAAGUCGAAGCAAUGAGAGAGACAGAGAUGGAGAGAGGGUGGAUUUGGGUAGUGGCUGUGGUGGAUCUGGGCUAGGUGGAGGAGAGAGAAAGAGGUUGGGAGAGGAGAAGGGGAGUGGGAGGCUAUUUCAAAACUAAUUAUUUUAUUUUAUUUUUUAUUUGUAAAAGGAAAGGAUUUUUUGAUAAUUUGUGGACCGAAUUGCCCCUACACAACUAACAAAAAUUUGAAAGAAAUUGAGGAUAGUCCUUGAAUUGCCUCAAAUUGAAACCACAUGAAUAAAAAUGAUUAAAUUCAAACCAUAUGGACAAAAAUGAUCAAAUUGAAACCGCAUGGACUUUAAUGGUAGAAGUGAUAAACCAUAAAAACUAAAAGUUGUUGUAAAGUAGAAUGGGUGAAGCCCACAUAGUCAAAAGGUGAACAGUGAUAAUUGGGUAGAAACAUCAUUAUGUCUUCUCUUUUAUUCACGGGUGCCAUUUAACAUGCCUAUAAAUAGGCAACGCUCUUGCCUGCAAAGAUAGAGAGAACUAACAUUCAAUGAAGAGAUCAGUUUCUAUACUUUCUCUAUAUCUCAAUUCUCUCCAUAAUCUCUUUAGUUUAUAACACGUUAUCAGCACGAUUUCUCUAUCUCUCUGUCUCUCUCUCCCAGCCAUAGCCAGAACCACAGAGUAAAAGCUAGCGGAAGAGCAAACAUCAUUUUACAUCUGUGGGUGGGAGUUUAGGUUAGCUAGCUUGUGAAAUAAUCAUGGCAGCUCCCAUUUCUAGCUCCUCCUUCCUCAUGAGGUACAUCAUUUGUUGCUCUGGUUUUCUAUGCCUGAUUCUGUGCUCUUCGGAGAAGGGCUUUGCCUUGGAAGAAAGAGAACAUGCUCACACAGUUGAAGUCAAUUCUCUGCUUUCUGCAACCACCUGCAGCUCCUCCUCCUCCUCCUAGCCACUGAUUUCUGGCGUGUGAAAAAAAAAGAUGAGAGAAGCCAUGGCUCUUCAGAGGAGAAAAAGUUGGAGCUCAGGCUUGGGCCUCCAGGUGAAGACUGGUCUUUGAAUGGUAACUCCAGAAGCAACAAAGAAAGAGAUGAGUCUCUUCUCUCUCUUGGGUACCUUUCCCCUAUGUCUUCCAACAACAACAACAACAACAACAACAACGUAAACCACCACCGAACCCAGAAAUUUAUCUCUCCCUCAGACAAGUCUGUUUUGUCCUCAUCUCCAUGGUCUUACCAGCUGGGAAAUAUUCAUCAACAUCAGACAAAAGUUCCAUCUUUUCUUCACUUCACAUCAAGUUCUCAGGGCCUGCCUGUUACCCCCAACAAAGCAUCACAGCCCUGUUGCACUGAAGUGGUAGAUUUGCUGAAUGCAGAAAAGAAAGAGAGGCUUUUUCUCGACCAAGGACUACCAAAAGUUGAAGGCCUCUAGUCCCGUAGUCAUGGCCACAGAAGAAAUAGUAUUGAAAAAAAAAAAAGAAAAAAAAAAGAAGGUCCUCUGCUUCCUUAUCUUUCAAUUACUUUAGUAUUAUCCUAUACUAUUUAACUUGCUCUGCAGGUGGAAAGGCAGUAGCAAGCUUGAUAUCCAUCAUUUUUUUUAGCUACAAUUAACAAAAACAUGAUAAAGAAUAGCACCCACCGAAAUGAUGAGCUUCCCACCAUCUUUUCAUUUAUUAUUAUCCUAUAUUAUUUAAUAUUAAUAUUAAUGGUAAUAUAAUAUAUUAUAUUUAUUGUAUGGUGUAGGUUUAUUACCCAUACAACAGUAUCUAUUUAAAAGGGUGGCGCAGGUUUAUCGCCCAUGCCUUUACUUUUAUUUAAAUGUAUGGAGCAGAAUUAGUGCCCAUACAAGCACGUUUACUUUAUCGCAAAUUUACUUUUACUUAAAGUAUGAUGUGGAAUUGACCCUCAUACUUUAUGAAAUUACUUUACUGUACAUUAUUUACUGUAUGGUGUAGGUUUAUUACCCAUACAACAGUAUUUAUUUAAAAGGGUGGCGCGGGUUUAUCGCCCAUGCCUUUACUUUUAUUUAAAAGUAUGGAGCAGAAUUAGUGCCCAUACAAGCACGUUUACUUUAUGAAUUUAAUUUACCGCACAUUUAAUUUUAUUUAAGGUAUGGUGCGGGAUUAACGUCCAUACAGCAAGCAAUUUAAUUUAUCAAUUUACUUUAUCGCACAUUUACAUUUAUUUAAAGUAUGGUGCGGGUUUAUUGUCCAUACCAGUAAUUUAUUUACCAGCAAUUUAUUUUUAAUUGUGCUGUAUGAUGAGUUUUUACAGUAUGCAGAUCAGGACCAGAAGUUCCUUGAUCCUCAUCAUACAAUUACAUCAGGACUUGAAGAUCCUUGAUGAUGAUGAUGUUAAUAUGAGAGCUAGCAGUCUCUCCGGUACUAUAUUUGUAAAUAUGUGAUUGGACUUGAGGGUCCUUGAUCCCUGACAUGUAAAUAAAGACCUGGGGUUCCUUAAUGAUGUGACAGUACCGUAUUGUUUCAUAAUGCCGUACACAUGGAUGAUAACUGUACUGGCAAAUGUACUGUACACAUGAAUAGUGCCGUAUACAUGAAUAGUGAUGUAUGCAUAAAUAUUUACCAUUUUGGGUAAACUAUCACUAUUCAAAAGGGAACCUGCAGUUCCUUAAACUCAUGGAUGAGCAAUUAAAUGAGAUGCCAGAAGUUCCUCAAGAUAUGGACAAUUAUGUAAGGGCUUGAAGUCCAGAAAUAUGUACAGAAAAUUGUAAAAAUGUCCAUACCAUGAGAAUAUGUGAUUUUGGCUUGAGGUUCAAAAUCUAACAGUGUUGAGAACCUGAAGUUCCAACAAUUAAAUGGACAACUCUUGAGGUAUUAUUGCAAAUUGUGGUACGCCACAUAUUUCUUUGGCAUAAGAAAAUGAUGAAUUUAAUAAAGUUCGAUUCUGUUAUAAUCGACACCUCAAGUAAGAAAUAUAUUUUGUGAAUUCCGGUUGUUAAAAAUACACCGUGAAAUGGAUAACCCUCCCCACAUAUUUUGUUAUAUCUGCGCCGGAAGCCCAUGUAUCCAACUAUAUGAGAGGUCCUGAACUUGAAGUUGUGGGUAUAUAGUGGCUUUUACUCAAUUCAUAUUUCAUGUCCAUUUGAAAAGGGCAAAUAAAUUCUGAGUUUGUGUUUAGCCCAAGCCAAAAGUUCCGGGCUCCCAUACGUUGAAAUAUGAAAUUUGGGAGAGUCGAUGAGGUUAUUUGAAUCUAUAAGGCACAAGGUUCCAAACCGUCAUUUUGAAAAGACGUAAAAACCACAGGUGCAAGUUUAAGAAUGUGCGCAAUUAUUAUAACAGGAACAUACAACAGAUAGAUUUUUUUUUCCACCUGCAAUAAAGGUGCAGGCCCUGUAAAAUCUAUAAAAAAUACAUUAUGUUCUGGAAGCCUCUGAAGGAAGAGGACGACGCCUCUUAAGCUUAGCCAUGAGCCUCUCGUGGUCUCCCAAAAUUCUUUCAUUGGAGACCUGCAGCAUGUCUAGCCUUCUCAGUGUAUCAACAGAGUACGAACUCACCAGUUUCAACAAGGCAUUAUUCUCUCCUUUAAGUUUCUCAACCUCCUGUUGAGACUCAUGAAGCAUUCUUUGGAGAGACGAAUUUUCAGUUGUUAACCUCUCAACCUCGUUUGCUCUAGCACGCAAACGAUCAGCCAUGUUAGAAACAGAAGCAGCACUCUGAAUGCUAAAAGCCAUUGAGUCAUCAAUAGCCUCUUCCUCAGAUCUCCCUGUCAACAACAUUUCAUCCAUUGGAAUAAUGAAAUUCCUAGCUACUAUGACAGCAGUAGCAUCAUUCAUCAUCACAGAAUCAUUAACUGUGAGAUGACGAUUUUGGGAUACAAAGGAUGGACGCCAAACUUUGGCAUCAUUGGUAGUUGUGGGAGCAUCAUUUAAAUUGAAAUAAUUUGGGCAGGAAGAAGAGGAAGCCAUUUUAAGAAGGUUUAGAAGAAAGUCUUAGAAAAACUAAAGUUUCAGAAAAUGAAGGAAGUUGAGUUGAAACGCAGUUGCUCCAAUCAAGUUUUGCAAAGGCAAUAUCUAUAGGAGGAAAUAUGGCUACAGUUUCCAGGAUCCCAAUAUUAUCUCAGAUCCCCAUAUUCUCUUUUUCUUUUCCAGAUUCCAAAACUUCAUGCGGCCUCCAUUAAUAUUUGUCGGCACUUUCGGCGUUUUCAAGUAUUAUUUUCGUCAAAACCGAUCUUGCUUUACGGAUUUCACGGAGCUACUUUUUCAAAAGUAUCCCGAGAAUCUCGCAAUUUUCCUAUGGUUAAUUUGGAAUUCACAGGUUCUACCUAUUCAUUGUAUUUGUGUAUAAAUGUGUUACUAACGAAAUUUUCUUUGCAGAAGACAUCCAGUUUUCUCCAUACCUAGUGAUGCGAUAUCUACUUAUUUUUCUUAUCAGUGAGCACUCAAUAUGCCCGAGAAGCAAGACUAUCUCUGAUCAUCCAUUCAGGAAGCGAGACUAUCCCUGAUCACGUUUCCGCCACAUCAGGGAACUGUGAAGGCGACCUUAUGCUCUAAUCUCCGGAAGUUCUUCUAGACUAGGAGAAAUGAGAGCUUGUUGUUUGCUCCCACCAGCUUCCUUCCUUGAUGGCUGAGCUUGUUGUCUGCUCCCACCAGCUUCCUUCCCUGAUUGCUUAUCUUACCUUGCAAUCAAUAUCACAUUUUUUUUGCAUUUUUUCUCUUUUUGUAACUCUCUGUUCAUAAGAGACUUUAUUUCUUUAGAAUGAACAUCUGAAGAAAGAGUCCAUGAAGUGAUCCUAACUCUGAGGGUUAUUUGUUUUGACAGAGGCAAAAGAGUUGUGAUUUUUGCUCUUGCAGGAUAUAACUAGAUCAUCAAGCGCUACAUUAUAUUUACUGGGCCGAUACGAGCUUGAAUGAUACUUGAGAAAAGUUUCUCCCACCUAAGGAUGUAAGCAAUACUUGUGUUGUUUUAUGCUUAUAUACUUACUUGAUAUUUUAUCUUGAAAGGUAACCAAAUGGGGAGAUAAGUCCGUUCCAAAAGAAUGGCUUGUAUGUAUCCAUGAAUUAUUAACGCAAAUUUUACAGAUUGCAAGUUGGAUACAUUGAUAAUACACUGCACAGAUUAAAGUCCCAUAAGAACAGAAUAUGGGUAUAGCAGUGAUCAAUAUGAUGCACGCCUGUUACGUAGCAAAUGAUGGGGAUUGAAGUCCCGAAAGGACAAUCCUUUGACAUGUCAAUAUUGAUAUUGUGCACGCCUAAUACGUAGCACAUUAUAUGGGUUAAAGUCCCAUAAAUUAAUUGACAUGUAUGCAUUAAUCUGUGGCAUGCCUGCAGCAUAACAGAUGUAUGGGUUCUGAAUGUUCCAACUCCCAAAAAUGGAGAUUUUCCACGCCCUAUGUAAAAUAACGCUCCAUUGGAGGUUAUAAUCCACAUUCUCACAUAAUAACAGCCCCCUAGAGUGGCUUGGGUACCCAAAAGCAAAGAAAUGCUUAUAAUUGAUGCAUGCGCAUGCAAAUGAGAAUGAUGGGAUCAUGAAUUGAUGAAUGACAAUUUUUGGUUUUAGAGUAGCUACUCAAAUCAUCAAUGGGCUGUGUUAAUUGGAACCACGUUCAAUUAUUAAAUGUCGACAAUAUCAUUGGCCAAAAUGGAAUGAGGUAAUUCCAUUAUAGAUGAGAAUGAACGUGAAAGAACAAACCCACUGUACGAACCCCAAAAGAUGUUAAUACUGAAAUUUAUACUUGGGUGUUCGGAAUAAAAGGGAAUAUACCUACUUUGUAUGACACAAUGUUUCUGGCAGAAACAAGGAAUGUUAGGUUUUCUCCAUAUUUACAGAUUCAAUUGUGCCUCCUUAUUGCACAUUUACGGAGACCAACAUGUUAUCUUUAAGGGUUAUUAAAUGCACGGAGCAUAUCACCAGUAGUGAUUCCUUAAAGAUGUAUAAAUAGCUGGUUUAAAGCUAUAUAAUGUGUCAUAAAGUUUAAUCCCUUUAAACAAAAUCCUUGAAAGGAUUGAACUUGCAUGAAGCAAGUCCCUGAAGGACAUGUGCCUGAAGCACAAAAUCUGUACUCAAUACUAAUGUGCAUAAAUUGCCUCAGUGAGUACAUUGAUUAUAAUGUGUUUGCAACACAUUAAAGCUUCUGAAGAGUUCAAGAAAUAUUUGUCUCGACUUAAAGAUCGAGCAUUAUGCCAACGAGAUUCUUGCUUAUACUAAGAAAGUAUUGAAGCAUUUUUAUGAGGAUUAUCCGUUGGACACUUUAAGGAUUUUCCGGAAGUAUAUUGGACCGUACAUUGUAUUUUCCAGAUAGAGCUCAACUCCAUAUAUUUGGGAUGAUGUAAGGCAUAUUUGAUGCUAUCUCAGCAUAACACCAUAUACAGGCAUAUUUUUGAGUAAACUUAUAAAUAGCCCAAGUGUUAUUAGAUAUGCGGACUCUGGAAAUCUCUAUGGUCACUUACUGGAAAAAGCUAGUCAUGAAGUUUUCAGGGGGAGAUAUUCAUCAGGGGGGAGCGUGCUGUCAAUAAAGACCUUUUCACACUGUACUCUUUUUCCUUCGUCCAGGUUUUUAUCCCACUGGGUUUUUCCUAGCAAGGUUUUAACGAGGCAGUGUCGCACGCAUGUCAAUAUACACAGAAUUUUAUGUUACACAUGGUUAUGUACUUUUUUUUCCCUUCGACCAGUUUUUGUCCCACUGGGUUUUUACUGGCAAGGUUUUUCUAUACUCAUAUCAAGGGUGACAGGACUAAGCACAUAUCACCAAAGUUUUUCUAUACACACGAGCUCCAGAAGAGUCAAGAAAUUAAAGUCAGACAAAUCCGCUCAAGCGAUAACCUGGCAGAUCUCUUCACUAAAUCAUUGCCGAAAUGUACAUUCCAAAAGUUAGUGCAUGGCAUCGGCUUACGACAACUCUGCAAGAAAUCAAGUUGGAGCAUGCAAAAUCAGGGGGAGCAUUCAAGAGUCCUCUAACACAGGACAUAUGCGCGUUGUACUCUUUUUCCUUCGACUAGGGUUUUUCCCCACCGGGUUUUUCCUAGCAAGGUUUUAACGAGGCAACAUGAGCGUAUUACCUUUAUGUCCCAAAUAAAGUUGUACUCUUUUUCCUUCGCUUAGGUUUUUUCCCACUGGGUUUUUCCAAGCAAGGUUUUAAUGAGGCAACCAAUCUAGGAACAUGUGGUCUCCAAGGGGGAGUGUUGUAAAGUAGAAUGGGUGAAGCCCACAUAGUCAAAAGGUGAACAGUGAUAAUUGGGUAGAAACAUCAUUAUGUCUUCUCUUUUAUUCACGGGUGCCAUUUAACAUGCCUAUAAAUAGGCAACCCUCUUGCCUGCAAAGAUAGAGAGAACUAACAUUCAAUGAAGAGAUCAGUUUCUAUACUUUCUCUAUAUCUCAAUUCUCUCCAUAAUCUCUUUAGUUUAUAACAAAAGUGACUUUUUGCCUUUAUUUCUCUAUGGGAACAGCCCAAUUAUGAAUAGGCUUGUUUUUUAAAAGAAUGAAGCUUAAGAAUUCCAACUAAGUUAACUUGUUUUCGGUUCUGAAGAACAAACCCCCAAAAUGAAACAAACCCUUAGCUGUUUGCUAACCUAGCAACUGAAGCUGUUUGCUGACACUAGAAACAAACCCUCAGCACAUGUGUUUGUUGUAUUAUUAGAUACUAAUAAUCCGGCACACAUACUAUUCAUGAGUAGAGAAUAAAUAUCCCUCAUUACUUUAACUUUUUAGUUGUGGGUCAAAUCCAGAUCCUCCGUUUUCUUCUCUACUAUAUACAUAUUUUUUUGUGUGUCCAAAAUUAGGAAGGGGAAAAUAUUUGCUCACACACACUACAUACCAAGGUGACACGGGGAUAUAACCUGAGACCACUGUUCUACACAUCAUUACCCUUUUCACCGAACUAGACUUCAUUGAUCAUUGUCCUGUGGAGCAACUUCAACUGGUAGUGCAAGGGCAAUUUGGUCCAUAAAUAAUAAUAAAAAAACCAGUUUUUUUAUUUAUAAAAAGUUUAACUUUCAAAAUACAAAUAUAAAUUUUUUUUUAAUCCUUUUAAAAUUAAACAAUACAAUAUAUAUAUAUAUAUAAUCAUUCCUUUCUCAUUCCUGUCUUUCACACAGUCCUAGAUUCUUCUCCAAGUCGGAAUCUAGGCAAGCACUUCUUCGUUAACCAUCACCACCGCUGCCAGGUAUUCGUGCUACCGCAACCAUCAUAGUCACUUCGUCAGCAGCGGUCUUACCUUUUGAAGGCCCUAGGGCUCAUUUAGUUCAUGAAUUGAACUUCUUGGGAAUAAACUUCCCAUUUCUAAUCCCACAAGAUGGGAAUGGAGCAGUGACGGAUCCACAUAGGGGCAAUGGCGUCAACUAACCCCUUCAAGCCUGGAAUCCACCAUAGGAGGCCAAUAACUUGACCCCUGCAAAUUGUCCAAAAGGUGUUUGAUGAAAUGCCCCCAAAGAAGGAGCAGCCACAGCCAGCAAGAAGCUUGUUGUGCGUGCGCUUCAAUUUUUUAUUUUUUUUCGUGACUUCAAAAUGACGUUGUGCCACUUAAGUGGUUUUAAAAUUUUUUUAUUUUAUUAAACCUGGUCAAAAUGACGUCGUUUUGGCUAGGUUAAAAAAAAAAAUCCAGUAGUAGUUGUUGCCCGAUAAAACAGAUUGGGGGAAACCCUAAAUCCCUAACUCCAAGCCCUAAUUCUACCCAACCUUCGCCCAAUUCGACGGCCUCCCCACAUGGAUCACCCUCCGGCGCCGCCGAUUUCCUCAUCCAAUGACGGCACCAAACCCCAAAUUCAAUUUGGUUUGAAAUUUGCUCUCAAAAUUGAAAGUAUGUUAUCAUAUUUCCUAAUCUUUUUAUGCUUUGAUGAGAUUGAUUAAUAUGUCAAUUAGUUUGAAUGAAUUAGAGUUUUUAAUUAAUUAAAAUAUGUUAGUUUGUAUGUUUUAAUUUGAUGGAUUUCAUCCCUCCAAUUGAAAGUAUAUUAUCCUAAUUUCUAAUCUUUUUUUUUAUGCUUUAAUUGAUUAAUAAAUAUUUUUGUAUGUUUUUAUUUUUCUUGAUUAGUUGUUGUUGUCGAUUGUAUUUAUUAGGAGUUUUUGAUUAUAUUGUAUUUGGUUUUUUUUGGGGUCAAAAUUAUAUCAUAUUUGUUUGUUUGUAUAAAUUGGAUUAAUUUUUGUGUUUAUUAAUUAAUGAAGAUUCUUAUAUAUUUUGGUUAGUUAGAAUAAAUCUUGGCAAUUUGGAUUACUAAUUUGUUUGUUUGUUUUUUGAAUAGAAAGUUAUGGAACGAUACUUUAAGAGAAAGUUCUCAUCAACUACUUCUAGUUCAGAUAAUAUGGGUAGUUCAAACUCAAGAGAUGUGGGUAGUUCGAAAGAAAGUGAGUUGCAAAAUCUUAUGAAUAAUCUUCCUACAGACCCUGGACUUCGACGUCAAAUGUUGGAUUAUGAUCCUAACAUUCGAGAUGAAGUUCGAAGAGCAUUUACAAAAAGGUCCCUGUCUCCCUAAGAAUCACACAUUUCCACAAAUCGAUCUUUCAGGGUAUGAUCGACGCUUUAAUGUCAAGUGGUUUGAUGAGUUUGACUGGUUAGAGUAUAGUAUAAGUAAAGAUAUUGCAUUUUGCUUUUGUUGUUAUCUCUUCAAAUUCAAUUUCAAAAUUGGUCAAGGGUGUAGUGAUGCCUUCACAAAGAUGGGUUUCAUAAAUUGGAAGAAGAAAGAAAGAAUUAAGAAUCAUAUUGGAGGUGUUGGAAGUGUUCAUAAUCAAUAUAAACAAUAUUAUGUAGAUCUAAUGAAUUAGAAGCAAUACAUCCAAACAGUUUUAGGCAAGUAAUCAGACCAAACUCGUAUUGAUGAUCAUAUUUGUUUGAUAGCUUCUCUUGAUUGCGUGAAAUUUUUGUUGAAGCAAGGUCUUCAUUUUUAUGGCCAUGAUGAGAGUGACACUUCAAACAACAGAGAUAAUUAUUUGGAGCUCUUACAAUUUCUUGCUGAUCAUGAUGAGAAAGUUAAGGCUAUUGUGUUAGAAAAUGCUCCAAGGAAUCUCAAGCUAAUAGCUUUAACAAUUCAAAAAGAUCUUGUGAAUGCUUGUGCCACUGAAACUAUUAAGAAGAGUUGGUAUUCUUAUUGAUUGGAUCUUUCUAGGGUGGAGGAACCGGCAGUACAACACCUCACUAAACUCAAAACGAAACAAAAAUAAGCCAAAUUCAAACCAAGACCAAGUAAAAGCCAAACCCAAAUCAGCGAGGAUAUCCCUAUAAAAAGAAAUAGAAAAUCAAUGUAGACAAGAAGGGAAAUGACGUAUGGCAUUUACAGAGUCACAAAUAGCAAUUGAUGAAAGCAUCGGAUGAAAGCACAGGGAAGAGAAGGAGUUGUGGUGCAAAAAAGACAUAGAGGUUAGUGGAUUGGAGGUGUAAGCGCGGAAAUUUUGACUAUGACAAAAAGACUGAAAAGCUUUGAUAUUUACCACGAUGUGAAAACCCUCUCAGUCAUCUAAUUAAACAUUAAAUUACUUGAUGCUUUCGACCAAAAAAGGGAAAAUACAUUACUUUAUGCAUUUUUCCUUGUCUUUUUCCAUGGUCAAUAAUUCACGGGCAUGAACUAUACCAAAAAACUAGUAGAUAUACCUUCAUUUUCUUGAUGUCACUCCAGGCCAGCUUGUUAAAUAAUAGUAUAAAUAGUUGUCUUUCCCUAUCUGUCUCCUAAAAGAUAUACACAUAUAUAUAAUGCAUAAUAUGUAAUAGAAAAUUAGAUAUGAAUUUCUUGAGUUGGGGAGGAGAGAGAGAGAGAGAGAGAGAGAGAGAGAGAGAGAGAGAGAGAGAGAGAGAGAGAGAGAGAGAGAUGGAUUUCUUGAGUUUCAUACUAUUGUGUCUUAUAGUUGCAUGGAUCUCAAUCCAUACCCUCUAUUAUUCCUUUGCAAGAAGAUCAUCAAAUCCCACAAGGCUUCCACCUGGACCAAACCCAUUUCCCUUCAUUGGAAAUCUUCUAGAGCUUGGAAACAAACCCCAUCUCUCUCUAACCAAGCUUUCACAACGCUAUGGCCCCGUUAUGACUUUACAACUCGGCCAAAUAACAACAGUCGUAGUUUCUUCAUCCGCAGUGACCAAACAAGUCCUCCGCACCCACAACCAAUUCUUCUGCAUCCGCCGUGACCAAACAAGUCCUCCGCACCCACAACCAAUUCUUCUGCAACUGAACUAUCCCGGAUGCAGUCCAAGCCUGCAAGCAUGCUAAGUAUGUUAGAAUUCAAUGUUUUCAGCAUUUUGGAUGUUUUGGGAAGAAUGAAGAGAUCACAGAGUGAGUGUGAGGAAGAGAACGUUGCUCUCAGAAAAGUAGAAAAACUUCAGAUAUUGCUAUUCAUCAUAUUCCACUGUUUUUGUAUAUUGGUAUAUGAGUGAGAGAAGUGAGCUACUUCUCUAACUGAUUUACAAGGGAAUUAAAUCCUAGCCUUUGAUCCUAUCAUCCUAUGAGAUGAUCCCACUUGUCAUAAUCUGACAUUUAGAUCCUAGGCAAGAUAAGAGGCCACUUGGACUAUGAUCCAAUGGCUCAAAUUACAUCAGAAAAAAAUAAAACUUAUAAAAUGAAAUAGAAAGGACUUUGUGACUUUGGCUCCAAGGCAUUCAGCUUAAGGGUUACACAUCAACACUCCCUUCUAACCCUUUAGCUGAUUUCACACCAAGUAGGUCUCUUAGAUACACAAAACGAUCCUUGGACAAAGCCUUGGUUAGUAUGUCUGCAAUCUGAUCUUCUGAUUUACAGUAGGUUAGUUCAAUCUCCUUUGCUUGAAUAGCUUCUCGAAUGAAAUGAAACUUUCGGCUAAUAUGUCUGGUUUUCUGGUGGAAAACUGGAUUCUUUGCCAUUGCUAUGGCAGAGGUGUUAUCACACAAAAUUGGUGUACCUUCCACUUGUUCCUCUCCAAAAUCUUCAAGUAUGAACCUUAGCCAUUUAGCUUGUGAUGUUGCUUCAACAGCACUAACAUAUUCUGCCUCUGCAGUGGACAAGGCUACUGUGUUUUGUUUAAUUGAUGCCCAUGAGAACAUCCCAGAUCCUAGUGUGAAUGCAUAUCCUGAAGUACUUCUUCUAUCAUCUUCACUUCCUGCCCAGUCACUGUCACAAUACCCAAUCAAGGUAGUUGUCUUCCCUUUUAUAAAUUCAAUUCCAAAGUCAAGUGUGCCCUGAAUGUAUCUCAAUUCCCUCAUGGCUGUUCCCAUGUGUUUUCUAGUAGGAUUAUGCAUGAAUCUAGCAAGCAAGCUAGAAGCAAACAUUAUGUCUGGUCUUGUAGCUGUCAAAUAGAGCAGGCUACCUACAAUCUGUCUAUAUUCACUCUCAUUUGCUGCCUCACUGCCAUCUUCUUUGCACAACCUUUCACUUGCAACUAGUGGAGUUACCACAGACUUGCAGUCCUUCAAUCCAAACUUUUCAAUCACUGUCAAUGCAUAUUUCUUCUGAUGAAGAAAGAUAUGUUUAUCUGUUUGUAAUACUCCCAUCCCAAGAAAAUGGUAGAGUAGUCCAAGAUCAGACAUUUCGUAAUGUUGCAUCAUAUCAUUUUUGAACUCUUCAAGUAACUUUGGACAACUUCCAGUAUAGACAAUAUCAUCCAUAUAGAGUGAGACAAUAAGAAUACCUGAAUCUUCACUUGUUUUGACAUAAAGUGUUGCUUCACUAGGACUUUUCUUGAAUCCUGCCCUGUUGAAGUAAGAGUCUAUCUCAUCAUACCAGACUCUUGGAGCUUGCUUUAGUCCAUACAGGGCCUUAUUCAACUUAUACACUCUGAUUUCUUCAUUUUCCUUCACAAAAUCCUGUGACUGCUCCACAUAAACCUCUUCCUUUAACACUCCAUUCAGAAAGGCAGAUUUUACAUCCAGUUGAUAUAGAUUCCAUUCCUUCUGUGUAGCAAGUGCUAUCAAUGUUCUAAUAGUAUCCAAUCUUGCUACUGGAGCAAACGUCUCAUUAUAGUCUAUUCCAGGCUUCUGAGAGUAGCCUUUUGCCACAAGUCUGGCCUUGUUUUUCUGCACAGAUCCAUCCAGAUUUAGUAUAGUUUUGUAGACCCACUUGACACCAAUAAUUGGCUUGCCAAAUGGUCUGUCCACUAGUUUCCAUGUAUUAUUUUUCUCAAUCAUUUCCAGCUCAGCCUUCAUUGCAUUUCUCCAUGACUCAUCUAGAUCAGCUUCUUCAAAACUGUCAGGUUCCACAAUGCACAUAUUGCACUGAGCCAUGAUUUCGUUAACACAUCUCCAUUUCUUUGGUGUGUGAUCUAUAGCUUGAGAACUUUCACUUAUUCCUUCAUUUUGCAGAGUAAAGCCUUCAUCCAUUUGGAUUGGUGUAUCCAAGCCUUGACUUGGUUCAUUUUGUUGUGUGAUUCCUUCAUCCAUUUGCAUUUGUGUAUCCAAGCUUUGACUUGGAUUACAAUUUUGAUUUUCAGUAGACACAGGGACUGUCAUUUCUCCUGCACUUGCAUUCUCCCACUUCCAUGAGCUAUUCUCAUCAAACUGCACAUCUCUGGACAGAAUAACCUUUCUAGUGCUUGGAUCAAAUAGCCUGUAGCCCUUUUCACAGAGUCCAUAACCCACGAAUAUACACUUGUGGCUAUUUUCUUCAAGUUUAUGCCUUAAUGCUGAAGGAAUGAGCACAUGACAAGGAGAUCCAAAUAUCUUUAAGUGUGCAAUUCCUGGUUUUCUGCCAGUAUAAGCUUCAAAUGGUGUUACCUUCUUGAGAGACUUGGUGGGAUAUCUAUUUAGUAGAUAGACUGCAGUAUUUACAGCUUUAGCCUAAAAAUCAUAAGACAUACCCUUCUCAUGCAGUAUAGAUUUUGCCAUUUCCAUUACUGUCCCGUUCUUUCUCUCAGCAACUCCAUUUUGCUGAGGGGAGUAUGCUAUAGUUAGCUGCCUUUGAAUUCCAAAUUCAUCACAGAACUUGUUAAAUUCACUGAAUAAAACUCUCCACCCCUGUCACUCCUCAGGCCUUUUAUCUUAUAUCCACUUUGCAGCUCAGUCAUAGCCUUGAUCUUUUUAAAACAUUCGAGUGCACUUGACUUGUUUCUGAUGAAAUAUACCCAUGACAUUCUAGUGCAAUCGUCAGUAAACAGCAAGAAAUACCUAUUUCCAGAGAUGGAUUCAGUCUUCAUUGGUCCACAGAUGUCUGUGUGAACCAAUUCCAAAGGACUUGUAGCUCUCCAAGUGAACUCCAAAGGGAAAGAAUCUCUGUGUUGCUUUCCUAGCAUGCAGCCUUCACAUACUACUGAAAUUUGCCCCAAAUGAGGUAAGCCAUGUACCAUGCCUUGAUCCUCAAGCAGUUUUAUGCUUCUUUCUUUUAAGUGCCCCAAUCUCUUAUGCCAUGUCUGCAAGCAGUGUGUAACACCUGCCUUUAAGGCCAAAUCAUUUGCAGGCAUUAUUGUAAGUGGAAAGCAUCUGUUAUUGGUCAUUUGAACCCUCACAAUCAGAUUUCUCAGUGACUGAUCAUCAUAAACAUUCACCAUAUUCUCUCCAAACACAAGAUAGUACCUAUGCUCCAUCAUUUGCCCAACACUAAGCAGAUUUUCUUCAAGACUAGUUACAAGCAUUACUUCUUGAAUGUGCUUCUUACCCAACUUGGUUUUUAUCACAAGAGUCCCUUUUCCUGCAACUGGAACUAUUUCUCUAGUACCCAUCUUUACUUUAGAAGUCAAAUUUCUUUAUAUAUUGACUAACAGACUCUCAUCACCUGUCAUGUGGUUACUACAGCCACUGUCAAUGUACCAAGAAUGAUUUUCCUUCACAUCUAUCACAGCAUUGCAUGCAUAGAAUAGGAUUCCAGUUUCUUCAACUUGAUUUGCAUAGUUCAAUUUUUGUACAUUUUUAUUUCCAUGACACUCUCUGAGCAUAUGUCCAAAUUUCCCACACCCUUUGUAUUUAGGCUUUCCUUCAAACCAACAUUUGCCAAAAUGCAGUUUCUCACAGUGUUUACAAGCCGUUUUAUUCCCAUAGUUAGAUUUCCAAUUCUUUUGAGGUUUUUGAUCUCCAGAAGAAACUCCACUCUUAGAAUUCUUUUCUUCAAUAUUCAGACUAGUAAAGGACAUUUCUGUAGAGUUCUCAUUGUGUCGAUCCAAUCUGAGCUCAAAGCUCCUCAGAGAAGCAACUACUUCUUGAAUUUCAAGAAUCUCAAGAUCCUUGGAGUGUUCAAUCACAGAGCAGUGGUUCAAAAUCUCAAACAAUCUAGCAAGAUAUACAGAUAGGGAUUCACUGUCUUUCAUGCGAGUAUAUUCAAAUUCUCUACGCAAUCCUUGCAGUUUUACAUUUCGUACCUGUUUAUCUCCUCUGAAUUCCAGCUUCAAAAUAUCCCAAGCACCCUUUGAGGUCUCCUCAUUCACUAUUCUGGGGAAGAGCUGAUCUGAGACAGCACUUUGGAUCAAUCCAAGUGCACGAGCAUCCUUCAUCAGAAGCUCAGCCAUCGUAGACUUCUCAGCAACCUUAGUCUCUUCCAUCUCCUUUUCCUUCUUUGGAUCUGAAGCAUUGAAGCCAUGUUCAACCAGAUCCCACAAUCCGUGAGAUUUCAGUAUUGUUUUCAUCCGAAUGCUCCAGAACUCAUAGUUUUGUCCAUUGAAAACUGGUGUGCGAAGCUCAGUAGUGCCCGAUCCUGACAUAUUAGACAUUGGAUUCAAGAAAUCUCAGCUGCAAUCGUAGAAGGAGCUCAGACCCAGCUCAAAUCAAUUCCUACUCCCUGUUCACAGAUUCACGCCCAGCUCAAACAAUCGAACCUGGCUCUGAGGCCAUGUUAGAAUUCAAUGUUUUUAGCAUUUUGGAUGUUUUGGGAAGAAUGAAGAGAUCACAGAGUGAGUGUGAGGAAGAGAAUGUUGCUCUCAAAAAAGUAGAAAAACUUCAGAUAUUGCUAUUCAUCAUAUUCCACUGUUUUUGUAUAUUGGUAUAUGAGUGAGAAAAGUGAGCUGCUUCUCCAACUGAUUUACAAGGGAAUUAAAUCCUAGCCUUUGAUCCUAUCAUCCUAUGAGAUGAUCCCACUUGUCAUAAUCUGACAUUUAGAUCCUAGGCAAGAUAAGAGGCCACUUGGACUAUGAUCCAAUGGCUCAAAUUACAUUAAAAAAAAAUAAAACUUACAAAAUGAAAUAGAAAGGACUUUGUGACUUUGGCUCCAAGGCAUUCAGCUUAAGGGUUACACAUCAACAAAGUACGGCAUGCCCUAGCUGACGGUUUCCCCCACUUGGAGAAACCUCCGCAAAAUAUGCAACACCCAGCUUUUCGCGGCCAAAGUUCUCGGCGCCAACCAGGCUAACCGUCACCUAAAAGUGUAGGAGCUCAUAGCUGACGUUAAGGAAAGCACUGUGAAGGGUAAGGCGGUUGAAGUUGGAAGGGCUGCUUUCAAAACUACACUCAAUUUGAUGUCGCGGACUGUGUUCUCUGUGGAUUUAGCGGACCUGAACAGUGAGAGGGCUAGAGAGUUCAAGGAGUCGGUAUGGAGUAUAUAUUAUGGAGGAGAUUGCGAAACCAAACUUGGCUGUUUAUUUUCCUGUGCUUAAGAAGGUUGAUCCCAUGGGGAUACGGCGCCGUUUGGGCAAGCACUUCCAGAAGAUGAUUGAUCUUUUUGACCGCAUGAUCGUCCAAAGGUUAGAAUCAAGGAAGUCACGUGAUUAUGUCACAGGGAAUGAUAUGUUGGAUAGUUGCUACUUAUUGCUAUAUUACUACUCUACUCUAUCUCUACUAAUUGUUCUUGAUGACCUUGUCUGAAUUCAUAAUUAAACUGCUUAGAUUUUACAAUUAUAACUUAUUAUUGUUGUUUCUGUUUUUGUUUAUGUUAGUACUAUAAACAAUGUCUACACUGAUUAAUGUUUUGUGUUCGAAUUUCCCUAUAUUGCUUGUACAAAAAUAUAUAUAUAUAUAUAUAAUUUUAUUUCGUCAUUAUAUGUCUAUGUGCCCAUAUUAAUUUAUUGACUAAUUAACUUUUUGGUGAAUUAGGAUUUAUUUGGUGCGGCCACAGAUACAACUUCAGCCACACUAGAAUGGGCAAUGGCUGAGCUAUUACACAACCCUGAAAAGCUGUCAAAAGCACAAGAGGAGCUGAAGCAGGUCAUUGGCAAAGGAAAACCAGUGAAGGAAUCAGACAUCACUCGGCUCCCUUACAUAUACAAGCCAUAAUCAAAGAGACCUUCCGGCUGCACCCAGUUGUCCCACUUCUUCUCCCUCGUAGAGCCCAAGCAGACGUAGAAAUCUACACUUACAUUGUACCAAAGGGUGCACAAGUUUUGGUCAACGCAUGGGCCAUCGGCAGAGACCCCAGAAUUUGGGACAACCCUACCUCAUUUAUUCCUGAGAGGUUUUUGGGAUUGGAUAUCGACGUUACUGGCCAGAACUUUGAGCUUAUUCCAUUUGGUGGCGGGAGGAGAAUAUGUCCUGGGUUGCCUUUGGCGAUGAGAAUGUUGAAUUUGAUGUUGGGUUUGCUUAUUAACUCGUUUGAUAAUUGGAAGCUUGAAGAUGGAGUUGUGCCGGAAAAAAUGAACAUGGAAGAGAAGUUUGGCCUCAGUUUACGGAUGGCUCACCCUCUGAUAGCUGUGCCCAUCAAGUAUUAGGAGAACCAAACCUAGCUAGCUAUGGUUUCUACGAUAAAUGGAUUUAUGUUUUUAUUAGGGAGUUACAAUAAUUAAUCCUACUAAUGAUAGGAAAUGGUCAGUUGUCAGUUGUCAGUAAUGUUGUUAUUAGGCCAUAACUCCAUAUUUAAGUUUAUGAUAGUAGCUUGCUGUAAUUGUAGAUUGUUCUCCACAGACUUCAUAUAUAUAUGUGUGUGUGUGUGUGUGUAUUGUAUAAUAAUCAUAUGAAUGACUAUGGAAAAAUAAGUUUCUACAUGGUAUCAGAGCUAAUGGCUAAUGCCGAUUAGCGAUCCUCUAAUUACCAAAUUGAGAGUCGUUGGCACUCCUCACUCCUCACUCCUCACCCUUAAGGGUUUUUGUUUAUGUAUAGUGCUUUUUCAUCUCCUCUUCUCAAAGACGAAUAUGUUUUUCCUUUCCACCUUAGCUGUAGCCACACCUUUCUUUUACCACUGCAACCUUUUCUUCUAUUAGCCCGUUAUUUUUGUGUCUCCGUCGCGCCGUCUUUAUUGCAGACCAUCCCCUCCAUUGAGCUCUCCCGGGGCAACCCACAGCAGCUCCAUUUAUCUCCCUUGGCCAUGAUGGCCAGAUUUCUGUUUCCUUCGCGAGCCUCGUCACCACUCACCGAGUCUUCUCCUCGCCGGCCUUUAUCUCUCUCAUGCCAUGCUAUCUUGCUGUUGUUAUUCUCUUGCACAGCCGUUGCCUAUCCCUCUUAUGGCUCGCCGGCCCCUUGUUAUCCAUCAAUGUUGGGCCACUUCUCUCUGCUGAAACUGAGCAGCAAAUUUUCCUUACCUUCUUGAGCUUCUUGUUCUCAUAAGCUCCAUCUUUUUGUCUGUUUUCCCUCAAAGACCAUACCUCUGUAUCAUUGGUUUCUCUCAUUUUCUUGAAAUCUCCCUCCACUUUCUUUAUUUUGAGCUUCUUUCUCUGUUUAUCUGAGAGACUCUCCCUCCCUAUCAAGGAGUUCUCUUUUCUCUCUCUUCCAUUUUCAACAUUUUUGGUUUUUUUUUUUUUUUUUUUUGUAAUCUUCUUGUUUUACUCUUCACACCACUGAUAUCCCUUUGCUUAGCUCUCUUUCUUGAGCUCUAUAUUUCUAUGCUUCCCACGUGCUGGGUUUUGCUCUCAUUUUCUUAUAUUUAUUUUAUUUAAAAAAAACAUAAUUUGUUUAUGAACUUGUCUCAAGAGCCUGUCUUGCUCACGCUCCUUUUUUUUUGUCUAUCUCACCGUGAAACUCUUACAUGGUUUUUUUUUUCCCUCUUUUUUGUCUAUGCCCAAUGGCAAGUGUUUGUUUGUUUGUUUUUUUUUUUUUUUUUUUGUGGUUUUUUUCUUCCCCAUCCCUUUACUUUUAAAAAUUGGGUUUCUCUCUCUUUGUGCACUACUUUCUGGCCUUUAUUUUCCCACUUACCGCAUGCUCUCUAUCCUACCUAAAGGGUGAUUCCUAGGUAGAGUUAUGUUUCUCAGGUGCCUAGAGUUGUUUCCUAUGUACAUUUGACUUGUAUGUCAGCCCGUCAUGUUUUUUCUUUCCUUCCAUGAGCCCAUGCACUAUACAUUUGACUUGUAUGUCAGCCCGUCAUUUUAUUCUUUCCUUCCAUGAGCCCAUGAGCUCCUUCACUUGUUGCCUUUCAAUGGGCAUUAUUUUUAUUUUUCUGUUACUUUGUUUCUCUCAAGCCAUUGUUGCACCUAUGGAGUUCUUCUUUUUGGUUUCCCUUACUGGACUACUACAUUCGAUUGCUGCCACCAUCUCCAUCACCAUGUAGUUUCUUCACUCAAAUCUUGCUAUGUUGUGUGCGAAGAUGGUUCUCUACAGACUUGUAUAUAUAUAUAAUGUAUAAUGAUCAUAUGAAUUACUAAGGAAAAAUCAGUUUAUAUAGUUUUCAUCUUUUAUAAAUUAAGAUUAUGUUGUGUAUGCAUCCACCUUGUAACUCAAGUGGUUUUGAACUAGGGAUGGCAAUGGGUCGAAUCAGGGGUGGGCAUGGCAUUUCCAUCCCCAUCCCAUUAAGCUUUUUUCCCCAUUCCCGCCUUCAUAACUGUAAUAUUCAUAUCGGGGAUUCCCUAUCCCCACCUUCAAUGGAGAAUGGAUUCUGAUAGGAUCCGCUCCGGAAUUUCCAGGAAACCGAAGCGGACCCCGUCUUUGUUCCGACAUCUACCCGAUGCCGGGCCCACUUACGAAGAAACCGAGACUUUCUACCAAAAAUUUGGCAGAGUCUCCCCUGUAAUUUAAGCAAACCCAACAAAAAUUUUCAACAUGCAACAUACAUAAAUUAAAAAUCCUAACCAGCAACAUGCUUUCAUAAUUCAACAAGUCAUACUAAAUGGCCUCCGGCCUCACAAGUAUAAUCUACCAUGGGUGAUAACAGAGCAUCUACUGAAUUUAGAUUACAAGAACAGUUGAGUAGAAGAAAUUACUCAAAUCCUAACUAGGAAGGUUCACAGUUCGAGGCUCGUACACCAUUUGCACGCUUCCGGGAGCGACUAUUGGCUGAGGGGCGCGAAACAGAAAACAUGUGAGUAGACAAAAACCAUAUUUGCAGUUUAAAAUAAUAUAGUAACCCCAUCGUGUAAAAAUAAUGCUCAAAUCAUGCAGGUUCACAAUUCAAUAUUUAAUUACUCAAAACAUGAUUCAUUUAAAACUCUUCAAAAUACAAAUCAUCUCCUUCAUAAACCCCAUUCUCUCAAACUUACAACUCCUGCCAAACCACUGAAAAAAUUUAAUUCUACACUCACUCAACUAUACAUAUAUAUAUAUAUAUAUAAAUAUAAAUAUACAUAUAUAUAUAUAUAACUAUAAAUAGUUAUACGAUAUACUCAUCACACUACCUAGGUACCGGAAAAACGAUCCAACUGGGGGGAUCGUUUGAUUAGUCCACAGGAUUUCCAGGUGCUAUCCUGCGUCUAGGGAUGAGCGGUCCAACAGGGGGACGAAACUCCAAAGCUCCCACACCGGAACAUCCAACGCCAUGUGUAGCCCCCAAACUAUGUCCUACGCGCGCAGACUGGAUCAUCACACACCAGAACAUCCAACGCCAUGGGUGAUGACCCUAAACACUAUACAGGUCUUUCCAUACGCCGGAACAUUCAACGCCGCAUAUAGAAAGUGUCUCACACGCUGGAACAUCCAACGCCGCGAGUGAGACGCAUAACCUAUUCUUCCCACACGCCGGAACAUCCAACUCCGCGUGUGAAAAGUCUAAUAACUGAGGAAGGUACUUACAUAGUGUAAUCAUACAACUUCUCACAACAACCCCUCAUAAUCAAGUUCUAUCACAACGCACUACAACAACCCAAGUAUCUCGCCUAUAGAGAAUAUAUAUAUACUUCCCCAAAAUCCUUAUAAAACACACUCUCGAUACCCAAAAUGCCAAACUUACAAUAUAUUGCCAAGCGCUAUACAAACAUUAUAUUCAACUCAAGAAUAUAAUAUAUUCAAUAAGCCAUUAAAAUAUUAUGCAAAAAUAUUUCGUCAAUAAAACCAUGCAUAUGAUUGAAAACAAAGUCCACUCACAAAUAUUCCCACACUGCCUGACCACGUGAGCGUCAUGCCUGCUAAGUACGUGCAGUCGAAACACCUAUUUCGAGAUACGAACCGUUAAUUAAUAUAAAAUUACGUCGAAGCGGAAAUCACAAAUUAAAUGCUUAAAUCCCCAAAUUCCCAAUACGUGCACGUUGAAGAAGGUGUCCUAAGGUCCGAUUACAGGUUUGGAAUCGUUCACGAUUUUACGGUUAUCGCUAACCCGCAAACUUUGCGUUAUUGAAUCGGAACAUCCGGGACUCCGAUUCAUAAUCCGUGAAGUCCCAUACGGUCCUAGGAAUACCUAGAACAACAUAUUUUAAUUCGGAAAAGAUCUAAGGGUCGGAACCUAUCGAACCCGGAUAACGCACAAUAUGCGAAAAUCCGUUCGAUAGUCAAACGACGUCCGAAUUGAGAUCCGCGAAUUUCUAUGUGCUCGUGACAACCUAAGGAUCUCAUUGGGUUAAAUUGCAUCUUCACAGCCUCGCCCACGCGCUGCCACAUGCGCCAGCAGUGCGUGGGUGUGUAGAGUAAUUUCGGUGACAGAGAAACUCCACACCCGAGCUCACCCUUCCUAUCCUAGCUUCUACUCAAGGUCAGGAUCACUUCAUUCAACUAUGGGAAGGUCCAAUUCGGGCGGCAAUUGGCCGGAAUUUCACUUUGAAAUCCAGCCAAAACCUAGGUUUCUAAUCGAUUUUCUAGACAACAAUUCGGUCCAAACCUAUACAACAAUCAGCUAGAACUCGGAAAAUGGAUGAGAAACCAUACCUCACUCAUCGGGUUUGGGCGGCGGAGGCAGCGGCGCGACGACGGGAAAGCUCCAGUUCAAACCAGUCGAGCUCGUGGCCGGAGUUCGUGGUUUCCGACGGGAAAAACCGGCUAGCCUUGAUCGGGACGUCGAGGCGAAUCGAUCGGGACCGGUGGCGUGCCUGGCCGUGGCCGGUGCAGAGAGAACCGAAGAGAGAGAGUGUCGGUGUCGGGGAGAGAGAGAGACUGAGGAGAGAGAAAGCUGAGCGCGGGCGAGGAGAGAGAGAGAGCUUAGGUGAAAAAAAUCUGAUUUUUACUCUAACCUUUUCGAAAUAAUUAUAGUUUUGCCACUGAUAGAGUUUUGCUCGUAACUUUUUCGUUACAACUCCGAUUCAAGCCUACCGCGUGUCUACGAAUUCGUCUCAGUACCACCUACCCGAAAAUACCAUUCAUGGUCCCAAAAUCCUUCUGGAUAAGAAAAUGACCAAUUUACCCCUACCCCAAGGGUAAAUUCGUCAUUUAUUUUAAAUCAAUUAAAAUAGACAUUAAUUUUGGAGUCGGGGUGUUACAGAUUCCUUGACCUGCCCCAUUACGUAUGAAAGAAAAAAUUAAUAUAAAACUACUUUAUUUGAAAGAAAGAAAAAAAAAAAGGACUAGGGCAAGAUAAUGAAUAUAUAUAAUAUAUUAUCUAUGUACAAGACAAUAUAAGAAUGUUUAUAUGUUGACUGGAAGUUAACUAAAUAUAUAAGUAGUGUAGCUUAAAAUUUGUAUAAAUUUUAUAAAUAUAUAAUAUAAUAAUAAAAAAUAUAAAAAUAAAUCGACACAAUCACUUUAAUAGCAUAUUUAUAUAUACUAUAGUGUGUGUAUAUAUAUAUAUGUAUAUUCUAAAAAGGAGGGGGAGGAGGGGUGGGGUGGUUCGGGUUGGGGAUUAAAAUAUCAUCCCUACCCUUCCCCUAACACUAUACCCAAAAAAUUUAUUGUACCCGUCCCCAUACCUGUUUUUUAUCCUUCUUACUCGACCAUUAGGGUUGAAUCUGUGUGAAGACCCUUACCCGUGGUUAAAAUUGCCAUCCAUAUUUUGAAUAGUUAUCUUCCUUGCACUAUGUAGGGGCUUUUUUGUUCCGGCAGCUACAGAUGGGCCUGAGCUGCUGUAAAAAGCAAAAUAGGUGGAACUGCCCGUGUGUUUGAGUUCAAUAAUCAGACCCCAAGAGUGCUUCGAAAGGUUCUUGGAGCCUUAGGAAACACCUUGGCUUCCUUCACCAACAAAACCAACAGUUGCUUAUAGAUAAGUAUUUAGGCUUGGCUUGAGAAGUUUGUGGCAUGGGAGCUGAGCAUUCAUGAGUUUAGCAUGAGAGAGAGAGAGCUUGGGUUUCUUAUGAGAAACAGAGGCUUGAAGUAAGGGGAAUAGGGAGUUUUUGGGUGGAUUUGUUGAGGGAAGAGAGGGAAAGAUGAAGAUGGAAGAAUGAGUGGUUUUAGCAAAUUUUCAGCAGCUUGACGAAAGUUUUGUCAGGCUCUUGAGUGUUUUGCCAGAAGAGAAAAGGGGAAGCAAUGGAAGAACAUGGCUCGAAAUUGUAGGGUUCCAGUGGUGAGAGGUGUUGCUUGCUCUCUCUAGAUGCGGUUAUGGGAGAGAGAGGAAGAACAUGGAAGAAUGGGUGGUUUAGCAAAUUUCCAGUAGCUUGACGAAAGCUUCGUCAAGCUCUUGAGUGCUUUGCCAGAAGAGAAAAUGGGAAGGAAUGGAAGAACAGGGCUCGAAAUUGAAGGGUUCCAGUGGUGAGCGGUGCUGCUUGCUCUCUCUGGAUGUGGUUGAGAUGAUGGGUAGGAGAUACCCAUUUUUAUAGGUGCUGGAAACUUUUUUUUCCCAAGAAACCCUAACUGAUUCUUCCCAAAUCAGCCAAGUCUCCCCCUAUAUUCCUCUUCUCUUCCUUUGAUUCAUCAUUAUUUUAUGAAAUCCCCCUAAUCCGAACACACAGAGACAAGAUUUUUUGGAGCUCUAGAGUCUUCCCGCAGCUGCUGCAGUGGUGAUCUCCUAUCUUUGGCUACCACCUCUCCUUCUUUCCUCCCUUAUUUCAUGGCAAGAGCUGGUAGGAGAAAGAAAUAGGUAACGGCGUUGGUAUGAAGGCUGCUUUUCUCCUAGCAACCUGCGCACGCAAAUAUCCUUUGGUUUUCUCCAAUAGUCUGUCUUGGGUUUGCCUUUGGAGACUCCCAGUAGCUUGCUCAUACAAGUAUCCUUGGUUUUCGGUUAUGGUUUUGUCUCUAGCCAUGUGCUAGAGACUUUCAGAUAUUUUCUAAGUCACUUGGGCCAUUCCCAAAGGUGAUGGGCUAGUUUACUAAGGGCCAACUUUCUAAAGUGAUGGACUAAUUUAAUAAGAUGAUGGGCCAAUUUUCUAAGGUGAUGGGCUAUCUUUCCUCUCUUUCAUACUUACCCACAUAUUUGGGCUCAAGAAAUGGGCUCGAGUUUUGGGGUUCCCAAGCAGCCCAAAACUUCCACUUUUUGGCUCAUCAAUGGGCUAUGUGAAUGCUCGUAACCAUCCAUACCACAACCCACUCAGCAAGCCCUGGUCAUUUGUGUGGCUUGGGCCCACUUAAGCUUGUAGCGUGGCUAGGUGCAAAAUAAAGGUUUUUCGCUUGGCAUUGCAUGUCGAUUGGCAUGCUCGUGCUCGAAUUUUAUUAUUUUUUAAAUGGCUAUGGUCGAGUCAAAACGACGCUUGACGGGAUAACAUUUAGCAUGGGUUCAUAGAGCCAGUACAUUUUACGGGCUUGCUACGACCUUUUUACUUGGCGUGUUGCGUAUUUGCUUGGCGUGGCACGUGGAUUGCAACUCGCGUGAGAGUGGAUGAUGAACUUUCGCGUGCCCAAAUGGGGGUUUCUUCUCAGUAAGGUGUCGCACUGGGACGGAAAUAUAUUUGGGCCUACUCUUAGAUUUUUGUGGGCCUCAACACACUCAAGAUUCUGUGUUUGAAUCUCACCCACCCAAUAUCGAUCGCUUUUAUUAAAAUUAAAAAAAAAUAGAGACUAUGUCGUGUAUAUAUCUCAAUCAUUCAUUAAAUUUGAAUCUUAAUAACAAUUGGUUGCUGUAAGAACGUCCAGCAAAAUUAACUAUGAAGAUAGUUUUUUCUCUGAGGAAGGUUUAUUGGGGUGAAUAGAGUAAUUGGACUGCCUUGGCUUUAUGGGGCUCCUACCAUUGUUGACAAUAGGGCUACUAAUUAUAUUGGCCGUGUUUGUUGGUGGUCCUUUGAUUUCUACCUGGCAGCUGUCGAUUUUUUUUUUCCUGUUGUUUCAUCCUUGGUUAUAUUAGCCGCGGGCCUCGGCAGCUUCUUUCUUUUCUUUGCAAUUCCGUCUUAAUUUUUGUCGUGCAUGAUAAAAUUGACCUUAAAUUGCUUGGCGCUUUGGAUAAAAAAAACAGUUUAUUCAAUGCACAUUCUCAACUCGUCUUUUUCCUUUGUCCAUAAGUAAGGUUGCCGGUCUAGUUCUUUCGAUUGAUGGAGCUUAUGGUAAGAAUUUAGAUGACUUCAUUUUCGUCAAGUCACAUCAGUUGCCUUUCCCAAUCUGUCUUAAUGAGAUUGGACAAAUAACUUUAAUGGACCAGUGCGCGCAACCCAUAUGAUUUUAUCUUGGUAUGACAAGAAUAUUUAUAUGAUUUUUGGCACCGACCAUGUAUAGAAGAACAAAUUUGAUAAAAGCUUCCUUACCAAAAAUGGCUGUUAGAGAUUGCUUGUAAUAGGUGUUUUGAAUUAUUUAGUGUCGUCAAAUUAAGUCACAUAAUGCACAUGUGAGGUUGCCGGCCUAGUUCUUUUCCUUUGUCCUUUAAAAUUUUUCGUCAAAUCAAGUCACAUAAUGCACAUGUGAUUUUUAAGGGUAUUUAUGUCAAUCACUAUAUAUCUAUCUAUAUAUAUAAACCAAAAGGCAGAGAAUGGUGAAACAUUCAAAAUACCAAAAAAUGCCCUUGGUUAAUGCAAACAUUAAGAAUUGAAAUUAUUAAUUAAAUGAGGAUAAUAUGGUAAAUUCACAAUUUUUCGUAUUAAAAAAAUUAAAAUUAAAAGAAAAUUCAGAUAAUGGGUCCUAUUUUUAUGGAACACAAAUAUCCAUUAUCUUUUUUAAUUCUAAAAUAAAUUAAAAUUUUUUAAAAAAAAACCUCUCGCAUGCGCGGAAGCGCGUGCAGAGAGGCUAGUAUAUAGAAAAUUUAAAAACUAACAGAAUUUAAUUUUAAAUGAAAAAAAUAAGUAGGAAAACUAACCAAAUAAUUUCACAAACUUCCCGACCUCCUUCCAACACCAAUUCGCCCUCACCAAAAUAAAGUGAACAUUUUCUCUCUGAAAUUGAGUUAUUCUUGGUCGAUGGUUGAGGCCAAUCUUCAUCUUUCUUCUUCGUUUUGUUUUUUCUCAAAAUUUUGGUGUUAGUUCACUAGGCUUGGAUCUCAUACGUCCUGCCUCUUAAAAUUUCUUCACAACACAUCACAGGAAGAUGAAUUUAGAAACUGUAGAUCAUUGCGUCUUAAAAUUUGUUCACUACUCUACACAUCCCCUUCAAUAUGAUGGUAGAUUGACCUUGCGAAGGCCAUAUCUAAAGGAAAAGCAAACAGAGCCAUGACACUGGAAUACAGAUUUUUGUUUUGUAAAUUUUUUAUAAGUUAUUCGGUGUUGAUUUUCCAAUUUAAAAAAUGUGUUUGGAAAUCUUGUUGGCUCAAUCACUUUUCUUUCUUUGUUUCUACUCUUUUAUAAAUUUUUUUUGGGAGCUAUUAGUAAUAUACUCAGAAUAGGACCUGAAAUUAUAAAAAAAACUCUAUAUAAAAUACACUUUAGAAACACACCUAAAAAUCAUUUACUAUAUAAAAAAUGAGUGUUGGAGUUCCUAUAAAUUACAUCUCUGUCAUUGAUUAACUUAAAACAAGCCCAAUACAAAAAACUAAAAAAAACCCAAAAUAAGCCCAGCAAGUCCAACUCAUAUUUGACCACCAAAAAAAAAAAAAGAAAAGCCCAAGAAACCCGAAGUACAUUAUUAAUACCAUAUCAUAGAAGUACAUUAUUAAUACCAUGUCAUAAAGAUACAUUGUUAAUAUCAUGUCAUAGAAGUACAAUGUUAAUAUCAUUUUAUAGAAAAAUAUUGUUAAUACCAUUUCAUGCAAAAAACUCAAGCAAGACAUCCGAUAUCCUUUGCAAAAACCACCUCCAAUUAUCCAUAGUUUCACCAGAAACAAUCGCAAAGGCAAAAGGAAAUAGCUCUACAAGGAAAAAAAAGAAAAGAAAGUACACUGUUAAUACUAUGUCAUAGACCUAUCUUCCAAGUAAAAAUCACAUUAUGCAUAUCAUAAACUUCAAGUGCACAGCUAUAUAUAGAGCAAAAUAUAUAGCAUGCUUUGUUACUGAAAAUAUGUUAACACUAUGUCAUAGAAGUACAAUGUUAAUACUAUGUCAUAUAAAUCAACUCAGUUGUAGGGUAUGAACAGUAUAACAACUGUUCAUACCACUUACUGGAAGCUAACAAUAUCAUUUCAUUCCUGCCACCAUCAGAAUCAGCAUAUUUGUGAGGAGAGAAAGAGUCGCCGGACAAGACUUCAGAGUAGGAUCCAAUAGCAUAUGAAGCUUGUUUCAGAUACAUCAUCAUUUUGGCGUGGGGUUCAGGAUAAGAAGCAAGUUUCUCAUCCCCUGCAUAGGAGGGGUUCAACAAGUUUUGGUUGCUUAAAUUUUGGAAAUAUGUAGCCAUAGCUUGGUUGGUUGGUUCCUCUGUCUCCAAAGCCAAAGCCUUGAGUUAACCUGCUACAAAAUCCAAAUUACCAAUCUUGCUCAUAAACAAAUUAACAUUGUAGAUCAAUCACAGAUUCCUAACAUAGAAAAUAAGAAACUCAUAAAAAAGAAAGCCUAACCAAAAUUACCAAAAGCAAAACCAGUAAAAUGAAAAGGAAUCACAGAGUGAUCAAAAGAACAGAAGCCAAAUUUAACCCAAAUAUAAAAAUCGUCUUCUUCUUUUUUUUCGGAUCAUCAGAAGUAUGUAGUGAACAUGUUAACACAAGAAAUUAUAUCAAGCACUCAAAUUCCAUUCCAUUCCAUCACAAAGAAGAAUAGUAACAUAAUUAAUUAAAAUGAAAUCAACAGAGGAGCUUUUGAAGUGUACCUGAAAGUUGUGGUUUGGGAAUGAAUUGUGAAGUAAAAACAAAUGGAUAAAAGAGAAGAGAAACUGAGGCAAAGUCCUCCACCUCCUCGUCCUCCCUCCCGAAUUGGAGACAAACUCCAGAGUCAUCGAAAACAGCGUCGGAAAACUCGAAAUCUACAAACGUUUCCGAGCUGGCAGCGGCGUCGUGAGUGGCUGAGGUGGCUGUGAUUCAGCCCAGACAUGAUCACCGGCCCUGGCCGGUCCUUUUCUGAUCAGUCUCACGGUUGGCCGUGCUUGGACCACCAAGAUCGACGGCCAACCUGGUUUCUGCAAAGGGAGAGAGACAAAAGAGAGAGCCCCAGAAUUUUGAAAAAAAACUAAUUUAAUACUAAAAGGGUAAUAAAAGUAUUUCAUUUAACUAAUUAAACUAAAAAAUUUAACAGCUGUGAGUUUUUUUGGGUGUGUAUAUAUACAUUGAAUGGUGUAGGGUUUCUUUAUAAAAUUAUGUCUAGGAAUGGGUAUUUAACUUUUAUUUAUUUAUUUUGGGGGGCGCCGGGGGGGAGAGAGGGGGGGGGGGGGGGGGGGGGGUUUGGGCCCCCGGGGGGGCUUGUUUAAAACUAUGUGUUAAAAGGGGAGGAAAAAUCUUUGGAAAAUACGGGGGGGUUUAUUUUUUUUUUGGUAUUUAUUGGGGGUUGGCGGGGAAUGACCUUUUUUGGAGCAUGGGACUUGGUUUUNNNNNNNNNNNNNNNNNNNNNNNNNNNNNNNNNNNNNNNNNNNNNNNNNNNNNNNNNNNNNNNNNNNNNNNNNNNNNNNNNNNNNNNNNNNNNNNNNNNNCUAUCCUGGAUUGGAAUCGACGACCUUAUUUGAAGCAUGUGACUUGAUUUAACGGAAAUUUUUAAAGGAGUAGGACGUAGGUGGUAAAUAUUUCAACACUUUAAAUAGUUUAAGUGGUUACUAGAAAAAAUUAAAAAUUCAUGUGAUAAUCCCGCACGUACCUAAAAGUUUGGAUAAUAUUUAUGUAAAUUCCCCUUUAGGGUAAAUAGAGAUAGCUUGUAAAAGCUUCCACUCGUAACAAAUAAGUCCGGACCCAAAUUGUUCUCAAAUGUCUUUACCUAAGUUUGUCUCUUAGCUUAGGGGAUAUAUAUAAACGACUUAAAAGAGUUAGUAUUGAAAAGAUAUUUUUAUGCUUUCUCGAUAAGUCUCAACAAUCGUGCCAAAAAUUAAUUAAGAGUUAGGCGAGAGAUGGAUUUCUUGUGUUGCAUGCAAAUGUGUCUUAUGGUAGCCUGGAUUUCUUGUGGGGGAGCUGGGAGGAGAAGGGGAUGGAGAGAAAGAGAGGGAGGUUUUUUUUUUUUUUUAAUAAGGAUUUUUUAAAUGUUAUUUUAUUAUAUUAUAUAAUUAAUUAAUUAUUUUUUUAAAAGAAACAGUGGGUCCUAUAGUGGACAUGUCAUCAGUUAAACCAAACGGUCAACUAAACAGAAUGUCUAAAUUGGUCAAAUUUGAAAAUCAUCGAAUAUAAAUUAAUGAAAUUGAAACUCGAGAGUCUAUAUUGAGAAUGACCCUAAAUUUUCAGGAAGUCUUUUGACAUUAAUCCUAAGGCCACCUCCACCGCAGCCCAUUUUGCCAGGGCAAGAGGCCCAUAUUCUGGGGUUUGGACCUCCAGCGCACGCGAAGCAGCCCGGGCAAGCCUUGGGUCCCACCAACCCGGGCAAGCCCAAAGGCAGAUUUUGCCUCGGCUUCAGCCCGAAGGCCCUGACGUCAGCGAGCAAAAAAAAUUGAAAAUAAAUAAAAAAUAAUUCAAUUUAAAAAAAAAAAAACCAAAAAAUUAUGGAUGUUUUCCCUAUAAAUACGUAACAAUUUUGUUCACUUUCCACACCAAAUCCUCAUACAAACUCUUUUCCUUCCAAUAUUUGUAAAUUGUAAUCAUUUUUUUUUCUUGCAUUUGUAAAUUGUUUAUAUUUUCUUCCAUAUUAAUUUUUUUCUUGCAUAAUCAUUUUAUUUCUUGCAUUUCUAAAUUGUUUAUAUUUUGUUGCAUAUUCUUUUUUUUUCUUGCCCUUGCCCUACCCUUUUAGGUUGGAACCAAAAAAAAGGAAGGUUGCUACUAUUCACGUAAAUAGUAACAGCCCUUGCCUUGCCUUUGCCUUAGCCUUAGCCUUAGCCUUAGCCUUUUGGGGUGGACAUGCUCUAAUAUAUAUUUGUAAUUACAUGACAGUGUUUCAUGUUGCAUUCUCUGCGGGUCCUUUUCAAAAAAAUCAGCCAUGUGCACAAGAGUGAAUUUAGCCGAAGACAUGUCAUGUCUUCUGUUCAUAGAAAAACAACAAAGAAACUUUCUUUCCACAAAUGCAUGAAUGUACUGUCUCCUUGCGUCACGCAUCUCAAUUUUCAAGGUUGAUUGGUAAUAAGAAUAACUAAGAGCAUUCAUAGUGGUGGAGUGUAUUUUUGGUGGUGUAAAGCUACUUUUACAUCCCCUUUACACCUUCAGGGGGUGUAAAUACAUUUUUUUGCUCUAAUGAGAAACGAUGUAAAUCUAAGAUGUAUAAUUUUUCCUCUCUUUUCUCGAGUGGGUCUCGUCUGCAAAAGAUGUAAAAAUAUAUGCAAAUGUGCAUUUUAUUUUACAUUUCCAUAAUGAUAAUGUAUGUUACAAUCUUUUACAUCUCUCUAUUAAAGAUGAUUCCGAUAAACAAGGGAUGUAUAUUUAACAUAUAACUCCUUAUACACCCUCCCAUUAUAAAUGCUCUAACAAAACAUGAGCUCCUACUGGGAAAAAAAAAAUUCAAUGGGACCAAUAAUCAGUUAUUUUGAAUUGUAGCUACCCAUUCUUUGACUCACAUGCAUAUAUAUAUAUAUAUAUAUACUUUUCUUGGUGGGAAAAGUCCCUUGAGGAAAUUGUAUAGGAAAUUGUACUUUUUUGUCUUGUUGCAUUUUUCUUUUCUUGUUCAAGUAGUUUUGGACCAUCCUCUUUCAAAGCAGACAUGUGCAGUGCAGUUGCAAAAGACCAUUAGCCCUCGUGCAUGUUUAUGGGAAAAAACAAAACCACUGGCCCACUUGGCUAUAAAUUAUUGUAUGUAUGUCAUUUACCUUCUUCUUAUUUUAUUUUAUUACUGCAUGUCAUUUACUAUUUUACAUGUGAUGUGCAUCUGUGACUCUGUGAGAAUGAUAGCUUCCAAACGCUAGACACUAUGAGUGAUAAAUUAUUUUGAUUAUAGAAUUUAAAGUUAAAUGAUUUUAAUUCUUUGGAAUUUUUUAGACCAAAACUCGAUUUAUUCGAAUUAUAAUAGUUUAAUUUAACAACUUUUGUGCAAUUAGAAUUAGAGAGAAAAUGGAUUUCUUGAGUUUUUGUAUGGUCUUGCUAAGCCUUUUCUCUGUGUUGUUGUUCUCAAUUAUUCAAGUUCUGCAAAGCAAAGUCAAUUCCAAAAGGCAUCUUCUCCCACCUGAACCAAAGCCAUUGCCCUUUAUUGGCAAUCUUCUAGAGUUUGGCAACAAACCCCAUCUCUCUCUCACGAAGCUUUCUCAAAUUUAUGGCCCCAUUAUAACUCUGUAACUCGGCCAAUAUUCAUAUUGGGGAUUCUCCAUUCCCACCUUCAAUAGGGAAUGGGCAUUACGUACGGAAGAAAAAUUAAUAUAAAACUACUUUAAAAAAAAAAAAAAAAGACUAGAGCAAGAUAAUGCGUACAUAUAAUAUAUUAUCUACAUACAAGACAAUAUAAGAAUGUUUACAUAUUGACUGGGAAGUUAACUAAAUAUAUAAGUAGUGUAGCUUAAGAUUUGUAUAAAUUUUAUAAAUAUAUAAUAUAAAACUUAAUCGGCACAAUCACUUUAAUAGCAUAUUUAUAUAGCCCUGAUCUUUUGGACCAGAGGGGUUCCAGUGGCUUCUUUCUUUUCUCUACACUUGUCUUAAUUUUUGUCGUGCUUGAUAAAAUUGACCUUAAAUUGCUUUGUGCUUUCGACCAAAAAAAAAAAAAUGUUUAUUCGAUGCACGUUACGUUCUCAACACGUCUUUUUCCCUUGUCCAUAAGAAAUGGGCAAGUUGCAGGCCUCUAGUUCUUUCGAUUGAUGGAGCCUAAUUUCAGGAUCAUUUCUGGAUCCACCGGUGCCUCCUAAACUGUACACCAAAACCAUUCUUUAUUAUAAAAUAGUUGACCUUGUUAUAAAACCAAAGAAUUGAGGAGAGAAUUUAGAAGCAGGGAAACAGUAGGAUUGGUUCCUCUCUUCAGUAUUAUACCAUCCGUCCAUUACAAGGAGGGGUGAACCCUUUUGUAGGCAAAGCCCCUUCUAACAUGUGGUGGGCUCCACCUUAUCACCUUAUCACCUAAUCACCUUAUCAUUUACAACAGACCUUUGCUCAGACGCCCAUACUAACAUGGCAGAAGUAAAACAAUUGAACUUGAACACUAGAGAGGUGCUUGUUUGAAUAUGAAUAGCCACCUGGCGGCUGUGGAGCUCUUUUACAAUUUUCGUCUUAUCUCCCUUCUAAUCUAUAUAUAUAAAGCAAAAGGCAGAGAAUGGUGAAACAUUCAAAAUACCAAAAACUGCCCUUGGUUAAUGCAAACAUUAAGAAUUCAAAUUAUUAAUUAAAUGAGGAUAAUAUGGUAAAUUCACACUUUUUCAUAUUUAAAAAAAUUAAAAGAAAAAGAAAAAGCAGAUAAUGGAUCCUAUUUUUAUGGAACACAACUACCCAUUAUCUUUUUUAAUUCUAAAAUAAAUUUACUUAUUUUUAAAAAAAAAACCUCUCGCAAGCGCGGAAGCGCGUGCAGAGAGGCUAGUUAAACAUUAAAUUACUUGAUGCUUUCGACCGAAAAAGGAAAAAAGAAAUUACUUUAUGCAAUUUUCCUUGUCUUUUUCCUUUGUCAAUAAUUUACGGGCAUGAACUAAUAUAACAUUAGGACUUUAUAUUUUGUUAACUUUCAAAUUUUGUUUAAUCUUUUCCAAAAUUUGAUUUUUUUGAUGGACAUAUAACAUAAACAUACAUUAAAACUAAAUAAGUUAACAACAACAAAAAUGAACGCGUAAAAUAAAUUACGUCAUAAAAAUAAAAAAAAAACUUAUAGAGCCUCCCAUUGUGAGAAAGAUACCUUUAGAGCCAGUAAUAUUUCAUUAGGGCUCUAAAUGGAGUUCUAUCCACCAUAUUUAGAGCCUCAACCAUUGAGGAUGGCCUUAUAGAACCCUGGUUAUACAGCCUCUCAUUGUGUGAAAGAUACCUUUAGAGCUCGUAAUAUUUCAUCGGAGCUCUACAUAAAGCUCUAUCCACCAUAUUUAGAGCCUCAACUAGGAUGGCCUUAGAUAACCUGAUAAGAUAAACAUCGCCAUCCACCAUACGAAGUGGUGGCCUUAGAUGAGGUUUGUAAAUUAUAUCACCAUCUUUUUCAAUCCACAACGAGAAGAAAGAGUUGAAGGCGUAGAAACAAACAAAGCGGUCCAAAUAACAAAAUGCAUCACACUCAAAUAGGGACAGUGGGACUUUUUUGGUAGGUGCUUUCGGGAAAAAUGGUUAAAAAGAGGUCAAGUGGGGAUGGGGAUGGGGAUGGGGCUCUAUAUUUUAUGUAUUUUUAAUUUUGUGUGUCUCCUUGAGCCCCUCAUGACAGUAGCAGAAAAAUUCUCCACCACUUCGUAUUUUAGCUGCAUGUAGGCUUCCCAAGAGAUAGAAGAGAAGUUCACUUGGGGGCCCUGCAGGCCCUUAUACCCAAGCAAGUUCAAGGCUUCCUCCCUUUUAAUUUAUUAUAUAUUUUUUUUAAAAAGAAAAGAGAUAUAUAUUAUUACUCUCUAUUUUGCCACAUGGUAGGAAAGUCCCCACCUAAGUUUUUCUCUUUCGUGUUUAUCUCCUAGCAUGUAGGAUAUAUAUAUAUAUAUAUCAGUAGUGAAAAAAAUGCUCAUGUCCUCUAAACAAUUGUGCCAAAAAUUAACGGCUGGAAGAAGAAAGAGAGAGAUGGAUUUCUUGAGUUGUGUACUAUUAUGUCUUAUGGUUGCCUGGAUCGUAAUCCAAGCCCUCCAAUAUUCAUUUGCAAGAAGAAUUCCCACAAACCUUCCACCUGGACCAAAGCCAUUUCCUUUGAUUGGAAAUCUCCUAGAGCUUGGAAACAAACCCCACAUCUCUCUAACCAAGCUUUCAAAACGCUAUGGCCCCAUUAUGACUUUACAACUCGGCCAGAUAACAACAGUUAUAGUUUCUUCAUCCGCCGUAGCCAAACAAGUCCUCCGCACCCACGACCAAUUCUUCUGCAACCGAACUAUCCCAGAUGCAGUCCAAGCCUGCAAGCAUGCCAAGUAUGGCAUGCCCUGGCUGACGGUUUCCUCCACGUGGAGAAACCUCCGCAAAAUAUGCAACUCCCAUCUUUUCGCGGCCAAAGUUCUCGACGCCAAUCAGGCCAACCGUCACCUAAAAGUGCAGGAGCUCAUAGCUGACGUUAAGGAAAGCGUUGUGAAAGGUAAGGCGGUUGAAGUUGGAAGGGCUGCUUUCAAAACUACGCUCAAUUUGAUGUCACGGACUGUGUUCUCUGUGGAUUUAGCGGACCCGAACAGUGAGAGGGCUAGAGAGUUCAAGGAGUUGGUGUGGAGUAUUAUGGAGGAGGCUGGGAAGCCAAACUUGGCUGACUAUUUUCGUGUGCUUAAGAAGAUUGAUCCCAUGGGGAUACGGCGCCGUUUGGGCAAGCACUUCCAGAAGAUGAUUGAUCUUUUUGACCGCAUGAUCGUCCAAAGGUUAGAAUCAAGGAAGUCACGUGAUUAUGUCACCGGGAAUGAUAUGUUGGAUACUCUUAUAAACAUGAGCGAAGAGAAAAAUGAGGAUAUGGACAUGGCUGAAACUCAACAUUUGUUUCUGGUUAGUUGCUACUCUAGCUCUAUUAAUUAAUUGAUAAUUAAAUUGCUUAGAUAUUAUAAUGAUAACUUAUUAACGUAACUUAUUGCUAGAUUGUGUACCAUCUUAAUUGAUCAUUUUAAAAUUAUGACUAUGGUCACUUUUAUUUUUGUUGAGAUGGUAUAAGUACGUUAAUCCUACACUGAUCAAGGUUUUGUGUUCGAUCCCCUUAUAUUGCUUUUAUUAAACAAACUAUUAUAAUUUUUUUUCUCAUUAUAUGUCUAUGUGCGCAUAUUAAUUUGACUAAUUAACUUUUUGGUGAAUUAGGAUUUAUUUGGUGCGGGCACAGAAACAACUUCAGCCACAUUAGAAUGGGCAAUGGCUGAGCUAUUACGCAACCCUGAAAAGCUAUCAAAAGCUCAAGAGGAGUUGAAACAGGUCGUUGGCAAAGGAAAACCAGUGGAGGAAUCAGACAUCACUCGGCUCCCUUACUUACAAGCCAUAAUCAAAGAGACCUUCCGACUGCACCCAGUUGUCCCACUUCUUCUCCCUCGCAGAGCCCAAGCAGACAUAGAAAUCUGCGGUUACAUUGUACCAAAGGGUGCACAAGUGCUGGUCAACGCAUGGGCCAUCGGCAGAGACCCCAGCAUUUGGGACAACCCUACCUCAUUUAUCCCUGAAAGGUUUUUGGGAUUGGAUAUCGACGUUACUGGCCAGAACUUUGAGCUUAUUCCGUUUGGUGGUGGGAGGAGAAUAUGUCCUGGGUUGCCUUUGGCGAUGAGAAUGUUGAAUUUGAUGUUGGGUUCGCUUAUUAACUCGUUUGAUAAUUGGAAGCUUGAAGAUGGAGUUGUGCCAGAAAAAAUGACCAUGGAUGAGAAGUUCGGCCUCACUUUACAAAUGGCUCAUCCUGUGAUAGCUGUGCCCAUCAAGUAUUAGGAGAACCAAACCUAGCUAGCUAUGGUUUCUAUAAUAAAUAGAUUUAUGUUUUUAUUAGGGAGUUAUAAUAAUUAAUCCUGCUAAUGAUAGGAAAUGGUCAGUUGUCAGUUAUGUUGUUAUUAGGCCAUAACUCCAUAUUUAUGUGUAUGAUAAUGGCUUGUUCUAAUUGUAGAUUGUUCUCUACAUAUUUAUAUAUUUUAUAAUGAUCAUAUGAAUGACUAAGGAGAAAAUAGUUUCUAUAUGGAAUAUGGUAUCAGAGCUAAUGGCUAACGCCGAUUAGCGAUUCUCCAGUUGCCAACAUUGAGAGUUGUUGGCGCUCCUCACUCCUCACCCCUCACCCGUAAGGGUGUUUGUUUAUGUUUAGUGCUUUUUCCUCCCCUCUUCUCAAAGAUGAAUAUGUUUUUUUCUUUCCAUGUUAGAGAUUUUUUUUGUAUUGUUUCAUCCUCGGUUAUAUUAACUGCGGGCAUCGGCGGCUUCUUUCUUUUUGUUGUGCCUGAUAAAAUUGACCUUAGAUGGCUUCAUUUUCUUCAAAUCACCCCAGUUGCCUUUCCCAAUCUGUCUUGAUGAGAUUGGACAAAUAACUUUAAUGGACCAAUAUGCGCAACCCAUGUAGAAAGCCAUAUCUAUUAUAGGGUGGACUCCUAUCCUGGUGUAUGAUUUUUGUUUUGUAAAAUCACCCCAGUUGCCCUUCAAAAUGAUGGUAGAUUGACCUUGCGAAGGCUAUAUCUAAAGGAAAAGCAAACAGAGCCAUGCCACUAGAACACAGAUUUUUGUUUUGUAAAUUUUUUAUUAAGUUAUUCGGUGUUGAUUUUUCAAUUUAAAAAAUGUAUUUGGAAAUCUUGUUGGCUCAAUCACUUUUCUUUCUUUGUUUCUAAUCUUCUAGAUUUGGGAGGGCCUACUUCGGCAACGGGUGAGAAAUGGUGUUAGAAGGGGAUGGAAAAGUCGUUGAAAAAUUAGGUUGGUUUUAUUUAUAUAUUUUUUAUUUAUAGUGAAAUGAUGGAAAUGGAAGCAUGUGAUUUGAUUUAACGGAAAUUUUUAAAGGAGUUUGAUGUAGGUGGUAAAUAUUCCAACACCUUAAAUAAUUCAAGUGGUUACUAGAAAAAAUUAAAAAUUCAUGUAGUAAUCCCACACGCACCUAGAAGUUCGGAUGAUAUUUAUGUAAAUUCCCCAUUAAGGUAAAUAGAGAGCUUGUAAAAGCUUCCACUUCUAACAAAUAAGUCCGGACCCAAAUUGUUCUCGAAUGUCUUUGCCUAAGUUUGUCUCUUAGCUUAGAGGAUAUAUAUAAACAACUUAAAAGAGUUAGUCUUGAAAAGAUAUUUUCAUGCUUUCUCGAUAAGUCUCAACAAUCGUGCCAAAAAUUAAUUAAGAGUUAGGCGAGAGAUGGAUUUCUUGUGUUUGCAUGCAAAUGUGUCUUAUGGUUGCCUGGAUUUCUUGUGGGGAGCUGGGAGGAGAAAGGGAUGGAGAGAAAGAGAGGGGGUUUAUUUAUUUAUUUAUUAUAAAUAUUUUUUUAAUGUUAUUUUAUUUUUAUUAUAUAAUUAAUUUAUUAUUUUUUUAAAAAAACGGCGGGUCCUAUAGUGGACUCGUCAUCAAUUACACUAAACGGUCAACUUAACAGAAGGUUUAAAUUGGUCAAAUUUGAAAAUUAUCAAGUGUAAAUUGUUGAAAUUGAAACUCGAGAGCCUAUAUUGAGAAUGAUCCUAAAUCUUCAGGAAGUCUUUUGACGUUAGUCGUAAUAUAUAUUUGUAAUUCCAUGAGUGUUUCAUGUUGCAUGCUCCGCGGGUCCUUUUCAAAAAAAUAAGCCAUGUGAACAAGAGUGAAUUUAGCUGAAGACAUGUCAUGUCUUCUGUUCAUAGAAAAACAACAAAGAAACUUUCUUUCCACAAAUGCAUGAGUGUUUUGUCUCCAUGCGUCAGGCAUCUCAAUUUUUAAAAUUGAUUGGUAAUAAGAAUAUAUCUCAGAGCAUUCACAAUGGUAGCAUGUAAAAGAGGGUGUAUAUCAAAUUUACAUUUUCUGUCGCCGGAAUCAGCUCCAAUGGUCGUAUGUAAAUGCAUUCUCAGGCUGAGAUGUAAAAAAAGAUGGAAGUUUACAUCUUUUUUCACAUCCUAGAAGCGGGUUCCACGACUGAUAAAAGAGGAGAGAGGAGAAAGAAGAGCAGCAAAAUUUCUGGAAUUAUGUGCCCCACACUCGCGAAUACAACUUCAGUCGCCCAACAUAACUUAGUUUGGGCCCCACUUGUGGCUUAGUGCACUUGAUUUAAUGGCAUUUGAAUUGGUGCUCCAACAGAUAAAACAUCAUACGACUCUAAUUUUUUACAAACCCCAAAAUGAUUAAUCUAAAGGCCCAAACAAUUUCUAAACAAACCCCAAAACCAUCUAAUUGUCUAAAAUUGAUGCAAAAAAAGGCCUAAUUUUUUCUUCUUCUAAUUUUCUAUAUAUAAGCACAACCUUUGUUCACAAAAAUACCACUCUUUAUAACUUAUUCAAAUUUAAAUAUUUUUAGGUUUAUUUUUUUAGAAAAAUAAAUAAAUCUAACACACACAAAAUUAAUUUCAAAAUGUUAACACACACACAAAAAAUAACACAAAAUCGAAUUAACACAAGAAAACCAAAUAUACAUCUUUAUAUUUACAUCUUCCCCAUUGGAGCAAAAAUUACAUAUACAUCCCCCAGAGAUGUAAAGAGGAUGUAAAAGUGGUUUUACACCCCCAAAAAUACAACCCCCCACUGUGGAUGCUCUAACAAGGCAUGAGCUCCUACUGGGAAAAAAAAAUUCAAUAGGGCCAAUCAUUAGUUAUUUUGAAUUCUAGCUACCCAUUCUUUGACUCACCUGCAUAUAUAUAGGGGAAUGCUAGCAACCUUCUCUCUAAUCUUCUCUUUUGGACUUUCUCCCUUUUUCUUAUGACAUGUGUCACUUUCUUUACACUAAAAACAAUGUAAUUAAUGCAUCAAAUAAGAUAACAUUUGUUUCCAAAUUUGCCCUUAUUUUUUGUAUUGAUUUUAAUGUUUCCUUAAAUUUAUUAUCCAAAUUUGUUACAACUUUCUUAUCACCUUGUUAAAAAAUUAAAUAAGAAAAAAUAUUAGUUUUUUUUUUUCCUUUUUUGAAAGACUCCAACAAAUAAGACUUACCUAAUUAAUGGUUUAGAAAAAAAUAUUACCGAAUUAAUGGUUUGAAAAUGCAAUCAAUGAACUUCCUUUUAAAACAGACUUCCUUAGAAGGACGACUUUUGUCCGUAUGAAAAAAAAGAUAUAUCUUUUGUGGAUUUUUUUAAGGUCAUUAUUGUGUUUAAAAAAAAAAGUUUUUCCUCUAAAAAAAAUAGACAUUUUCUUUUUUAAAAAACAGAAUUUUUUAAUAUUUUAAUAUUUUUUACAUAUGGUAAGAGAGUUGCAAAAAAAAAAUUGGAUAAAUUGAAGGACAAUACAUUUAAUAAGGGUAAACUUGAAAAACAAAAGGCGGUUUGUUCGAUGUAUUAAUGUCAUUAUUUUAAGUGUAUGGGAAGUGACACAUGUCAUGAGGAAAAGGAAGAAGGUCCAAAAGAGAAGGUUGGAGAGAAGGUUACUAGCAUUCCGCAUCAUUCAAUGAAACAAACUCUAACAGUUAGUUCUUUCUCAUGUGAAAUUUUUUACAUUUCUCACUUCUUCACAUGCACACUGCCUUUUCUUAAUUGGUCUGUCAAUUUUCUAUUAUGUAUGAACUUAUUAAUGUGUAUGAGUUCCUAUCGUGUAUUGGGGGAACAAACAAAAAGGAAGACAGAUUAGUCAAUGAAAUAAUAUAUGGAAUUUCCAUUCUUUCUUUAUGUAAUUUUCAUAUUAAAUGACGAAGAAAAUUCUAGAGGAAGACAGAUUAGUCAAUGAAAUCAUGUAUGGAAUUUUCGUUCUUUCUUUAUGUGAUUUUCAUAUUAAACGACGAAGAAAAUUCUAGAGGAAGACAGAUUAGUCAAUGAAAUAAAUUAUGGAAUUUCCGCUCUUUCUUUAUAUAAUUUUCAUAUUAAAUGACGAAGAAAAUUCUAGAGGAAGACCGAUUAGUCAAUGAAAUAAUGUAUGAAAUUUUUGCUCUAGGAAGACAAAUUAGUCAAUGAAAUAAUGUAUGCAAUUUCCUCUCUUUCUUUAUGUAAUUUUCAUAUUAAAUGACGAAGAAAAUUCUAAAGGUAGACUUAUCAGAAAAGGAUAUACAUUUGCUCAUAAAUGAAAAAGUAAAAUACAUGUCCUCCUCCUUUGUUCUGGAGAAUGGGACAAAAGUGGGUGGUUAUAAGACUUUGAGGAAGGCUUUUACCAAUCAAUCAAUGAAGACUAGAGGAAGACUUAAAUACCAACGAAUGGCUCCUUUUUUGGUUAGGGGAACGUGUGUGUGGGUGUUAAAAUUCAUUGGAGAAAGACUAGAGGACUAUACCACAUCAUGUGGUAGAUAAUGUGUCAAUUUGCAAAUAGCUUUAGUAGCAAGUGGACUAUACUAGCCACCUACAACUUUAAGCCUGAUCAUUCAGAUAAUGCUUGUAUCUUCUGUUUUACUGCGGUUGCUAGCACAAAGAAAGCCGAUGCUUUCGUUGCCUCUUCUACCUCCACGCGGCAUUGCUCUGUCGGGCUUUCUCCUAUUGCAGAUAAUUCCCCACUACUGCCUUCGGUAGGAGUAUGGGCUGUGUCUCAAUUAGUGUGGUUGAUCUUCCGAAUUGCCUUAGUUAGCUUUGCCUUACCAACUACCUAAUUAGACACAAGGCCUCUCCUCGGAGAGAAAGUUACUAGCAGAACUGUAUAAAACUUUUAACAGUUGUCACAUAUGAUUAGGUGUGUUAAACCCCUUUCAACCUUAACUCUAGAAUUACACAGAGUAACAAGUAUUAUUUAUUGAAUUAUCGAAACAGUACAAUAUUCUCAACAACUCAUUCUUGAUACAAUAAUUGCCUAAUAUAGCUGUAAGCUCUCAUUAACCAAUUAUGUUAGAAACUAAUAGUCCUGAUCUCUUGGACCAUAGGGGUCCAAGAAAUUUGUGGUCACUCACCGUUGGAUGUAAAUUCAACGGUUCACUCACUCUUGCACUCAUUUUAAUAAACUUUUUUAUACCAUUAGAUUAAUAUCCAACGGUGGGUGACCACAAUCUCUUGGACUCCUGUGGUCCAAGAGAUCGGGACUGUAGAAACUAAUUUCUUAACUAAUCAAUUAAUAAACUGACUAUGCCAGGUCAUCACUAAUCCAGCUCAACAAUGAUGAAGGUUCCUAACAAUGUGAUCAGCAGAUGUGACAUAGUGUUAUUGAUUAAAAUAUAGCCAUCCCUACCACCUCAUGUAAAUCCCACAAGACUCCCAUUCAAGGAGGGAAAGAAAGUAGGGGGAAUGCUAGCAACCUUCUCUCCAACCUUCUCCCUUUUUCUCAUGACAUGUGGAUUUUUUUAAGGUCAUUACUGUGUUUUUUUUAUAACAAAAAAAAAAAAAAAACGUUUUCCUCUAUAAAAAAAAAAAAAGAAGACAUUUUCUUCAAAAAAAAAAAUUUUUUGUUUAAAAUUUUUCACAUAUGGUAAGAGAGUUGUAAGAAAAAUUGGAUAAAUUGAAGGACAAUACAUUUAAUAUGGGUAAACUUGGAAAACAAAAGAUGGUUUGUUUGAUGUAUUAAUGUCAUUAUUUUAAGUGUAUGAGAAGUGACACAAUGUCGUGAGAAAAAAGAAGAAGGUCCAAAAGAGAAGAUUUAAGAGAAGAUUACUAGCAUUCCUCAUAUAUAUAUAUGUACUUUUUUUGAUGAGAAAAGUCCCUUCGAGUGGACAGGAAAUUGUACUUUUUUUGUCUUUUCGCAUUUUUCUUUUCAUGUUCAAGUAGUUUUGGACCAUCCUCUUUCAAAGCAGACAUGUGCAGUUGCAAAAGACCAUCGUGCAUGUUUAUGGGAAAAAACAAAACCUCUAGCCCACUUGGCUAAAAAUUAUUGUAUGUAUGUCAUUUACCUUCUUUUUUUUUUUUUUUCCUGCAUGUCAUCUACUAUUUUACGUGAUAUGUGCAUCUGUGAGAAUGAUAGCUCUCAAACGCUAGGCACCACGAGUGAUAAAUUAUUUUGAUUAUAGAAUUUAUAGUUAAAUGAUUUUAACUAUGUGGAAUUUUUUAGACCAAAACUCGAUUUAUUCAAAUUAUAAUAGUUAAGUUUAACAACUUUUGUGCAAUUAGAACCAGAGAGAGAAUGGAUUUCUUGAGUUUUUGUAUCAUCAUGCUAAACCUUUUCUUUGUGUUGUUGUUCUCAAUUAUUCAAGCUCUGCAAAGCAAAGCCAAUCCCAAAAGGCAUCUUCUCCCACCUGGACCAAAGCCAUUUCCCUUUAUUGGCAAUCUUCUAGAGCUUGGCAACAAACCCCAUCUGUCUCUCACCAAGCUUUCUCAAAUCGGCCAAUAUUCAUAUUGGGGAUUCCCCAUCCCCACCUUCAAUGGGGAAUGGGUUCCCCAUCUAGCCCCACCUUUUGAGAUUGGCCUUGCUUUGCAGAGCUUGAAUAAUUGAGAACAACAACGCAAAGAAAGAUGACACUAGGUAUGUCAGAGGUCGUAUACUCAAGAAAGAUGGCACCAGGUAUGAUUUUACGUAUUUCAGAUUGUGUGAAAGAUUUUGAACAUGUAUGUUAAAGAAAUCUAACAGUUGGUAUUAGAGCCAGGUUGUUUGCACAAACUAAAAUCGUUUUUCAAGCAUGCCUAUUACGAUUUCUUAUAUGUUUAUGCCAUGAUGAGUUUUUGGUGAUGUUCAAAAUUUGAAGAUGGAUUAAACAUAUUUUCUAAAUAUCAAGAAUAUUAAAGAAUCUGGAAAAGCAUGUUUUAAUUUGAUUUUCAUAUCUUCAAAACUUUAAACCCAUUUUUGACCUACCCGAUGACCUUAAAACCCCAAAAAUGACCAUAUGUAAUAGCACAGCUGUGAGUUGUGUUAAUUAGGUCAUUCCCUAUUCAGAAAGGUAUUUUGUGUAAGAUCCCACAUCAACCAACGGAGAGGGGGUGAUGUGCCUUAUAUGUGCACACCCGCAUCCAUCUAGCACGAGACCUUUUGGGAGCUCACUGGCUUCAGAGUCGCAGGAACUCCGAAGUUAAGCGAGUUAGGAGAUAGAGUAAUUCCAUGAUGGGUGACCCACUGAGAAGUUGCUCGUGAGCUCCCAGAAACAAAACCGUGCCGGCAGAGAGGGGGGCCCAAAGCUGACAAUAUCGUGCUACGGCGGAGCCGAUCCCGGGAUGUGACAAUUUGGUAUCAGAGCCACUCUGCCGUGUGGUACGAGUGUGCCAACAAGGACGUCGGGCCCUUAAAGGGGGUGGAUUGUAAGAUCCCACAUCAACCAACAGAGAGGGGGUGAUGUGCCUUAUAUGUGCACACCCGCAUCCCUCUAGCACGAGGCCUUUUGGGAGCUCACUGGCUUCGGAGUCGUAGGAACUCCGAAGUUAAGCGAGUUGGGGGCUAGAGCAAUUCCAGGAUGGGUGACCCACUGGGAAGUUACUCGUGAGCUCCCAGAAACAAAACCGUGCGAGCAGAGAGGGGGGCCCAAAGCGGACAAUAUCGUGCUACGGCGGAGCCGAUCCCGGAAUGUGACAGAAACAAAUCCUUAGCACAUGAGUUUGUUGUAUUAUUAGAUACUAAUCAUCCGGCACACAUACUAUGCAUGAGUAGAGAAUAAAUAUCCCUCAUUACAUUAACUUUUUAGUUGUGGGUCAAAUCCAGAUCUUCCGUUUUCUUCUCUACUCUAUAUAUAUAUAUAUUUUUUUUUUUUGCCAAAAUUAGGAAGGAGAAAAUGUUUGCUCACACACACACUACAUAUCAAGGUGGUACGGAAAAUAUAACCUGAGACCACUAUUCUACACAUCAUUGCCCAUUUUCAUUGGGCUAAACUUCAUUGAUCAUUGUCCUAUGGAGCAACUUCAACUGGUAGUGCAGGGGCAAUUUGGUCCAUAAAUAAUAAUAAAAACCAGUAAUUUUAUUUUUAUUUUUAAAAGUUUAACUUUCAAAAUACAAAUAUAAUUUUUUUAAUCCUUUUAAAAGUAAACAAUACAAUUUAUAUACAUACAUAUAUAUAUAUAUAUAUAAUCAUUCCUUUCUCACUCUUGUCUUUCACAAAGUCCCAGAUUCAUCUUCAAGUUGGAAUCUAGGCAAGCACUUCGUCGUUAACCAUCACCACCACUUCUAGGUAUUCGUGCUACAACAACCAUCACAGUCACUUCAUCAGCUGCGGUCUUACCUUUUGAAGGCCCUAGGUCUUACAGCAAAGGUGGAAUAGGUUGAUAGUACUGAUGUUCUUGAGGGCAUGCUUGUUAGAGAAAACAUAUUCAAAUGUAAAGAAUUGUAAUGAAAAGGAGGCUCUUUUUGUGAUUGUUGGCUUGUUGAGUUGAGUUGGAAAUUCAAGUGAAGGGAUUUUAUAGGACAAAAAAUGGGAUAUUUAGGCCCCGUUCGGUUAAGUUUUAAGGGGUUGUUUUCAUUUUCAGAGAACAAAAAUGAGGUAAGAACAUGUUCGAUGGCCCAAAAGCAGAAAACACUGAGAAUGUUUUCAUAAAAUGAAAACAAGUUCACGUGUACUUGUAGAAAACAGAAAAAAGAUGUUUUUAUUCUCACGGGAAACGCUCAAAAUAGGGGGAAGAGAGAGAGAGAGAGAGAGAGAGAGGGUUGCGACCUUCAACUGCAUCAAUUAAGAUAAGGGGAAGAUAGAGGGAGGAGAGGGCUAUCUUUUUCAAGUGGUGGCGCAGCUUAAGGUGACCGGAAUUGGCACUGACGAUGGUGACAGCUACUGGGCAGUUUUCCAGUCAAAAUCUAGCACUAUCUUGAGCCUCGAUUGAUGGGUGGGUUAGGUAGAGGAGGAAGAGAGGAGGAGUUUAAUGGUGAUGGCACCAGUUGACGUGACUGGACGACGAAGAAUCGCCGGUCUGAAAGUGAGAUAGAGCGCAGGGAGAGAGAGAGAGAGAGAGAGAGAGAGAGAGAGAGAGAGAGAGUUAGGGUGAGGGAGGGAAGAGGAAGAAAGAAAGGAGGAGGAGAAAACAGAAAAAGAAAGGGAAAAAAUUGAAAAAAUAAAAAAUAAAAGAAAUAAAUAUAGUUUUUAUUUAAAAAUAAUAAUAUAAUGUUAAAUUAUACAUUUAAAAAAAAUCUUUUUAGAACAUAAAUUAGCAAAAAUACACUUGAAAAAUAACUCAUAUGUUAUUAUUUUCAAAUUGUACUACAAGACACAUUUUCAUUAUUUUUAUUUUCUGAAGAUGUUUUCUAAUUAAUCUACCAUACGCAUUUUCAAUUCCUGAAAAUGCAAAUUCGUUUUCUUAUUUUCAUCCUCUAAAAAUAUUUUGUCAAAACAUUCUCCAAAAAUGUUAUCGAAUGGGCCCUAGCUUCCACUUCAAGCUGUUUGAGUAGAUAUACUAAAGUUGAUGCUUAAAAUAUUAGGCUUUCCCCAAACUUUUGAAACCUGGUCAAUGUUCGGAUGAGAGGCAAGCUUCUGAAGCAAUUUUCAAAAGGAAUUUAGGUAUUUUAUUUAUGACAAAAAGUCAAUUUUUUUGAUUCCUAUGGUUUAUUAUUUUUACUAUUAAGGUCCUUAUUUUUAAAAUUUGAUAAUUUUUGUUCUUGUGGUUUCAAUUUGAAGCAAUUUAAGGACAAUCCUCAAUUUGUGUCAAAUUUUUUUUUUUUAAAAAAAAAAAACUUCAACUAGUUUGGGAACGUUGGGAAAUGAGGUUUGGUUACUCAUGUUUGGUUACUGCAGUAAUUAGGAAUGAAAAGUUAUCAAGGUAUGAAAUUCCCCAUACAUUGGAAGUCCAUAUCCAUGAGUCCAUAAUUACAUUCCCAAGUAUCACUACUACGUUUUAAUAUUUGUGCAACGAACAAGAAUUCGUCGUGCAAAAUGCACUACGGCGACGGAAAAAAUUAGGGAGAUUCACUAUUAUACCCAAUACAUGGGCCCAAAUUAUAAAAAUACCAUAUAUGAAAUGGACUUUAGAAACACACCCAAAGCCUGUUUACAACAUAACAAAGAGGCUUUAACUUCUUAUAAAUUGCAAAACUGCCAUCAAUUUCUUAAAACAAGCCCAACCCGAAAAUCUCAUAAAAAUACCCAAAAUACUCAAUAGGGCAUCAAAGUAAUUUAAUAAUUAAUAUUAAAUUCAAUAAGGCCAGCUGUCAUUUUUUGGGUUUGUUUAUAGAAAUUCAAUAGUGUAGGGUUUAUUUAUAAUAUUAGUGCUAAGAAUGGGUAUAUCACUAAAUAUCUCAAAAAAUUAAUCGUCAUGUAAACCACUGAAAACUGGAGCGUCCAAAAUUUCCGUCGCGCAAAAAGUCUUAGUGCAACAGAAAACUUAUGCGUCGCUCAAAGUGAGGAAGAAAAACGCGCAAAAGAAACUUAGCCCGACGACAUGAUUUAUCGUUGCAUAAGAAAAAAGUGGGAUUUUUUUUUGGCCCAAAAAUACUUGUAUGGGAUUUUUUUUAGCGCCAAACCCUUGCGCGACGGAAAUAUAGUUUGUCACGUAAAGUUUAAUGUCGGUACAUUCUUGUGUGACAGAAAUUGGCUUUCACGUGACGGCGGUUUGCUUUUGGGCGAUGAAAGUUUGUGCGAUGAAUCAAAUUUUGCGUCGCGCAAAAGUGUGAUGUCGACACGUGCUUGAGCGGCGAAUAAGUUAUUUUGUGCGACGAAAAAGUGAUUUUGUGCGACGGAAUUUUUUUUUUUUUGCAAAUGCAGUUUGCGCAACGAAAUCAUGGGUCCGUCGUGCAAAGUCCUUCUUCUUUAUAUCUGUAUUCUACCAUUGCAGAGGCAUAAUGCAAAAAAAAAAAAAAAACAUUUUGCCUCUCUCUGCCGCUGCCUCUGCUGGGAAUUCAGUACGUUCAUUGGGUAAGUAAUUUUUGUCGUUAGUUUAAAAGUAUUAAUGUAAAUUCAUACUAACACUAUUAAUUUUGUUCUCGUUAGGGAUAUUUGUAAUUAGCGUUUGGUAGAGAACGAUUGAGAAGAUAUUUUAUUCGUUUUAUAUAUUUAAAAUGUUAAAUUAAUUACAUUAUAUUAAACUUACUUUGUGAAGUUAUAUUUAUAUUAUGGUAUUAAAUUGUGAGUGACGUAGCACAAUGUGUUGUGAUGUACGAAGUUAAUUGAAAUGAACUUCGUACUUUUAUUUUUAUUUUUAGUAACACUUAGUUUCCCGUUUGAUAUUAGUUGGAUUUCGUGCAUGGAUGCGUAAAGCAUGACUGCGGUCCAAUUAAUUCUUGAAUUGUCCCAUUAUUUGGAUAGUUUGGGAAUGCAUAGUUAUGUCACGUAAUGUACGGCUACAUGAUUAAAUUUUGAUUGUGGAGAUUUUGGUGUUAUCUCUGUACGUUCUUCAAGUGGUACAUAGGUAUUUAUACCUACAGUACACCUCAAGAACUGUAUCGAGAUGCUGUCGAAAUUCAUCCGCGUCGAAAUCUAAUCUCAUGUAGUCGUACAUUACGUGACAUGACUAUGCAUUCCUGAAUGGGAUAGGGCCCUUACCGGAGGCAUAAGGUGACAAUAUGGCUUCGUAUGAAGUUGUUGUGAUUGUUGUGUUGUGAUUGUGGUUUCAGGAAUUGUGAGCAGGAGGUGGAUACAUAACCCGAAUAGAUACACAGACGAAUACUUGGAUGAAAUUGAGGAUUUUAUUGAGUUUGCACGUACACACAACCCGGGUGCAACUAGAAUCCGUUAUCAUUGUAGGAGGAGUAAUAACACGUUGUGGGAGACAAUUGAAAAUGUUGGAUUUCAUUUAGUAAGGAGUGGAAUGAUUGAGACAUAUAACAUUUGGAACCUUCACGGGGAACAAUUAGACCAUGCUUCGUUUUCAAAUGCCACAAGAGUGGACCAUGUUGAACCUAUUAUGGAUCCUAAUGAAGAAGUCAUGGAUCUUAUACACGAUGCUUUUCCAUUUGCAUCGACCAACAUCAAUUAGGAAGGGGAAGAUGACGUGCCUACACCAAUGGACAAUGCAGAGUUUGAACAAUAUAAAAAAUUGUUAAAAAAUGCCAAAAGAGUUAUACUCGGGGUGCGAGAGCUUUUCCGUUCUCACGGCCAUUGUGGAGCUAAUGCAUGAAAAAAUAAAGUAUCGUAUGUCGAACUUGUGUUUCGAUUACUUUUUGGGGGUUUUCAAGAGAAUGCUUCUGACGGACAAUUGUUUGCUGAAAAACCAUAAACACGCACAUAAGGUAUUGAAUGGUCUUGGAUUGGGUUAUGAAAAAAUUCACACUUGCAAAAACAAUUGCAUGUUAUUCUACAAAGAGCAUGAAACAUUGGAUACAUGCCCUAUAUGCAAUGAGUCGAGGUUCAAAAUGACAUCUUAGAAUAGAACGACUAAGAUCCCACAAAAAGUCAUGCGUUAUCUGCCCCUGAAACCUAAGUUCAGCGAUUGUAUAUGUUGACGUAUACUGCCACAAACAUGAGAUGGCAUAAGGAAAAACGGGUAGACGACGAUGUGAUGCGGCAUCCUACAGAUGGGGAGGCAUGGAAAGAGUUCGAUUGAACGUUUCCCGAGUUUGCUGCUGAUCCUGAAAUGUUAGAUUGAGACUUGCCACUGACGGAUUCAAUCCGUAUGGGGUUCUAAACCAACACCACAGCACUUGGCCGAUUUUCGUAGUCACAUAUAAUUUGCCGCCUUGGAAAUGCAUGAAAAAAGAAUACAUGAUGAUGACUGUUUUGAUAACUGAGGAUCUUGGCAAGUCAAUCAAUGUUUACUUAAGGCCACUGGUUGAUGAGUUGAAUGAUUUAUGGACAAACGGUGUGCGCACGUACGAUAAAUCAAGUGGGAUGAUGUUCACUUUGCGGGCAGCAGUUAUGUGGACUGUGAAUGAUUUUCCCGCAUAUGUAAUGGUUUCUGGGUGGAGCAAAAAUGGUUAUAUGGCAUGUCUUGUAUGCACGGAAGAUGUAACUUCUGGUUGGCACGCUGGAAAGGUUUGUUACCUUGGUCAUCGGAGAUGGUUGCCAUGGGACCACGAGUGGCUGAAAAAAGAUAAAGAGUUUGACGGGAACACAUAGCGUCGCCUCAGACCUAGAGAAUUGUUCGGUGAUGAGAUCAUGGAACAGCUUAACAGUUUGGAUUUUGCUCCAUUCGAGAAAACAGUUAGUCGGACCAGACUAUGUUUUUUGAGCUUCCAUAUUGGUCGAAACUAAGAUUGAGGCACAAUCUAGAUGUGAUGCAUGUUGAGAAAAAUGUAUUUGACACAUUGGUGGGUACGAUUCUAGAUAUUGAGGGCAAGACAAAGGACACGAUCAAAGCUCGUCUUGAUUUGGAAAGAAUGGGCAUAUGAAGGGGUUUAUGGAUGAAUAGGGACAGUGAUAAAGGUUGAAGGGAUCUUGCAUUUUUUCUAGGAAACCUAAUGAUAAAAAGAGUUUCUAAAGUUUGUAUCAUCUGUAAAGUUUCUCGAUGGGUUGUAAUAUCGCACGUUGCGUGAGUGUUGACGGGGGUAAAUUUGCUGGACUAAAGAGCCAUGACUGCCAUGUGUUUAUGCAACGCCUACUUCCAGUGGGUAUUCGACACCUAUUGUCGAAAGAUGUAGUGAAGCCAAUCAUGUUGUUUUCCAAAUUUUUUUUCACAACUGACUGCAAAAACGUUGCGAAAGACAGACAUUUAUCAAUUGCACCAUGACAUUGUCCAAGUCCUAUGCAAGUUUGAGAUGAUAUUCCCUCCAGCUUUCUUCACAAGUAUGAUCCACAUAAUGGUUUACUUGCCAGAAGAGGCAUUGCUUGCUGGUCCUGUCAACUAUCGCUGGACGUAUCCAAUAGAAAGGUAUAUAAUCCUUAUCAUUUGUGUAUUCAUCAUUAUCACAUGCUUGCUAAUUUGUAUCAUAUCGUUUUAUUUUGGCAGGCUUCUAGGAGAGAUGAAAAAAAUGUACGCAACAAGGCGUAGCCCGAAUGAUCAAUUAUAGAGGCUUGGGUUCUAUAUGAGUCACUUACUUUCUGUGGAAUGUAUUUAAAAGACGUGGAGAUGGCUUUCAAUCGUCCCCAGCGCAAUAUUGACGGAGGUAUGAGAAAUGAAAAACUUUCUGUUUUUGCCCAAAGCACACGAAACUUUGGAGAUCCUUGAUGAGGAGAGUCAUUUUUCAAAAAUGACAUGGAGGUAUCGUAUUGGUUCAUACUGAACAAUUGUGAUGAGAUAAUGGCAUACUUAGAUGGGCAUGAAGAGAUGAUGAAGCGAGAACAUCCAUCACAUUUGUAUGCUCAAAAACACCAUGAAUUGUUUCCACAAUGGUUUUUGGAUUUUGUAAGUUAUAAGUGUUUUGUAUUUGACAAAUAUAUAUUGUAGUAUUUAAUUUUGUCAAACUAACAUGUGAAUGGUUUUGUAUAAUAUUAGGUGAAUAAGUUGAAAUCAUCGAAUUCCCCCACUUACAGUGAUGAGUUAUAUAACUUGGCGUUGGGCCCGAUUCGUGCUGAAUUGUUCUCGGGUUGUCAUGUUAACGACUUCAAGUUUUUGGGGAUUACAUGAGAUGACAAGUUGUGUACGUAAAACAGCGAUGUCCAUGUCCCAGGUGGAGGCGAAAGUACAGACACUGAUUUCUAUGGCAAACUCACAACUGUCGUGCAAUUGCUUUACAAAGACUGAUACCAAACGAUCAUGUUUAAGUAUCGAUGGUUUGAUACCAAUCCAAAUAGGCCGGGAAGUGUUAAAAUAGACAAUGGCUUACUAUUUGUGAACAUUAACAUAACAUGGUAUGAUGACGACCUUUACAUUUUGGCAAACAUGGCAAUACAGAUUGUGUAUCUAGAUGACCCUAAAGCCGGGAGUGGUUGGAAAGUUUUUCAGAAGAUGGAUCAUAGGAACAUGUAUGCUAUACCAGAACUAGCCUCAACUGACAACGACGUCGACAAUGUGGCUGACCAACAUUUAGAAUCUUCAAUGAAAAAUGAUGCGGAAAUACUUCGAGAUACAAAUGUUAUACAAGAACCGUUUUAGAUACAAUGGGUGUCUUGAAUCGAAAUACCGAUUCUGUCAAUUACAAUUGACCUCGGGGAUUUUCCGCGAUACGAUGUUGUAGUGGGCCCGAACAAUGACGAUCAUGUAAUUAUAGAGGAGGAGGAUUGAGAGACCGAAAGUGAUGAUAGCAACGAUAACGAAAGUUAUUAUAGUUCAAAUGAUGAAUAAUGAAUUUUUUUGUAAUUUUAUUAUGUUAGUGUACAAAUUUUGGCAAACCUAAUAUAUGUGGAGAAAUGAAACAUUGUUAAAUAAAUUGAGCUAUACAAGAAAAUGAGAAAUGAAAAUAAAUUUAGUUAUAAAACAUUGGUAAAUAAAUAUAUCCAAAACCUUUUCAUAAUAAUGUUGAAAAUUAUUUUUACAAAACAUUUUUAAAAAAAAAUGAAAAUGAGAUACAAUUUGACAUAAAUGUGUAUUAGGAGCCAAAACCUUGCGCGACGAAAUCUGCCAUGUCGCGCAUUGUUUGAGCGACGAAAAAUCACUCGUUGUGACUAUGUACCUUGCGCGACCAAAAGAUUUUUUUCGUCGCGUCAAGUUGCAAUUCCGUGCGACAACUUAAUCUUUCGUCAUGUAAAGACAUUUUGCGCCACGCUUUCAGUACUGAUCGCGCCAAUAUAUUUAUUUUAAUGUAAUAUAAUAUAUAUAUUUGAAAUUGAUGAUCGAAUUGAUUCAUUGUAUUCAUAUAGGGUCAAGGAGUGUAGCUGUAAAAAAUCAUCAAAAUCGGAGUUAAAAUAACUGAUAAAUCGUGAAUUUUCAUUUAUAACCGUCGAAAAGUUUUGUCCCGUCACUUGAUCUUUGAAUGUUUGUUUUUUCCGAUUUUUGGCGUAUAUGAUCUCGAAGUAUAAACAAACAAGUUUGAUGGUUGGAUCAUUGAAACUAGUUUUGUGGAAUGCAUAUGCCAUGAAAAUAAUAUAGUCACCAACAAUUAAGAGUUUAUUUAUACUUUCGUCAAAUAUAACGUAAGAUGUUGUGGCAUCCACUAGUGUAAAGAUCUUAAAUUAAAGAUCAAAUUCAGCCAUUGUAUUAAUAUAGGGUCAAGGAGUGUAGCUGCAAAAAAUCAUCAAAAUCGGAGUUAAAAUAAUCGUUAAAUCGUGAAUUUUCAUUUAUAACCGUCGAAAAGUUUUGUCCCAUUACUUAAUCUCUGAAUGUUUUUUUUUUUCGAUUUUUGGCGUAUAUGAUCUCGAAGUAUAAACAAACAAGUUUGACGGUUAGAUUAUUGAAACUAGAUACCAAUUAGAUACAUUUAUACAGAUACAGAAUAAACGGUUCCCGUAAAUAAAUAAACUUUGCGCAAUGAAAAAAAAAUUGGUCCCGAAAAACUUUGAGGGAUGGAAUCUUACGUCACGCAAAAGAUCUUUGAGCGAUGCAAAGACAGUGGGCGUCGCCAACAAACCUUUGAGCGACAACUGGGCAUCGUACGUCGCGUAGUGUUAAGAUUGUCGAGGGUUUAGGGUUCAGGGUUUAGGGUUUAGGGCUUAGGGUUGAUGAUUGCGCGACGAAUAAGAUGUUCAUGCGUUGCGUAAAAUGGGUCACACCUUUCACUUUUUCUCUCUGCCGCAAAGCUCUAAACCCCAAAUUUUGGUGAAUCACAACCUUGCUCGACGGAAGAACAGCCACUUUGUUGCGCAAAGUCUAUAAAAGAAAACCUUGCGCGACGCUUUUGUUUGUUCGUCGCUUAAUAUCGGCCAGGCCCUUCACCUUCUCUCUCUCCCGCUAAACCCUAAAUCCCCAAUUUUGGGGGAAUAACAACCUUGCACGAUGGAAUCUCAGCUAAUUCGUCACGCAAAGUCUAUAAAAGACAACUUUGCGGGACGCUACUGUGCUUUCGUCGAGAAAUAUCGGUUAGACCUUUCACUUUCUCUCACUCGCACUAAACCCUAAAUCCCAAAUUUUGGCAGAAUCACAACCUUGCACGAUGGAAUCUCAGCUAAUUUGUUGCGCAAAAUGGUCAGGCCCUAAACCCUAAACCCCAAAUUUUGAUGGCCACACAACCUUGCGAGACAGUUGCGUUUAUUCGUCGUGCAAUGUAUUGAAAAUUCUGGCGGAAAACAUACCUUGCGCGAUGCCUCAUGGUUUUUUUCGUCGCGCAAGUUCAAUUAAAAAUAUCUUGGGCUACACUUUCCUUUGUUCAUCACGCAAGAUCGAAUAAAUUUUCAGAAACAACACGACUGCCCAGACCCUUCUUCCUUAUUCCUAUUGUUUUGCCCUAACGCUUCUCUCCCUUCGCCGUCCACCGCCUCGCUGUCAGCCACUACUCCGCCGGAAAAAGGACUGGGCUGCCAUCACCUUCGAAGCCCACACCUUCCCUGCCGUCACCGCUACGUCUGCCAACGAUUUUCGCAGAUUAUUCUCCGGCCUUGUUCUCUCUCCUCCAGCCACCAAUUCCGACACCAAAGGUAUGAUUUCUAGACUAUUUUUCCUGCUUUAGCUUAUGGUUGGAUAGGAUUUGGUUAAUUGUUUAUUUUUGGUAUCUCUAAUUUAAACCCUAAGUUUGGCCGGUUUUUGAAUUUAAAUUCCGGCCACUUCCGAUCAUUUUUCGGGUUAGGUUCGAACAAAAGUGGCUCCAAUUGAAGUUUUGAACCUAGGGAGGAACCUUGGCCCUUAGUUUUUAGAAUUUUUCGGCGAUUGUUAUCGCUUUAGACACCCAUGCGCUGCCGGCGCGUGUGGUGCCGUGUGGGAUAACUGUAGCAGUGGGGCAUUGGGUCCCAGUGCAAUCCCCUAGUUGUUACGAGCGCGUAGGUGUGCUUGGAUUUGAAUUUGGUUACCAUUUGAGUCUCGAACGGAUUUCGCCUAUUGUGCAAUUUUUGAGUUUGAUAUGUUCGGACCGUUGGAUCGAACUCAAACUCACAUAUGUUGUACCUUGUAUUUCUAGGAUCGUGUAUGAGUCGACAGAUCAUGGAUCAGAGUCCCGGAUACUUCGAAAUCGCAAACACUAUGUCAUCUAUGCUUUUAAUUAAUUAGUUAAAAUGCUUAAUGAAAUUGUAUGUGCUUAUAAUUAAAUAUUCGUAAAUUUGAUUAAUUUGUAUGUGUAUUAAUGAAAUUUUGCAAAUGUCAAACCUGAUUAGAAGUCGUAAGGCAGAGACGAUUGCACAGAGUUCACCUGCCUCAGCUCAGUCGUCAUCUGCUGCCACUGCUCCAGCACUGAUGGACCACUUGCCAGUUGGUCCCGGGGGGUCCCAGGCCCCUACUUCGUCGGAUUCAUCAGUGGCACAGCCUGUUAGCGCCAAGUGGCGUCACCAGCCAGCUAGCACCACCGACACCACAUUGACCGACGCUACUAGUGCAUCGGGGUCAGCCAAGUAUAGAUUUCCUUCAACUACAGUUCUUUGUGUGUGUGUGUGUGUGUGUGUGUGUGUGUAUUUUAUAGUUAAAUUUGUUAUUUAUUUGACAUUAAUGUCAUAUUUCUUUGCAGCUAAGAAGAGCACCGGAGGGCCGUGUCGGCAGUUGAAGACGACGAAGGUCACUCGGGUGACCAACAGUCGUAUCAACAUCGGAUAUGACGAGCGACAUCGGGCUGCACCGACGGCGGAGUUGCAUAGCUCCUUGGCCCACGACAUUGGUCACGUCGUUCGGACCCAUUGCUCAAUGCAAUGGAAGUCUUAGAAGGCCAUGCCUGACGAGAUCAAGAUAGAGGUGCGUGGCCAGUUGUCGGUAUGUAGCCUACCUUUUAAUUCUUUUCCUUUCAAACUUUAUAUAUUUCUAUUACUUAAUAUAUGUUAUUAAUUUAUUGCAGACAAACUACAACUUAGAGGACCUCGACGACGAGUCGUUGGCGUAUGUCAACAGACUCUUCCCUGAGAGGUACAAGCAGUGGAAGAGCGACUUGCACCACCAUUUUGAGGCAUUUGAUGAUCCGCAAGUCGCUCUUCAGGAGGGUUGUCCGAAGGAGUUUGAGGGGCGGGAGGAUAGUUGGGCGUGGCUCUGUGCUCAUUUUCAAGCGCUCGAUUUUGUGGUAUUUUUUAAUAUUAAUUUCAAAAUUAUUACAUAUUUCUUACUAAUGUUUAUUUAAUUUUUUAUAUUUCAUUUCAAUUUCAACUAAUACGUUUUAUUUUUUGUAUAACAGAAUAAAGCCAAAGUCAAUAAGGGCGAUAGGAAAAAGAAGAGUCUUCUCCACCAUUCAGGUUCUAGGCCAUUCUCAUAUAGGAUGGAUGCAUGGCAGUGGGUAAUAAAAAAAUAGUUUAUAUUUAAUUUUUAAUAUGUCAUUAUUAUUAAUUUAUUUUUUUCGUACUAUUAUUUUUCUUCUCUUGUAAAAUUUCGGGAGGAGGUCCAAAUUCCCAGAGAUCGAUGUCUUUGGUGACGUUUAUGUUUGACCUGGGAAUGAGUUGGCCGAGUCCCUUCAUGUAAGUAUUAUUUAACUUUAAUUCUUAUGUUAUGCAUUCAAGUUUCAGGGUUAUUAUAUGAAUGUUUUAAUUUAUAUUUUAUGUUAUGUUAAACAGAUGACGAUGGUGGAGAGGAGCCAGUUGGUUCUUCAGGAAUCCUCCGCCCAACUUCCUCCCGAUACUCCGAUCGAGUUUAUGGAUCCUCCACGAGAUGCUGGGUUUCAGAUCUUGACGGAGACGUUGGAUCAGACUCUCAGGAGGAGGCCGGGGACAUAAUGUCGAGGGAUGGGGAAUGCCCGACGGAGGGAACCUAGACCCCGUUCAUCAAUGCAGUCAAACAUUCAGGUGACUGCUUUGACAGCAAAGGUGGCCGAGCUUCAGGGUCAGAUGUCAGUGAUUCUGUAGUCCCCCGCGUGGUCCGGCAUUCCAGUACAGCAAUUUGAUACGUCGACCUCCGAGCCCGUCCACCCCGAGCAUGCCCACUAGACCACUGCUCUUGUAGACCCGCAGACCUCCGAGCUGCAUAUGCCUGACGACCAAGUAGAUUUUGGAACAUUAUUUGAUUAGUUUUUUAUUUUCACAAUUAUAUUUUAAACCUUUCUCUUGUAGUAUACAUCUAUUUUAUUUUAUAUAAUUUUUUGUUCUCUUCAAUUCAUUUUUGUAUUGCAAUUUCAUUUUAUGACCAAAAAAAAAAAAACCAAAUUUAUUUUUUUACAAAAUUAAAAAAAACAUAAUAUUAAAUUUAAAUAAUAUAUAUAUUAAUUUUGCGCGACGAAAUAUUUUUCGUUGCGCAAAUUCACAUUUUAUAAAAUAAAAAAACGUAAAACUUCAUUUUAAAUACAUUUAGUUUAUUCUUGCGUGACGAAGUCAUUCAUCUUGCAAAAAGGAUAUGCGCUAUGACGAAAAUUUCAUCGCGCAAUAUUGUUCGUCGCGCAAAUGUUGGAGACACGAGUUGGGCGACGAAGGAAAGAUCGUCGCGCAACUGUUUGCGACUUGAAUCGCGCGACGAAUAUUUUCCUUCGCACAGUAUAUUCGCGACGAACAUGCUUUUGUCGGCCAAAGGUUUGUGCGACGAACAAUUGUGUUAUCCCUAAACAUUUUGUGCAAUAAAGGUUAACCGUCGCUCAGUUUUGUGCGACCAAUGCAAAAACUUGGUCACACAAAGUCUUUCCUCACUCUCUUUGCGCGACGGAUUGUGCGCGACGAAUUUUCUGUCGCACUGAAAAUUGUGCGACUAAAAGUAACUUUGCGCGACGAAAUCCUCUUCGCCGUGCAAAUCGUAAAAUGUAGUAGUGUAUGCAUUUAACAACAAAUGCAAUUUGAAACGAGUGUUGCUAAAUGAACUCUAAAAUUAACUGAGUAUACCCUAUGUACAUCCUAAUAUUUAAAUCAAACUGUAAAAUUAACUAAGUAUACCCUAUUUAGCUACCAAAAAUAUCAUUAGCAAACCCUUAUACACUCUAAAGCAUUAGUCGCCUCCUCCUUAAGCAUCCUUACAGGGAAAGCUCAACCGAAUUGAUGCACAAUCAACUGGGAACAAUGCAUGCUUGCCACCAACUCAUCUAAUUUCGGAUUCACACCAAGGUUUUGUUGCCACCCGAAUAAAUAGUCCGCGAGGUCCAGGGCCAUCCACUUAUGACUCAUGCUUAUCUAUUUUGGAAGCUGAAGACACCUGUCAUGCAUUUCCUUUUCAAAAGUCUAAAUGGUUGAAUAUUCUAUUGUAUUACCAACGUCAAAUAGUACCAUAUAUAUAUACAGCAAUAACCUUCUAUCAACCCUACUGUUAAGGCUUUGAAGACGUGAUCCAAUAUUAGUGGGAUUUGACCUACACUAAUUUGGGCAAGUAAAGAUAUUACAAAUAUUUACAAAGAUAUUUCCUAAUACUCCCCCUCAAGUUGGAGAGUGAAUAUCAUGAAGUCCCAACUUGUCGCGCAAUGUCACAAAUUGAUCCUUCCCCAAGGCCUUCGUAAAAAUAUCUGCCAUCUGGAAGCGUGUAGGUACAUACGAAGGACUAAUUAUUCCAGCUUGUAGUUUUUCUCGAACUAUGUGACAGGAUUAGCGGCAAUAUACAAAGCUGACUGAUUAUCACAAAACAAUGGUGCAGGAGCUAUCUGUGGGACUUUUAAAUCCUGUAGUAUAAAGCGUAACCAAGUUAGCUCCAAACAUGUGUUGGCCAUAGCUCGAUAUUCAGCUUCUGCUGAUGAUCUUGAAACAUUGGUUUGUUUCUUGGAUUUCCAUGAGAUGAGUGAAUUGCCAAGAAAAACACAGUAUCCUGUAACUGAUCUCCUUGUCGCACGACAACCUCCCCCAGUCUGAAUCACAAAAAGCUUUUAAUGUAAGAUUGUUGGUGGCAGAAAAUAACAAACGCUGACCUGGAGUCCCCUUGAGGUAUUUAAGGACCCGUAUGGCAGCAUCCUAAUGAGGUCUGCGAGGCUGAUGCAUGAAUUGACUUAGUGUUCAAACAAGAUAGACUAUAUCAGGCCUUGUGACAGUAAGGUAGAUCAAUCGGCCAACCAGUCUCCUGUAUUAUCAGUAAUUCUCAAUCUGUGGGAGUGAGUUUCAAAUUCUGUUCCAUUGGGAACUUGUCUAGGUGUGCGCCUAAAAGUCCUGAAUCCUGCAAAAUAUCAAGUGCGUACUUUCUUUGAGACAUGAAAAUACCUUUCUUGGAACGAGAGAAUUCAAUGCCUAGAAAAUAUUUUAAAUCUCCAAGAUCUUUGAUACGGAAGCGAUUGAGAAGGAACUUUUUGAGACGUUCCAUUUCUUGAAGAUUAUUUCCUGUGAGAAGCAUGUCAUCAACAUAGAUAAGAACUGCAGUAAAUGAAGUGCCUUCAGCUUUGGUAAAAAGAGAAUAAUUAGCUUUAGAUUGUUGAUAACCAGCCUUUUGAAUGGUAUCUGAAAAGGUGGAAAAUCAGUUUCUAGAAGUCUGUUUGAGACCAUAAAGAGACUUGUUGAGCCGACAUACAGCGUUCUCCCCCUGUUGGCGAAGACCAAGAGGAGGCUCCAUGUACACCACCUCAUGUAAAUCGCCAUGGAGAAAAGCAUUUUGAACGUCUAAUUGGUGGAUGAACUAAUGGCGGGCAGCAGCAACAGUAAGAAGACAACAGAGGGUAGUGAGUUUGGCUGUAGGGGAGAAAGUCUCCUGAUAAUCGAUGCCUUGAAUUUGAGUGUAGCCUUUAGCAACAAGCCGAGCCUUGUAGCACUCAAUGGUGCCAUCGGACUUGUAUUUGAUUUUGUAGGCCCAUUUGCAGCCGAUCAGUUUAUGACCAACAGACAGCGGAACCAAACUCCAAGUGUUAUUGUGCUAUAAAGCCUCUAGUUCUGCAAUCAUGGCUUGGCACCAAUGUGGAUCAAGAAUAGCCUGAGCAUAGGAUGUGGGUUCUGUGUGACCUGUAAUCUUAGCAAGAAAAGCACAAUGGGCAGAGGAUAAAUGAGAGUAGGUAAGGAAGUGGGAAAGGGGAUACCGAGUACCUAAUGCAGAACGAGGUGCUGAGGUUGAGUGAUUGACGUGGUUGGACAUGUGGUAGUCUGUAUGCCAUGCCGGAGGAUGUUUAUAGCGAGUGGACUAUCGAGGAGAGGGAAUGAGAGGAAUGGGAUUAUCUGUAUGUGGAGGGGUAGGGUCGACGGAUGGGGACAAAGGUGGGAUGGGAGAGGUGGGGUUGUCAAGCUAGUCAUAUGCGUCACAGAGGAUAGAGUGGUUAGGCACUUGUGGUGGGUUGGUUGGAGGGUUGGAGGAUUGACUAGUAGGUUGGGCGGAUCAAUUGGUGGGGUCCAACUGUUAAGAAAAUCAGAGGAAAGGUAGGGCUGAGGAGUAGGUGGGGUAAGGGAGGCCGAAAAUUGAGAGAAAGGGAAGGUAUUUUCACAGAAUCGGACAUCACGGCUUACAAAGAAUUUGUUUGUCUCCAAAUUGUAGAGUUUGUAACCCUUUUGGCCAAUAGGAUAUCCAACAGAGACACAACGUGUGGCACGGGGAUGAAAUUUAUGAAUAGGAUAGACAAUAGUUGCAUAACAGAGACAACCAAAGACUUUCAAGUGGUCGAGUGAUAGGGGACGGUUGUAUAACAAUUCAAAAGGUGAUUUACUGGAAAGUAAUGGUGAGGGUAAUCGGUUAAUAAGAUAGACAGUGGUUAAGACACAUUCACCCCAGAAAAUAAUGGGUAAGUGAGACUGAAAAAGUAAUGCAUAUGCGACAGUGAGAAUGUGGCGAUGCUUGCGUUCGACGACUCCAUUUUGUUGUGGAGUGUAAACACAAGUGCGCUGAUAUUCAAUGCCAUUAUUUUGAAAAAAAUCCCUCAUGGAGAAAAAUUCAGACUCGUUAUCUACCUGAAUGGUUUUAAUGUGGGCAUGGAAUUGAGAGUGGGCAAAAGAGACAAAAGAUUUGAGAAGGUUUUGGGUUUCAGAUUUAUGCUGCAUCAAAAAUAUCCAUGUGCACCUAGUAAAGUCAUCCACAAUGGUAAGAAAGAAACAUGCCCCUGAAUGUGUGGUAACUUUGUGUGGACCCCAAAUAUCACAAUGUAACAAAUCAAAAGGAGCUUUAAUUGAUAUUGAACUUAGAGGAAAUGGAAGUCUUGUUUGUUUGGCCAUGGGACAAACACUACAAUUAUUAUCAAAAGAAAUAGUAUUGGAAGGCAAUAAUGAAGAAGCUAAUCGAAGAAGAGCAGGGGAUGGGUGUCCAAGUUGCAUGUGCCAUAAAUCGGAUGAGAGUGAAACUUGAUAUGAGACAGGUGUCUUUUGCAAUGGAGACAUGUAAUAGAGACCACCACGCUGUUUACCCAAGCCAAUCAUCUUCCUCGUAGCCAAGUCCUGCAAGGCACAGAAGGUAGGAAACAAAAUGGCACAACAGUUUAGAGAAGUAGUGAGUUUGCUGGCAGACAUAAGAUUUAAGCGAAAAGAUGGAACACACAAAACUUUGUCUAAUGUGAUAUUUGAAUUGAAUGGUAUAGUGCCAGUGGAAGUGAUUGGGGCAUGAGAACCAGUAGGUAAAUUAACAAUGGGCAUUUGUGAUUAUUCAGUUUUAGUGAAAAGUCUGGGAUCAUAAGUGAUGUGAUCAGUAGCUCCACUAUCUAAAAUCCAAGGUUUAGUGAACACAGAAUUUAUGGAAGGAAUGGAAAAAGAAGCCAGACCUGCAGCAUUUGCAUAAGCAUUGCUAUUACCAGAGGAAUGAGUUGAACUCAUCAUAGAAACAGCAUGUGCUAGUUCUUGGAGUUGCUCUGCAGAAAACCCAUGUAAAGGGUUGGAUUGAGAGGCUGGCUGGGUUGGUGCACUGAAACCAUAUGAUUGGGCCUCAUGCGAUGGAGCUGUGUCUGCGGCGUGGGCAGUAGGAAAGGACCCACGUGAAUUGAUGUGCCCUCUAGACCCUUGACGUUGUUGCUUAGAUUGAUUAUGCCUAUUGCCUUGAAUUCCUGUGUCAUUGGGAACCCAUGCCCCAUUUUUAAAUUUACAUCUAUCCUCAGUGUGGCCUCUCCUAUCACAAUACUUGCAAUGGAAUUUAAGGGUCCGACAUUCUUCGAUUGUAUGACAGUUUCUAUCAGAGUGCUCACAGUGUUUGUUCGUCGAAUUAUUCGACAUAUUGUUUGAUCGGCUGUGAAUCGCAACGGCAAUGGAAAAAUUCUCUGUUGGUCCUGAUGUUAUUUGUUGCUGUGUUUCGUCUUGAACGACAAGUGAAUAGGCUUGGCGGACAUUAGGCAAUGGCGACAUCAUGAGGAUAUUCCCGCGAACACCGUUGUAGGUGUCGUUGAGGCCCAUAAGGAAUUGCAUCAUCCGAUCUUCUUCCUUUUGUGUAUUGUGUGCUUUCAUCUCGUUACAUGUGAGAGGUGUUUGAUAUGUUUCUAAUUCGUCCCAGAGAUCUUUGAGUUUCUUGUAAUAGUCUGAAACUGUCAUGGUGCCUUGUGAGAGAGAGGCGAUGGAUUUCUGUAUCUGAUAUAUGGUUGGGGCAUUCUUUUGUGAGAAUUGAUCUUUGAAAUCUUGCCACACUUGAUGGACAGUCUUGGCAUGAACAACUGCUUUGGCUAGAUCAGGUUCCACCGAAUGAGCAAGCCAUGAUAAAAUCAUACUGUUGCAUUGAUUCCAGAGAGCAUAUUCGGUUGGUUGUUUUGUUUCUACAGGAGGUUGAACGGAUCCGUUGACAAAGCCAACUUUGUUCUUGGCCGUGAGAGCAUGGAGCAUGGAUUUACUCCAAGAUGGGUAAUUGGUGCCAUUCAACUUUAUGGGAACGAGCAUGAGACCGGGGUGAUCUGAUUGAUGAACAAAAUAUGGGUGUGAUGAAUCCAUACCAGGAUUUUUGGUGUUGGUGCUUGAAUUUUUGGAAGUAUUGUCUUUGGUUUCUAGUGGUGUUUGAUCUGACAUGAUGUUUGAAGGUGGGUAGGAAGUAGAAGGGGUCAAGUACCAGGAUGAAGCUCUGAUACCAUCUAAAGAAAGUAAAUGGUUGAAUAUUCUGUUGUAUUACCAAUGUCAAAUAGUACAAUACAUAUAUACAACAAUAGCCUUCUAUCAACCCUACUGUUAAGGCUUUGAAGACGUGAUCCAAUAUUAGUGGGAUUUGACCUACACUAAUUUGGGCAAGUAAAGAUAUUACAAAUAUUUACAAAGAUAUUUCCUAAUAUCCUCGUCGGGAAAAGAUGUUCUGGGACUUGGUGGAAGUUGUAGUGGAGGUUUCAGACAGAAUGCUGCUUCCAAAGUAUUCAAGUUCCCUAAUGCAGCCAAGGUUUGCUGAAUUCUAUACAUAAUGAAUAUGUUGCUUAAAUCUGGAUUCAUAUUUCAAAAUCAAUUGGCUUAAUCAAUUGGAUUCAUACAAUAUAGAUAUGUUUUUUACCUUUUGAAAAACGUAGAUAUUUUUCACAUACGUUUGAUUGGGAAAUGGUGAGUAGGGUGUACUUGUUAAAAUUACAUUUGUUUUACAAUUCAACAUAUCUUUUUUGGUCAUUUUAUAUUAGGUUAAAUUAGUAAUUUAAUAAACAGUUUGGUAAUAAGGUGUACUUAGUUAAUUUUAGGGUUCGUUUAACAGCAUUCUUUGAAACCCAUUCUCAAGCUUCUAAACCUUGAACCAUGUGUGUGCCAUGGAUUUAAUUUAUUUUUCUCAUUCUAUCUAAGAUCAACUUUGAUAAUAUUUUUCUUUGUUUACUGAUGAACAAAAGUUAUACUUUGCAAGUGCACUAAUCGAUAUGAUAGUAUAGCAAGCAAACACGAGAGUUGUUCCCACAGAGAUUUGUAAAGUUUAUCAAUUAAUUUCAAAUAUGAUUACCUUAAGAAAAGUGAAAAAUAAAAACGAAAUAUUAAAAGUACUAAAGUAGCCGAAAAUAAGAUUACUCAAUUUUAAUCUAAGUGUUGAAAAUCAAGAAAAUAAAAUAACAAAGGUUGAAAAUUGGUUUUGAAAAUCAAUGGAUGAAAACUAGGAUUCCGACUUCACCGUAACAAUCCCAUUCUAUGUAUUGAGUCAAUUUUGAGAAUAAAGUUCCAAUUCAAUUCUAAGGGUUUGUUCUCUCUUUAAUAUGAUGAUUCGUUCGGCCCCGGUGUCACCAAAUAUCCUCAAUUAAACCCAACUAAUGAACCCUAUAGUCAAAUUUAAUCGAGAACCCAUUAAGUUUACGAAGGACAGUCAAGAACCAAGAAGUGUCUUAGCUUGAACCCCGUCUUUAACAACAACUCAUUCAUUCAUAGUGCAUAUAAGAUUAGGGAUGAACCCCUCACCCAAUCCUAUCUUAGACAAUCCAAAAUACUUAUAAUGGUCAAUUACAAGUGUCAAGAUCACAAUUACAAUAAUGAAUGAAACAAGGAAUGUGAAUUGAUUAAAAAUAAGAUGUUAACUCAAUAAUAUGGAAUCAUCAUGUUAGGUUACAUCGGAUCCCUAGCAAAGAAUUUAGUUACCCAUAGCCAUCUUAGGAACAAACAAUAUACUAAUGAAAAUAGAAUACAAAGUUUGAAUUAAGAUAGAAAAAUAUUUAGAUGAAUCCACUGCAGUUAAACUCUUCCUUUGGCAAAUCUUGAAGGCUAUGAACGGCCAAGAAAGUGAGUAUGUGAAUUGGGUGAUUGAGAUAUUGAACAAUAUGCUAGCGUUCUCCUAAAAAAUCUAGUCUAAAAGAUGUAUUUAUAGGCCCUAGGACUUUUCUCUAAUCAUACAAGGAUUAGGAAACUUUAAAAUCCCAAAAAUCAUAGGAAAACUAGCCAAAAAUGCCAAAAAUUAUGCGCUAGAUUUGCGCCGUCCGCUCGAGUGCCAAAACGUAGUUACAUAGUUCAUAGCUUGAACCACUCGUAUGAAAACUGAUGUAACUUCCUCUAGAAGACUCGAAAUCACGAACUGUAACUUCUCUAGAAACUAGACUUCCAGAGCUUUCCAACGAAAAUUGGCAAGUUAUCUAAUUCUUCCCGAGCACGUACAGGUAAAUCCUUAAAAUUGACCUAUGUGCACAAGCAGUUUCUUGACUUGCAAGUUGCUAAUUCCAAAUUUCUAUCUUCUUUACUCAUUUUCGCUAUAUUUUGCUUCUUUUAGUGCCAACUCAAGCCUAGGGACAAUUUCCUACAAAACUCACACUAAACACAUCAAAACAACCAAUUUUAUAGAAGAAACUAAUGCAAAUCAUAGGAACAAGGCAUGAGAAAAAAGCACAAAUAUGGAGUCCACAAUUAUAUUCCUAAGUAUGCAGUUACCAAACAUAGGAAUGCAAUUUGAAACCCAAUCUCAAGCUCCUAAACCUUGAACCAUGUGUGUGACAUGGAUUUAAUUUGGUUUUCUCAUUCUAUCUAAGAUCAAUUUUGAUACUAUUUUUCUUUGUUUACUCUUCCAAUAUUUUUACAUUGAUAGAAUUUGGGUUAUACUUACUUAAGAUACCAAAUUUGUAAUAUUGAAAUUUAAUAAUUAUAAUAAAUUCUCAAGUAUAUCAUAGAGUUAUUUAAAGUUGGCACUCCUUAAUAGAAUUCUCAAAUAUAUCAAAAAGUUAUUUAAAGUUCACACUCUUUAAUAGAAUUCCUAUCUCCACUGUUGACAAGAAACUUGGAGUCCACUGGAUUCAAGACCUCGAGCCUGUCUCGAGAAUAAGUUUUACACGCCCAUGUGUACCUAAAAGUCCAAUACCUUCGUGUUGGCCAAGUUGUGGGCCAAAUUCAAGUCACCAUACUCUUCUUUCUGAAAAGUUCUAAAGGGAGUUUAGGGUAUUUUUGAUAUAAAAAAAAUAAAAAGAAAAGGAGUUUUAUCGACAAGCAGUAUUGGAUCUAGUACGGAGCCAGUGAAGGCACUAGCCCCACUCAGUUUUGUCUACACCUAUGAAGUGUCAAAUUUACAUGAUAUUUUCUAUUGAAUGGGGACAAAUUAUUUAAUAAAAAUGCCUCAAAGAAGGCUAAAGCGAGGCAAUAAGAGCAUGUGCAGCACUUCGGUUUGGCCUGGGCAAAAGGCCCCCCUGCUAGCCUAAAGCAACUCCAGCGCUUCAGUUCUUGCAUUUUCAAUUUCAUUUUUUUUAAUAAAUUAAUUAAGGAAAAAUAAAAAAGAGGAAAAUCAUUACAUAUAGCUUCUUAAGUGAAUAAUGUUCGCAGUCGGUUCCAGUGAUGCGUUCCGUGUCUGAAAUAAUGGCACUAUUAUGUCCUCCGAAGGAAUAUACUCCCCCACAUCGUGAUCUGGUGGAACCGCCUCUGUCAAUGAUUGAGUCGUUCUUGUACUCCAUUGUGUCGGACUAUGAGGAUCGAGAAUAUUUUAAUUGUAUGAUGAGUGAGUAGGUAUUUCAAUUGUAUGAUGAGUGAGAUGUGAAUUUUAUAAUAAAUAUGGACACGUGGCAACCAAAAAUUUUAUCCGAAAAAUGUUAUCUGAAAUUUUAAGUGAGAAUUUUAUAAUAAAUAGUGACAAGUAACAACCGAAAAUAUUAUCUAAAAAGCUUAUCAAAAUUAAUGAUUUAAGUAUAAAAAAAUAGAAAAUAAAGUAAAAUAAAUAGUAUUUUCCCUUGCCCUUUGAAGUGGAACUAAAAAAGACAAGACUAACACUUUUCACAUAAAUAGUGUAUGUUCUUGCCUUACCUUUGCCUCGUCCUUGCCUUUUGAUAUGGAGGUGCUCUAAAGUGGCAAGUGAAUGGCUGAGAAGAGCUGCAUUAGGCCAAACUUUACAGGUUGUUGGUAGGCUCCAUUAGCCACUGCAUGCUAGGCCAUACUUUAGGACAAUUUCUGGAUCCACUAGUGCCUCCUAAACUGUACACCAAAACCAUUCUUUAUUAUAAAAUAGUUGACCUUUGCUCAGACGCCCAUACUAACAUGGCAGAAGUAAAACAAUUGAACUUGAACACUAGAGGUGCUUGUUUGAAUAUGAAUAGCCACCUGGCGGCUGUGGAGCUCUUUUACAAUUUUCGUCUUAUCUCUCUUCUAAUUAAACAUUAAAUUACUUGCUUUCGACCGAAAAAGGAAAAAAGAGAUUAUGUUGUAAUGAAAGUAAUGAAUCCCACGUAAAGGAAAAGAAGGAAGCUUAGUCAAAAGUUUAAUGAUGAUGUUAGAAGCUUAAUGAUAAUGUUGGGUAAUGAAGCCAUCCAAUUUGCCUAUAGACUUGCUCAUUCAAUUGUAGAACACACCAAAGGAGAAGAGAAGAGAAAGAAGAGAAAGUGAGAGGAAAGAAGAGAGAGUGAGAAAUCUGAGUGUCUUAAGUUCUGUAUGAGAAGAAAUUCUGUCAGUGUAAACACUAUAAAGAGCAAAUAUAAUUCUACUCCCAAUAUUCAAUAGUACUUCCUAUACUUUGCUUAUUUUAUUUUUAUAACACGUUAUCAGCAUGAUAGUUUCUCCUUUUUAUUUCUAAAUCUUUCCCAACUGAACACUAUGUGAUUAUUUCUCUGUCUCAUCUCUGUCAUAUGUCUCUUCUCACUUUACUACUACGACGACAUGCAAACUUUCUUUUUUGUGUUCUCACAAUUUUUAUGUUGUUUCAUCCAUGCUUGUUUAAUUUACUUCUUUGUAACGUAAUUUGGAAUGGUGUGGUUUUAUACCCCAUCCAGUUAUUUUAUGGUGGUGUAAUUUUUAUUAUCCAUCGCGUUGUAACACAAAUUAUCAUAAGAAAAUGAUGGUGUGAUCUUAAAACCCAUCUAUUAUAUCUUGAACGGUGGCAUAGUUAUAUUGCCCACAAUAUAUAAUAUGUUAUAUAUUUCAUAUGUAUUAGGUGGUGAUUUUAUCCCCACAUUUAUUUUAUUUACGGGUAUGGAGUAGGUUUACCCAUACGACAAUAUUUAUUUAAAAGUGUGGCACAGGUUUAUUGUCCACACAACUGUAUUUACUUUUCAUUUAAAAGUAUGGAGUAGAAUUAGUGCCCAUACCAGCACGUUUACUUUAUCGCACAUUUACUUUUACUUAAAGUAUGAUGUGGAAUUAACCCUCAUACUUUAUGAAUUUACUUUUCCUCACAUUUACUUCUAUUUAAAGUAUGAUGCUGAAUUAACGUCCUUACAACAACAAUUUACUUUAUGAAUUUACUUUACCGCACAUUUACUUUUAUUUAAAGUAUGGUGCAGAAUUAAUGUCCAUACAAUAAGCAAUUUACUUUACCGCACAUUUACUUUUAUUUAAAGUAUGGUGCGGAAUUAACGUCUAUACAAAGCAAUUUACUUUUAUUUAAAGUAUGGUGCAGAAUUAACGUUCAUACAACAAGGAAUUUACUUUAUGAAUUUACUUUACCGCACAUUUACUUUUAUUUAAAGUAUGGUACGGGUUUAUCGUCCAUACCUGCAAAUUUAUAGCACUUUAUUUUUAUUAUUAAUUAAUAUACAUGAAUAAAGAGGGCCUGAAGUUCCACAAAAAAAAUAUAGGGCCUGAAGUUUCUAUUAAUAAAUGGCUUAAUAUCCUAGAUCCCGAGCCUAAAGUUUUGGGUAAAAUAUGCAAGAUAUUUUUGGCCAGAAGUUCAAAAAUAUAUUAAGCCUGAAGUCCCGAAAUAUGUGCAGGAAAUUAUAAAAAUGUCCAUACUGUGAGAAUAUGUGAUUUUGGCUUGAAGUUCAAAGUCUAACAGUAUUGAGAACCUGAAGUUCCAACAAUCAAAUGGACAACCCUUAAGGCAUUAUUGCAAAUUGUGUUGCCCAUUCAUAUGGCUUGGGUCCAAGGGGCAAUCCAUCCACGAGUGGCAAAAAUGCAUCCUGGAAUAAGGGGAAAGCACAGACAAGCUAUAUGCCUAGAAAUGUUGAAGGCGCUUGUCAUAGAUAUGGUGCAAAGUAUAUUGGGCACGUACAUGCUGUACGCCGAAUCAUUUGGUGGAUCUUUAUCAAUCGUCACUUAAGAACAGGAAAGUGAAGACAAAUUACAUUGAUCAAGUUAUACCAGAUCUGCAAGCCACAGAUGACCCAUCGGAGUGUUUAUCAAUCUUCACUCAGACAUGACGCAUCUGAAUGUUUCCGAUUUUGCAAUUGAAAGAUGGAAUGAAGUUUAUGGGUCCGAAUUAGAUUAAAUUUCUUAAUGUGCCAUUUGUAUUAUCUGAAGUGUUGUUUUUUAAAUUUCCAUUUCAAUCCAAUAAAAGUGACAAUGUUUUCUAUACAUUGAAUAGAAUAAUUGUUUAUUGAUUCAGCUUAUUUUAUUUAUUUGAAGGGAUGGAUGUAAAUUAUGGAUGCCCUCAAAACGAAAGUUAUGGCAAAAAUAUUUGUCUUGCAGACAGCGCGACUACUCAUACGAUCCUUCGAGAUCAAAAGUAUUUCUCAAACUUGAUGCUUACAAAAGCAAAUGUAACAACUACAUCAGGUCCUACAGAUCUGAUUGAAGGCUCAGGAACGGCCCAAGUCAUGUUACCAAAUGGAACAACACUGUCCAUUCAAGAUGUUUUGUAUUAAUCUAACUCCAGAAGAAAUCUAUUGAGUUCCAAAGAUAUACAUUUGAAUGGCUACCAUGUUGAAACAAAGAAUGAGAAAAACAUGGAAUAUCUUUGCAUUACCUCCAGUGAUACCCAGAAGUGUCACUACUACAAAAAGUGAAAAAGACGACCAGAAAACAACGACGGUCUAAGUGAAAACCGUCGUGGUUUAUAAAAAGACGACGGUUCUAAAAACACCGUCGUGUAAUACAACCUUAGACAACUAAAAAAUGGAGUUUCAAAUGGCUGUUCAAAAACAACGACGUACAUAAUUAAACAACCGACGUCUAUUUGAAACAGAUUUCCUCAGUGUAAAAUCAAUGCCAACAAAGAACGGCAGAAGUUAUGAAUCGACCGACGUAGAAAGUAAAGACGACGAUUUCAAUAAAAACUGCCGUUUUUACUCAUAAAAUAACACGACGAGGUUUUCGUAUAAGACGCCGUAUAAUUACAAACAAAUCCACGGCUUUAAAAUACAAAAUAUCGCCGUAUUAAAUUAAUUUACAACGACGGAAAAUAUAAAUAUAUCGACGUCAUUCUCGUAUAGUUCUACUACGUUAUCUUUAAAUCGUACAAUAAAAUUUAUCGUCGUAUUUAUUCAUUUUAUACGUCGUACCUUUAAUUUUAACGGUCGUCUUAAUAAGAAUUUUUGUUAACAAUUUUUUUCUUUGAUUUUCUUAUCCUACGUCGGUAGAUCUACUUAAUGACAAGAAUUGAAAUAACCACGACGGUUUAUAUAGAACACCGCCGACAUAAUCAGUUUUGUCUGAGAUCCCAAGGGUUACGAAAUCUUACCAGAUGGAACUCUGUUCCACAUCAUAAUCUUAACAGAUGACACAGAUUUGCAAAUAUUGCGUCGUGUUAGUUUACAAAUUCUAGAACAUUAAUUUCCCUCAUUUUAAAUUUCCUCGGGAAAGAAAAAUCUAUUUAUCACGCUUUGGAAUUGAAAACUAAAACUGAAAGAAUACGGGAAAAAAAACUCCAUUUAUAAUUUAAAAUUAAAAUCCACGUCGGUUGUAGUACACUUAACGACGUUUAACAAAAUAAUCUACGUCGGUAAUUAUAAAUCUACCGCCAUCGUAACUUAAUAUAGACGACGAGAAAAGACGACGGUAGAACAGAAAACCGCCGUUGUUUCAGUUUCUUUAACAUAUCUUUCUGCAGGACUUGUGUAGUUCAAAGCAUUGACAAUGUCUUCAUCAUAUCUCCCAGAAACUACUGAUUCAAUUGCUCAUGCUUUAGAGGCCAUCUGAAGCCAUUUCUAUUCUUUAUCGCAUUCUUGAAACCCAUCUUCUUCUUCUGAAGCUCUACGGAUAAAGGAAGAGGCUAUCACAAUAAAUCCGACGGAUCUUCUUAGGCAAGAAAAUCAAGCAGAGGAUCAGGCACAUCUGAUCUUCAGAUUUCCCUGAGAAGCGAACUUUCCUUCGACAGCGAGUGGAGGCCAGGCUUGCAUCUCUUUUGAUGGAAAGCAAGGAGUAUUCAGAAGCACUAAGUGUCCUAUCAGGCUUGAUCAAGGAAGUGAGAAGGCUAGUUGACAAGCUUCUUCUUGUGGACAUAUAUUUGAUGCGAGUAAGCUCAAUUUCUCUUUGAGAAAACAUCCAAAUUAUUAUCUUUGAGACAUGAGAGACUGAGAGAGGAAGAACUUGGAACCUUAAAUGUAAACCGAAAAUGAAUGAAAGCGACAAAUUUAUAGAAUAAAUUUUUAAAACCAACGGCGGUCCUUACAAACAAACCGCCGUUUAAAUUGUAAAAUCAACGUCGGUAUGAUCGACGUAUAUUACAGAAAUCCACGUCGGUAAAUUAAUAAAAACGACGUGUUAAAUAAUAUACCAUGACGCGAGUUAUUACUUAUGUACUUUAAUUUUUGAGUUUACUACGACGGUACCUACAAACUACUGUCGUAUUUAUUUACCACGUCCGAAGUUAAAUGUACCGUCGUAUUUUGUAAUUUAUACGUCGUAGUUAUAUGUAACCGCCAUAUUAUUUUUUUGAAAUGGUUUUAUAUGUAAGCAACUUUUCGUCUACUUGACUUACACAUUUGUUGUUUUUAUAUUCUUAUUUUAUUUAAAUCUGUCAUCCAAAAAAGAAACUUUACAUAUUGCAGAAUAUUAAUUUCCUUCGUUUUAAAUUUCCUCCGGAAAAAAAACUCUAUUUAUAACGCACUGUAAUUGAAAAAUAAACUGAAAGGUCACGGGAAAAAAAAUUCUAUUCAUAAUUUAAAAAUUAAAAUCCACGUCGGUUAUAUUAAACCUAACGACGUUAAAUGAAAUGAUUCCACGUCGAAUGAAAAAUAUUGCGUCGUUUUAGUUAAAAACGACGUAGUUAAAUGUAACCGCCGUAUUAUUUUUUUGAAAUGGUUUUAUAUGUAAGCAACUUUUCGACUUACACAUGCACUGUUUCCAAACCCGAUUAAAAAUUUCAAUCUCCCAGAGAAACCUUUUCGUCUUUUUUCCUUGUCAGAGCAUUGUCAGAGUUUCUCAUCGUCUUCCUCUCGUCUUCUUCGUCGUCUCUGAACUUAAACAUCGAUCAUCUUCCUCUUGCUUUCAUUGCACGCAAAAGGUAAGCUUUCAUUUUCACUAUUUUGGUUACUGUUUUGCAUGCUCAUACGUUUUUUGUUUGAAAAAUCUUUUUACCUUUUUUCUGGCCAAAAUCAUUUUACUUCUUUCCAAGUUUGAUAAAAUAUACAGACAAAGAGAGAAAGUUUCCAACUUUGAAGACAACUACAUCAACUAAAUAAGACGACGGUAGACCACGACGGUUCGUCAGUUGUUCUAGCGUCGUCUGAAAAUUGACAAAGUUGUUUUUAAAAUAAUAGUCUUUUUUUAUAUGCUUGUUUAAUUGCAGGUUUGAUUUCGCUGAACAAUGGUUUUUGUUUUUCCCUUAUUUGAUAAAAUAUAAAGAAAAAGAAACUAGGGUUGGUAUCUAAUAUAGACGAUAAAAUAUAAAUAAUAGUUUACCACGACGGUGUAUUACUAUUGACGUCGUGUGAACAUAUAUACCACGACGUUAUAUAAAUAAUGGUUUUAAACAUUUAUUACGUCUGAGAUUAUUUCAUUGCGUCGUCUAAAAUCAUAUCAUACGUCGUAUUUUUUUAAUACCGUCGUUUGUGUUCUUAAUGUUUUCCUGAAAUAUUUUCACUUGCAGUUUUGUCUGUUAAAAUGGUUUCUCAACAACAAACUAAGGAUUCUGGCUCCAAGAAGCUUGGAAUGGUAGCUCCUCAAGAUAAGUCUUCGAAGGAGAUGAAGUCUUCGAAGAAGAUGAAGUUUGCUUCAUCAUCUGCUGAGACAGAACAAACCAGCCAGACAACAAUCUCAGAUGAUUCAAAGACUGGUCGAGGUAUGAGCACAAUGCCUCGUGUUGUGAAGAGAAAGCUUCAGAAACUGAGGCCAAUUGUUGAGUACAAUAAAAGGGGGAAAGGUGUUGGCCAAGCACAUAUUGAGAUGCAGUCGUAUAUUGGUGUGUUGGCACGCUCCAGGAUCCCACUUGUGGACAAGAAAUGGUCCCAAAUCCCCAAGGAUAUAAAGGAGCAGAUUUGGGAAGCAGUUGACAUGGCUUUUGUCGUAGGCCAAGGGGGCAAGACCUCUGUUUUAGCUUCUGCUUCCAAGAAAUGGAAGGAUUUCAAGUCUACACUAACGAGGCAUUAUAUCCUUCCAUACACCAAUGACAGGGAGAAAUUAAGCCAACCCCCUGAAACAUAUAAAUUCAUAGAGAAAGCACAAUGGGAUGCCUUUGUAGCUUCAAGGCUAUCCAAAGAUUUUGAGUCUGUGCAUUCUCAACAUGCACAGAUUAGGGAGAAACUCGAGUACAAUCAUCGAUUGUCUCGAAAAGGAUAUGCUGGAUUGGAGGAUCAAUUGGAGGAAACCAUGCCUGGGGUAGAAAUUGAUCGAUCUACCUUAUGGAAGAGAGCUAGACAGGACAAACAUGGUAACAUCCCUGAUCCAAAGGUGGCAGAGAAGGCAAAAUUAAUUGUAAGCCUACUCACUCUGUUUUAAAUUUUUAUUAAACUGUGAAUUAUUCUUAUUAUGUCGUAUGUUAUAUUUUUCGUCGUGUGAAUGAUAUUACCACGUCGAAAAGUUUUUAAAAACGUCGUUAAAGGUCUAAAUAGGAAUCACUACUAUGUUUUCUGUAAUUACAGCAUAAGACGUCGGUGGUUCAUUUUCGCGUCGUGUGAAUGAUAUUACCACGUCGAAAUUUUUUUAAAAACGUCGUUAACGGUCUAAAUAGGAAUCACUACUCUGUUAUCUUUAAUUAUAGCAUAAGACGUCGGUUGUUUAUUCAUUUCGUCGUUUUAAAUAAAUAACCACGUCGGUAUAACUACCGUCGUGAUAAGUUAUAAUAACGUCGGUUUAUACGUUAUUGCGUCGUGUGAAAUUAUAUAAUACGUCGUUUGUACAUAAAUAACCGUCGUGUGUUUUUUUGUUUAUCUUUGUUUUAGGAUGAAUUGCAGAAACAAGUCUCGGAAGGCAAAGUCAGAGUAGAUGGCAGCAAUGAUGUGCUGACCAUGGCUUUGGGCCCCGAGCAUCCAGGCAGGGUGAGGGGAGUUGGUGCUGGUGUUUCCCCAAGGCAAUAUUUCAAUUUGCCCAAACCACAGAGGGUGAGCUUUGACGACCGUUUGAAGGAGAGUUUAAGAGUUCUCCUUCAAGAAGAGACUAAAAAGAUGGAGGCUAAGGCAAGGGAAGAGGCCUUAAGGAUGGAGGCUAGGACAAAACAAUUGGUAGAGGCUGAGAGGGAGCAUUUCCUGAGUCAGCUUUCCCAAUUAAUUCCCAAUUUUGAUCCAAGCAUGCUUAAACCAAGAAUUAGCCAAAGCCCCAAAAAUCCAAUGUCUGACAAAGCUAGCUGCUCUGGAGGUGAUGUGAGAUCCCUACAUUUGGAGGAUGAUACUGCCAAAAUGGGGAAACAUCAGCCAGAUGAAGAGAAGGAAGAAGAAAAAAGAGAUGAAGAGAAGGAAGAAGAAAAGGAGAAAGAAGAUGAAGAAAAGCAUGACGACAAGGUAUGUUCACAUAACUUUGCCUUUUUUAUUUGUUUUUCAAAAUUUCAGACGUCGAUAUUUUUAUUUAAUCCGUCGUUUGUUUAAAACUUAGACGGCGGAAUUUUUUUAAGACGUAAUAAAAUAUUUAAACGACGGUUUUUGCACCGUCGUUUAAAUGGUUUCAGACGACGCUUUAUUCAUAAAACCGUCGUCUUUAUUGAAUUACCACGACAGUUUUUUCACCGUCGUUUAAAUACUUUUAAGACGACGUUUUAUUACUUAAACCGUCGUCUUUAUUGAAUUACCACGUCAUUUUUUUUAUUUCUUUAAACAGGUUAUUGAAGUUGGUGCUUAUUCAAAAAUGGAGGCGCCAUCUUCUUUAAAAACCCUUUGUCGUUUUGUGGAAACGACACUCCUGCCUGAGGAUAAGACAGUCCAAUUUACAAUUGAUAAGGAGGUGUUUGGUGGUGAGCGCGAUACCUUCCUCCUGCCUGAAGAUAUUACACAAUUUGCAGGCAUGGAAGAAAUUGGAGCUACUGUAUUGGCUGUAUAUAUGAGGUUUGUACUUCUAAAAUAAUAACUCGUUGGUUUAUAUAUUGCGUCGUCUUAACUAACUAACCACGUCGUCUUAACUAACAACCGUCGUGAUAAAUAUAUUAUAACGUCCUCAUCUAUUUCAGUACGUCGUGUGAAAUAUUAUAAUACGUCGUUUUUUUAUACAUAACCGUCGUGUUUUGUGUGCUGACUUGUUUAUAUUAUUUUAUUUGUUUAGGUACUUACACGAUGUUUUGAAAAAAGCCAAUAUGUGCAGUAUGGUUGGCUUUAUCGACCCUGCUACAGUUAGUGCCAACUCUGGCACAAUAACUGAAAGAUCACGACUCGUAGCAGCUCGACUUCAGAAGACAGACGGUGAACAGAUUUUCAUGAUGCCUUACAAUCCAGGGUUAGUCUCCUUAGGAUUUUGUUUUUAUGAUUUUCAAUAAAUGACAGCUUAUAAACUAACCACGUCGGUGUUUUAUUUUAUUUAGUCGUUUGAAACUACUAACCACGUCGGUAUUUAUUUAUCGUCGUGAUAAAUAUAUAAUGUCGUCGUUAGCUACUUUACUUCGUCGUGUGAAAUACUAUAAUACGUCGUUUUUGUAAAUAACCGUCGUUUUUAUAUUAAUUUUGUGCAGCCGUCAUUGGAUUUUGCUGAUUGUAAGAGCAAAGAGAGAAACCGUCUAUUUUCUGGAUCCUCUGCCAGGAAAUCGUGUGGUCGAUGAAGAGGCCAAAAACAUCGUGAACAGUGCUUUAAAAAUAUAUAAUACCCACAUAGCCCGAGCAGGACGUAAAAAUGUAAUUUGGAAAACUCUCUCAGGCACACCAAAGCAACCCAGCAAUGUCGAAUGCGGGUAUUAUGUAAUGCGCUUCAUGAGGGACAUCAUCAUGGAUCCUUCCUUGGGGUUUGAGAAUAAGGUAAGAAGAAAUUACCUUCAUACAUUUCACGUCGUUUUUUGUAUUAUCAACGACGGUCGUGUAAAAUUAACGUCGUUGAAUGGAUAUACUACGUCGGUUAUGAAAAAUAUCGUCGUCUGUGAUUGAAUUUCUUUUUAUUUAUAAACCCUAAUAGUCAUUGUUUAUGCAGUAUGCCAAGGGAAACCAGGAAGCUUCAUACCCCCAAGAAGCCAUUGAUGAAGUCCGGAAUGAAUGGGCAGAGUUUGUUUUCCAAAUUAUUAAACAGGGCAAUUAUUGAACACUUGAUAUUUAUGUAUAAUGUACCAAUUUUCUCUAUAAUAUGUAAUGUAAAAAUUUGUUGAGGUUUUCUUAAAUUAAAAAAAAAACAAACAUACAAAUUGCUUAACCGACGUGUAAUACUUUUCCAACGACCUAAUAAAGUCAAUAACCGUCGUAUUUUGUUGUUGCGUGUUUUAAACAAAUACGACGUAAAAAAAUAGUUAGACGACGUUCUUUGAACAAUUGAGUCGUUAAUGGUUUACAAUAUCUUCAAUUUCUUAAGGGUUCAGGGUAUAAUCGACGACGUUUAUGUAACGACUACGGUUAAGUCGUGGAAUAUAUAUUUUACGUCGUAUAGUUAAAUAGCCGCCAUGGUUUCUCAUUUUAACGACGUCAUUUUAACGACUUAGUAGUCUAUUACAAUUUACAACGUCUACAAUUUAUUUAACACCGACGUGGUUUGUUGUAUGGUAAGAAUAUUUUAUUAUUUUUAUAUCAAAAUAUUCAAAAUAAAUAUAAAAUAAAUCAGAAAAUUGAAAAGUCAACUCCUAUGAAGUCAUUGAUAUAUUUUCUUCCACAUAAACCUUGAAAAAAUUCAUUUUGAAUAACAAAAAUUUAAAAUGACCAUCCAAAACAAAAUUGUUUUGAUGAGUCAUAAAAUCACUUCUAGUUUUAUGGUUUAGGGUUUAGAGUCUAGGGUUUAGAGAUUAGGGUUGUUAUUUAUUGGGGUUUAUUUUUAAAGUAUAAUUUUUGGGUAGUCUAUGUUAUAUGUUAGGCUUUAAAACCAUAAAACCUUUUAUAAACUUAAUUUUUUAAAUUGUAUAAUUUAAUUUUAUGGGUUUAGUGUAUUAAUUUUUAACGACGGUGGUUGGGUCGUGGAAUACAUAUUUUACGUCAUACAGUAAAACAUACGACAUGGUUUACGCUUUAAACGACGUUAUUUUAAUAUGUAAGUCGGUUUAUAUAAUUUACAACGUCUUUAAUUUCUUAACACCGACGUGGUUUUUCAGUCGUCGUUAUAUAAAAAAUUCAAAAUAAAUUUAAAAUUAAUCCGAAAAAUGAACGGCCUUACGUUCUUAAUCCGAAAAAUGAAGUUUCCGUCGUGGAAUAUUAAAUUUACGUCGGUACUUGUAGAACUUUCGCCUUGGUUUUUCUUUCGACGUUUUAUAACGCGCGCGCUCUAAAAAUUUUCGCGCGACCUAAAUUUUUUUAGAUUUGGCUCUUAGCCUUAUACUUUGAUCCCUGAAACCUAAAAUUUCAGAUUUCACGCGACAUAACAUUUCGCUCUCUCACUUCUGCUCUAAUUAAAAGUUGCACUCUCCAGGCUCGUCGAAUCUGUGAGCUCGUCCAACCUGUAAGUACAAACCCUAUCUUCCCCUUGUAAAUUCAUUGAAUGAUAUUAGGUUGUUUUGUUAAAGGGUUUUAGGUAUAUGCUUUGCGAUCUGUUAAUAAUGUGCUUAUAGGUAUGGGUUCAUGGAUUUUCUGUUUAAUGGGUUCAUGACAAGAUCAAAUAAAGGUGUACUUUUGCUGUUUAAUGGGUUCAUGGAUUACAUUAUCUGUUAUGUUGAAUUGGGAAUGGAUUUAAUUUUGUCGUAUCUUUUAAUCACCCUAUGUUAUGUUGAAUUGGGAAUGGAUUUAUUGUUUUCAUGCUUGGUUUCAUGUAUAUGUUGGUUUCUUGCUUGGUUUCAUAUAUAUGUUGUGUUCUUAAUGGGUUUUGUGUUCUUGAAAAUAAACUGAGACACGACGAAUUUUAAGGCGUACGACGACGAUUACACGACGGUGUUUUUAAACUACCGUCGUUGUAUUACUUAUACACGACGGUUUUUUCAUAAACCGUCGUUUGUAUUACGUAUAAUAGACGACGUCUGUUGAAAAUCCGUCGUCUAUAUAUGCCAAAUACGUCUGUUUUUGAUUAAAACCCGUCGUCUCUGUUGUUUAUUACUUGCGAUUAGAUCAUUGUAUAAUCUGCUAUAGUGAUGGUCAUUGCCUGUAUUUUCACUUUAUUAUAGAUAAUAGGUUAUAGUGUCGGAGAUGGAUAAGUCAUGGAUGCACUCGGAUAGAAGAUCGAAGGCAUAUGAGUUUGGGGUGGAAGCAUUUUUGAACUUUGCUGUAGAAAAUCUUCUAACUACAACACAUAUCCGUUGUCCAUGUGUUAAAUGUGUUAAUUUGAAGUUGUUUGGGGUUGGAAUUAUAAGGGAUCACUUAUACUUUAAUGGAAUUGACCAAAGCUAUAAGAAUUGGACAUUUCACGGAGAACCUUGGGAAGCAACUACUAAUGCUAGCAGAAAUGUUGAAGAAGAUGAUGGCCAUAGUAGGUACAGUUUUGUGUCUGAAGAAAUUGAUAUGGAUGAUAAUGAUUUUGGUGAUUUUGGUUCGGAUCCGUAUGAGUUUGCCAAUGUGAUUGGGGAUGGAGAUCAACCAGUGUACCCUGGUUGUAGAAAGUACACGAAGUUAUCGGCAUUAGUGAAGUUGUAUAAUUUGAAGGCAAAACAUGGGAUGAGUGAUGUCUGUUUUACAUAAUUAUUGAUACUUCAAGGCGAUUUGCUUCCAGAAGGAAAUACAAUACCAACCUCCAUGUAUGAGGCUAAAAAGACUUUGUGUGCAUUGGGGCUGAGUUAUGAGAAAAUGCACGCAUGCCCCAAUGAUUGCAUCUUGUAUAGGAAGGAGUAUGAGGAUUCAACUAAUUGUCCUACUUGUGGUAUCUCAAGGUGGAAGGAAGGCAAAGAUGCAAUCUUGAAAGAGGGUGUGCCAGCGAAGGUGGUGUGGUAUUUUCCCCCAAUUCCAAGGUUUAAAAGGAUGUUUCAAUCACAUGAGACAGCUAAGAGUUUGACUUGGUGGCAUGUUGCUAGAAAAUCAAUUGACGGUCAGAUGUCUCAUCCGGCGGAUUCCCCGUCUUGGAAACUUCUUGAUGAUAAAUGGCCUGAGUUUGGUAAUGAGCCGAGAAACUUGAGAUUGGCUCUUUCAUCUGAUGGAUUCAAUCCCCACAGUUCUCUAAGUAGCAGAUAUAGUUGUUGGCCGGUUAUCUUAGUUACAUAUAAUCUCCCUCCAUGGCUGUGCAUGAAACGAAAGUUCAUGAUGUUAACCUUAUUGAUUUCCGGUCCUAAACAACCCGGAAAUGAUAUAGACGUCUACUUGGAGCCUUUGAUUGAUGAUUUAAAAUCCUUGUGGGUUGGGAUUAGAGGAGUGUAUGAUGCACAUAAUGGAGAAUACUUUACACUCAGAGCUGCAUUAAUGUGGACAAUUAAUGAUUUCCCCGCCUAUGGAAACUUAUCUGGUUGUGUUGUUAAAGGAUAUAAAGCUUGUCCAAUAUGCGGCGAUGAUACACCUAGUCACAGGUUGAAAAAUGGCCACAAAAUUUGUUACAUUGGGCAUAGAAAAUGGUUACCAAUCAAUCAUCCAUAUAGGAGGCAACGUGCAGCUUUUAAUGGGAAACCUGAAUAUGGCAUACCUCCAGAGCCAUUAACCGGAGAAGAAGUGCUGCAUAUGGUUGAAAAUGGUGACAGAGUUUGUUGGAAGAAGAAAUCAAUAUUCUUUGAUCUCGAGUAUUGGAAAUACCUUCCUGUGAGGCAUGCCCUAGAUGUUAUGCACAUUGAGAAGAAUGUUUGCGAUAGUAUCAUUGGUACAUUGCUGGAGAUCCCUGGAAAAAAUAAAGAUGGGAUUGCUGCUCGAUUAGAUUUAUUGAACAUGGGGGUCAAAACUGAUUUGCAACCCGAGUAUGGAGAAAGACGUACUCGUUUGCCUCCUGGGCCUUGGAAUUUGUCAAGAGCAGAGAAGAGAGAGGUUUGCAAUUCUUUCUAUGGUAUGAAGGUCCCUGAAGGUUAUUCUUCCAAUAUUAAAAAUCUUGUAUCUGUACAAGAUUCAAGACUUCUUGGCCUUAAAUCACAUGAUUGUCAUACCUUAAUGCAACAAUUGCUCCCUGUGGCAAUUCGUUCUGUUUUGGAGAAGCCUGCAAGGUAUGCAAUAACUCGUUUGUGCUUCUUCUUCAAUGCUAUAUGUGCAAAGACUGUUGAUGUUUCCAAGCUAGAUAAGUUGGAAGAAGAUGUAGUAGUUACUCUGUGUUUGCUUGAGAAGUACUUUCCCCCUUCAUUCUUUGAUAUCAUGGUUCAUCUAGUAGUACAUCUUGUCAGAGAAGUUCGUCUAUGUGGGCCAGUAUAUUUUAGGUGGAUGUAUCCGUUUGAAAGAUAUAUGAAAGUGCUGAAGGGGUAUGUUCAGAAUCGUACUCGUCCCGAAGGUUGCAUUGCUGAGCGGUAUAUAGCUGAAGAAGCGGUAGAGUUUUGUACUCAGCAUUUAUCUGAUGUUAGUACAGUUGGAGUGCCUUCAAGCCAAAAGAUGGGAGUUUCAAAGCCAUUAUCAGGUUGCACAGUGAGCGUAGUUGAUCAGGACCUGUUGAAUCAAGCACAUCUAUAUGUCUUGGAGAAUACGGAGGAAGUCCUACCUUAUAUCGAGUACGUAUGAGUUUUAUUCUUUAAGUUUCCAUUUAAAAUUAUUUCUUAUGUUUAUCUUAUAUAUUUGGGACCGUAAUGCUUGAAUUUUUCGUGUCAUGUAGGCAACAUAUGAUCCACAUCAAGACUGCUUAUCCAAAAUUUAGAAAGAGAACAAAGUGGCUGCAGGAUAAGCACAAUAGCACUUUCAUUCAAUGGCUACGCUUCAAGGUAUAUGUUGUUGAAUAACGUAUUUCUCUUUUAAUUUUCUUCUUAUUUAUAUGUUAGGAUGAAUUAAGAUAUGAUUAAUUUGCAGGUUCAAAGUGAAGUUGAGGAAGACAAUCAUGGCGUAUCAGAAAAUUUAAGGUGGCUAGCAGCUGGUCCAAACAUGUCAGUGCCAUUAUAUAGGAGCUAUCUUAUUAAAGGUAUUAAAUUCAAUAUCAAGGCACAAGAUGAUGUGCGGACAACUCAAAAUAGUGGAGUUUAUUUACUUGCACAUACCAUGCAAGUUGCUAGUGCCAAGGAUAAAAACCCAAUUCUCUCAAAUAUGGGUUUCUAUGGUGUCAUUCAAGAAAUUUGGGACCUUGACUACCAAAAGUUUACAAUCCCAGUCUUUAGGUGUGAUUGGAUAGAUAGUUCUGGUCUUGUAGUCGACGAACUUGGAUUUACCCUUGUAGAUUUGAGUAAAAUUGGACAUAGGAAUGACCAAUUUGUUUUGGCUUCUCAAGUCAAACAAAUAUUUUUUGUUGACGACCCGAUGCAUCGUGGUUGGUCGGUAGUGUUAUCAAUGCCUAGUAGAGAAUAUAAUGAUGUUAUUGGUGAUGAAGUAUUAGGUGAUGUGAUAAUUGAGUGUGAGCCAUUUACUAGAGGGAUGCCAAAUGUUGACACAUUUGAUGAACUGGUAGGUGAGUUAGGCGGUCAAAAUGUNNNNNNNNNNNNNNNNNNNNNNNNNNNNNNNNNNNNNNNNNNNNNNNNNNNNNNNNNNNNNNNNNNNNNNNNNNNNNNNNNNNNNNNNNNNNNNNNNNNNNNNNNNNNNNNNNNNNNNNNNNNNNNNNNNNNNNNNNNNNNNNNNNNNNNNNNNNNNNNNNNNNNNNNNNNNNNNNNNNNNNNNNNNNNNNNNNUAUUGUGAAGCAAUUAUUCAGGAUAUCACGUCGGUGAAGGAUAAAGAACCGCCAUGUAAUUCAAAAUAACACGACUCCAAUCCCAUAAUACCGACGUCUAAAAAACGAGAUAUGUAAUCUGAACGUUAAAAAAUACGACGUCAUCAUACAUUUUCCACGUCGCAAGUUCUUUUAUAAACGAAGAGGAACGAAAUUAAUUCCGACGGAAAUUCAUUAUAACCGCCGUCUAAUAACAAUUAAACGACGUUAUUUGUAAUACGGCUCCCAUCAUAAUCUACGCCGUCUAUAUGUUCUGUAAUACGGCUCUCAUUUAUUUGGAACCGACGUUGUUUAGACGUUCAACGUCGUCUAUAUUAUUAAGUGCGUCGUGAGUAAUGAAUACAUAUAAAUACAACGUCGACUAUAUAAAUGUAUACGUCGUAAAUAAUGACACUGACAACUAUUUCCACGUCAUCUUUUUUAGAUAAAAUCGAAGUGGAAAAUUUAUUUCACGACGGUUUUUUGUAAAUAAGAGACGUUGUAGAACUUUAGCAGACUAAACACGUCUGUUUUUAUUGUUUUCCGACGUUGUUGUAUUUAACAACGUCUAAUAUUUAUGGUCGUUGUUUGUUUCUGAAAAUAGGACGUAUAAAUUUUUUAAUACGACUCUCAUAUAUUUGUAACUGACGUUGUUUAGUUUUUCAACGUCUACUAUAGAAACACAUACGUCGUAAAUAAUGACACUGACAACUAUUUCCACGUCAUCUUUUAUCAAAAAAUCGAAGUGGAAAAUUAAUUGUACGACGGUUGUGUUUAUAUGUGCGACGUAGUAGGUAUCAAUAACGUCGUCUUCUAAUGUAUUUAAAGACGUCAUAUUUUUUAUUGUCGUGAAAAUUAUAUUUAACGUCGGCGUAUUUUUAUUGUCGUCGUUGUAUGUCUAUCUUGCGGCCUUGUUCUCUUAAUAUGUGUCAUAUUUUCCCUUUUUAACGACGGUCUUUUUAGAGAAUUGGUCGUCUAUUAUCAUCAUCGAUUGCUUUUUUUAGAUCUUUUGCAGUACAAAGACGUCGUUUUGUAUUUUUUGAUGACGUUGUAUUGUUUAACAACGACGGUUAUUUAGCGUCGUGGUUUAUGAGGGAAAAGAUGACGGUGGAUUCCACGACCAUUGAAAAACCAAAUACACGACGGUGAUUUACCGUCGUCUUUUUGCUUUUUUGUAGUAGUGUGUAUACUGGAGAAGUUUUGUGCGCUCUCAUUAGGAUUGCACUAUACAACCAUACGGACAAUUGAGGCACAUAGUGUCAUGGACCAAGAGUUCAUUGACUCAAAUGAUUUUAAGCUUUGGUAUGACUGGGUGGGUCAUCCUGGAUCCACCAUGAUGCGUAGGAUCAUCACCAACUCUAAAGGACAUCCCUUAUUGACAAAACACAUUAUGGCAUCAAGUGACAGCUUUUGCCAAGCUUGUUCACAAGGGAAGUUGGUGAUCAGACCAUCACGACCAAAGGUUGAUGUUGAGUCCCCAUCAUUUUUGCAAAGAAUCCAAGAGGACAUUUAUGGGCCUAUUCAUCCUCCCUGUGGACUAUUUCGGUACUUUAUGGUCUUAGUGGAUGCAUCUACCCGAUGGUCGCAUAUUUGCCUUUUGUCCACUCGGAAUAUGGCAUUUGCUAGGCUCUUGACUAAGAUAAUUAAAUUACGAGUCCAAUUCCCAGAUUAUCCCAUUAAGUCAAUCAGACUCGAUAAUGCUGGUUAAUUUACAUCUCAGACUUUUGAUGACUACUGCAUGUCAUAGUCAUUGACAUUGAACAUCCUGUUCCCCAUGUUCAUACUCAAAAUGGUUGGCAGAAGCUUUAAUUAAGCGUCUUCAAUUGAUAGCAUGCACUUUGUUAAUGAAAAUAAAGUUGCCAGUUUCUGCUUGGGGAUAUGACAUUUUACAUGCAGCAUCACUGGCGCAGUUAAGGCCCGUAACCAACAAUCAAUAUUCUCCAAUACAACUCGUGUUGGGUAAUCAACCAAACAUUUCCCAUUUAAGAGUUUUUGGGUGUGCGGUAUAUGUGCCAAUUGCACCACCGCAACGUACUAAGAUGGGCCCUCAACGCAGAUUGAGAAUUUAUGUUGGUUUUGAUUCCCCAUCUAUCAUCAGAUAUUUGGAGCCCCUGACGGGUGAUAUCUUUACCGCACGAUUUGCAGAUUGUCAUUUUGAUGAGACAAUCUUCCUACCAUUAGGGAGAGAAAAAUCUGUUCCUAAAGAACAACAAGGCAAACUCGUUCAUGAAGAACGACAUGAAUUAUCGUGGGACGUACCCGCUUUGUCUCAUCUCGAUCCUCGUAUCGCUCAAUGCGAAAACGAAGUAAGAAGGAUCGUUCACCUCCAAAGUAUUGCAAAUCAGAUGCCAGAUGCAUUUAAUGAUGCAGCAAAGGUGACGAAAUCACAUAUCCAAAUUUGUUACAACUUUCUUAUCACCUUAUUAAAAAAUUACAUAAGAAAAAAUAUUAGUUUUUUUUUUUCCUUUUUUGAAAGACUCCAACAAAUAAGACUUACCUAAUUAAUGGUUUAGAAGAAAAAAAAUCAAUAAUCAAACUUACCGAAUUAAUGGUUUGAAAAUGCAAUCAAUGAACUUCCUUUUAAAACAGACUUCCUUAGCAAGACGUCUUUUGUCUGUAUAAAAAAAAAAAAAAAGGAUAUAUCUUUUGUGGAUAUUUUUAAGGUCAUUAUUGUGUUUUUUUUUUAAAAAAAAAAGUUUUUCCUCUAAAAAAAUAGACAUUUUCUUUUUUUUUUAAACAGAAUUUUUUAUUUUUUAUAAAUAUUUUUUACAUAUGGUAAGAGAGUUGUAAAAAAAAUUUGAUAAAUUGAAGGACAAUACAUUUAAUAAGGGUAAACUUGGAAAACAAAAUGUGGUUUGUUUGAUGUAUUAGUGUCAUUAUUUUAAGUGUAUGAGAAAUGACACAUGUCAUGAGGAAAAGAAAGAAGGUCCAAAAGAGAAGGUUGGAGAGAAGGUUACUAGCAUUCCGUAUCAUUUAAUGAAACAAACUCUAACAGUUAGUUCUUUCUCAUGUGAAAUUUUUUACAUUUCUCACUUCUUCACAUGCACACUGCCUUUUCUCAACUGGUCUGUCAAUUUUCUAUUGUAUGAACUUAUUGAUGUGUAUGAGUUCCUAUCGUGUAUUGAGGGAACAAACAAAAAAGAAGACAGAUUAGUCAAUGAAAUAAUGUAUGGAAUUUGCAUUAUUUCUUUAUGUAAUUUUCAUAUUAAAUGACGAAGAAAAUUCUAGAGGAAGACAGAUUAGUCAAUGAAAUCAUGUAUGGAAUUUUCGUUCUUUCUUUAUGUGAUUUUCAUAUUAAACGACGAAGAAAAUUCUAGAUGAAGACAGAUUAGUCAAUGAAAUAAAGUAUGGAAUUUUCCGCUAUUUCUUUAUAUAAUUUUCAUAUUAAAUGACGAAGAAAAUUCUAGAGGAAGACAGAUUAGUCAAUGAAAUAAUGAUGGAAUUUUUGCUAUAGGAAGGCAGAUUAGUCAAUGAAAUAAUGUAUGAAAUUUCCACUAUUUCUUUAUGUAAUUUUCAUAUUAAAUGACGAAAAAAAUUCUAAAGGUAGACUUAUCAGAAAAGGAUAUACAUGUGCUCAUAAAUGAAAAAGUAAAAUACAUGUCCUCCUCCUUUGUUCUGAGGAGUGGGACAAAAGUGGGUGUUUAUAAGACUUUGAGGAAGGCUUUUUUUUUUUUUCAAAAAAAAAAAAGUUUUUCCUCUAAAAAAAUAGACAAUUUCUUUUGAAAAAAACAGAAUUUUUUAAUUUUUUAAAUAUUUUUUACAUAUGGUAAGAGAGUUGUAAAAAAAUUUGAUAAAUUGAAGGACAAUACAUUUAAUAUGGGUAAUUUUGAAAAACAAAAUGUGGUUUGUUUGAUGUAUUAGUGUUAUUAGUUUAAGUAUAUGAGAAGUGACACAUAUCAUGAGGAAAAGGAAGAAGGUCCAAAAGAGAAGGUUGGAGAGAAGGUUAGUAGCAUUCCGCAUCAUUCAAUGAAACAAACUCUAACAGUUAGUUCUUUCUCAUGUGAAAUUUUUUACAUUUCUCACUUCUUCACAUGCAUACUGCCUUUGCUCAACUGGUCUGUCAAUUUUCUAUUAUGUAUGAACUUAUUGAUGUGUAUGAGUUCCUAUCGUGUAUUGGGGGAACAAACAAAAAAGAAGACAGAUUAGUCAAUGAAAUAAUGUAUGGAAUUUCCAUUAUUUCUUUAUGUAAUUUUCAUAUUAAAUGACGAAGAAAAUUCUAGAGGAAGACAGAUUAGUCAAUGAAAUCAUGUAUGAAAUUUCCGUUCUUUCUUUAUGUGAUUUUCAUAUUAAAUGACAAAGAAAAUUCUAGAUGAAGACAGAUUAGUCAAUGAAAUAAAGUAUGGAAUUUCCGCUAUUUCUUUAUAUAAUUUUCAUAUUAAAUGACGAAGACAAAAUUAUAGAGACAGACAGAUUAGUCAAUGAAAUAAUGUAUGAAAUUUUUGCUCUAGGAAGACAGAUUAAUCAAUGAAAUAAUGUAUGAAAUUUCCUCUAUUUCUUUAUGUAAUUUUCAUAUUAAAUGACGAAAAAAAUUCUAAAGGUCGACUUAUUAGAAAAGGAUAUACAUGUGCUCAUAAAUGAAAAAGUAAAAUACACGUCCUCCUCCUUUGUUAUGAAGAGUGGGACAAAAGUGGGUGUUUAUAAGACUUUGAGGAAGGCUUUUCCCAAUCAAUCAAUGAAGAUUAGAGGAAGAGUUUUACCAAUCAAUCAAUGAAGGCUAGAGGAAGAGUUAAAUAGCAACAAAUGGCCCCCUUUUUGGUUGGGGGAACGUGUGUGUGGGUGUUAAAAUUCAUUGGAGAAAGACAAGAGGACUAUACCACAUCAUGUGUGGUAGAUAAUGUGUCAAUUUGGAAAUAGCUUUAGUAGCAAGUGGACUAUACUAGCCACCUACAGCUUUAAGCCUGAUCAUUCAGAUAAUGCUUGUAUCCUUUGUUUUACCGCGGCUACUAACAUAAAGAAAGCCGAUACUUUCGUUGCCUCUUCUACCUCCACGCGGCAUUGCUCUGUCGGGCUUUCUCCUAUUGCGGAUAAUUCCCCAUUAUUGCCUUCGGUAGGAAUAUGGGCUGUGUCUCAAUUAGUGUGGUUGAUCUUCCGAAUUGCCUUAGUUAGCUUUGCCUUACCAACUACCUAAUUAGACACAAGGCCCCUCCUCGGAGAAAAGUUACUAGCAGAACUAUAUAAGACUUUUAACAGUUGUCACAUAUGAUUAUGUGUGUUAAACCUCUUUCAACCUUAACCCUAGAAUUACACAGAGUAACAAGUAUUAUUUAUUGAAUUAUCGAAACAGUACAAUAUUCUCAACAACUCAUUCUUGAUACAAUAAUUCCCUAAUAGAGUUGUAAGCUCUAAUUAACCAAUUAUGUUAUAAACUAAUUUCUUAACUAAUCAAUUAAUAAACUGACUAUGCCGGCUCAUCACUAAUCCAGCUCAGCAAUGAUGAAGGUUCCUAAUAAUGUGAUCAGUCGAUGUGACGUAGUGUUAUUGAUUAAAAUAUAGCCAUCCCUACCACCUCAUGUAAAUCCCACAAGACUCCUAUUCACGGAGGGGAAGAAAGUAGGGGGAAUGCUAGCAACCUUUUCUCUAACCUUCUCUUUUGGACCUUCUGUUAGUAUGAAAAUAGUGUUGUCAUUUCCUAGACUCUAGCAUAGGUUGAAAAUUAGUGUGUGAAGAAUUGUUACUGGACGUUUUGGCACAACUCAUUCAACCCCAUACAUCCGAGGCAUGACUUGACCGAUAUGAGAAACUUGAUUUCAGGUAAAUCAUGGCAUAAUCAUGCAUUCAUUAUAGGAUUCCUAGUUUGAGUUUUCUUUUUCAAUCAAGUAUUUUUAUGUUAAUCUUAUUUUUAAUAGGAUUAGACUUUAUCUCUUAAGAUUACUUUUCUAGUUGAACUCUAUCUUGAUUUAAGUUAAAAUAUUAUCUUUUCCUAAGUGACAUGCACAAUGCUUAUUUUCCAAUUACCUUGCUUUAGGAGUCAAUUGGUUCUUCAUAAAAGUGGACGGUUGGUAACAUCAUUAAGAGUCCUUAAUGAAUCAGACUUUGUAUUUUUAUUGAAUCAGAAUUUAUAUUGUUAAUCGGAUAACUGUUUGGCCCUUAUGUGGCGUCUCAUUUAGGAGAUCAUAUUGCACCAGGUUUAAAAGAGUCUUAGCUGAAUUGGUCUUAGAGUUAUAAUUGUUUUGGAAGUGUAGUCUCGCAAGUUUCUCUCCUGUGAGAGAAACUUGCUUUGAAUAAAAGGAUGUCUGUUUCUUUUCAUUGUAGCUUUUGAACGUAUAAAAUUGUUGGGGUAUAUUGAAUCUAUGUUGGGAAAAGCUGCUGUACUUAGUUUACUCGGUAAGUCAUCAAGUGCUUAUGUUGCUUGGUGAUUGAUCAAAUUCAUUCAUCAUUCAUAUUGCAUUCAUUUGCAUUGUUCGGUGACUCAUACGGUUGAGGGCACCAAGACCGUGGUGACGGUUUUUUCUCCGGUGAGCUUGAAACAAUGAUGACCAGUAUUGCGUUUAACAUAAGGAGUGUCGAAGAUCAUCCCUUGACAGAAGUUGAAUUACGAAGAAGUUGGUAAACGUCAUCUAGAAUGUGUCUAGAAUAAGUGUGUGAGUACUUCUUGUAAUCAUCGUUCUAUAGUGGAUUUGUAUUGGACUGAGGAGUCCCAUGGAUUUUUUCCAGAGGAGGGGUUUUACCACGUAAAAUAAUUCUCUGUGUGUUUCUUUAUUUUAUGUUCAGCAUGUUUCAGGAUUGAUAAGCCAUAUCAAUCCUGCUACAUAAGUUUAUUUUUACUUAUUUGAUUAUAAUAUUAAAUUGGCCUAUUCUCCCCCCUUUAGGCAUUUUUAGUCAUCCUACAGGUAUUUUCACCUUCUUCCUUUUCUUUAUGACAUGUGGAUUUUUUUAAGGUCAUUAUUGUGUUUUUUUUUAUAACCAAAAAAAAAAAACGUUUUCCUCUGUAAAAAAAAAAAAAAAAGACAUUUUCUUCAAAAAUAUAUAUAUAUAUAAAUUUUAAAAUUUAAAUUUUUUUACAUAUGGUAAGAGAGUUGUAAGAAAAAAUUGGAUAAAUUGAAGGACAAUACAUUUAAUAAGGGUAAACUUGAAAAACAAAAGGUGGUUUGUUUGAUGUAUUAAUGUCAUUAUUUUAAGUUGUAUGAGAAGUGACACAUAUCAUGAGAAAAAAGAAGAAAAUCCAAAAGAGAAGAUUGGAGAGAAGGUUACUAGCAUUCCCUAUAUAUAUGUACGUUUUUUGGUGAGAAAAAUCCCUUCGAGUAGACAAGAAAUUGUACAGGAAAUUGUACAUUUUUUUGUCUUUUCGCAUUUUUCUUUUCAUGUUAAAGUAGUUUAGGACCGUCCUCUUUCAAAGCAGACAUGUGCAGUUGCAAAAGACCAUCGUGCAUGUUUAUGGGAAAAAACAAAACCUCUAGCCCACUUGGCUAUAAAUUAUUGUAUGUAUGCCAUUUACCUUCUUCUUCUUCCUUUUUUUUUUUUUUUUCCUGCAUGUCAUUUACUAUUUUACGUGAUAUGUGCAUCUGUGAGAAUGAUAGCUCCCAAACGUUCGGCACCAUGAGUGAUUAACUAUUUUGAUUAUAGAAUUUAAAGUUAAAUGAUUUUAAUUAUGUGGAAUUUUUUAGACCAGAACCUCGAUUUAUUCAAAUUAUAGAAGUUCAAUUUAACAACUUUUGUGCAAUUAGAACCAGAGAGAGAAUGGAUUUCUUGAGUUGUUGUAUCGUCCUGCUAAACCUUUUCUUUGUGUUGUUGUUCUCAAUUAUUCAAGCUCUGCAAAGCAAAGCCAAUCCCGAAAGGCAUCUUCUCCCACCUGGACCAAAGCCAUUUCCCUUCAUUGGCAAUCUUUUAGAGCUUGGCAACAAACCCCAUCUCUCUCUCACCAAGC